rnacentral:lncRNA from 1 species
CCGCCGCCCGAGCCCAAGAAGCCCAAGACCAUCCAGGUCCAGGUCGCCUGAGAGAUGGAUGGGACAACCGAACCAGAGAGAAGGUCCUUUGCCUGGCGCCUGAUCGGAGCUGAGUGGGUAGUGAUCGAUGAUUAGGGAGUGAGUUUCCUGAGAUGCGUGAUGUGUCUGUGAUUUCUAUCUCUGCUCGCAUGGUGUCCGAGGGUGUUGUGUGGCUAGUUUUCUCUUUCAGUGCGCAAUUUCAAUGAAAUUUCGGAAAUAUCAUCAAUUUUGGUUCUUCCAAAAUAUUUCAGUAAUCUUGGUGGCGCACACAACUUCAAAUAAUUCUAAAUCAUCUUUUUGUUUUUCUCAAAAUAUUUGUUUGGGUCCCAAAAUCAAAUAUUAGUGGACAUUUAAGUCCCCUGGCUGAAAUGAAAAACAGAGUCACUGGAUUUCAAUGGAAGUCAGUUAAUUCGCCCAUGUUUUUUUUUUGAGUUGUUGAUUGUUUUUAGAUAGCUACGUGCUUAUUCCUUGAACGGUGUCUGUUUGUGGUGGUUUUUACGCUGAAAUGAAAAACGUAAUGCCCAGAAUUUUGGAUGUACAUUUGCAAGAUACAAUUGAGCAUUACGUUUAUGUAUACUUCCUCAAUUUCAGCGUAUCCCAAAAUUCAUCUGUUUGACCAACUAGAUGUGGGUUAUAUGUAACAAAAAUUAUACCAUCGAAUUCAUAUUCAAAAGAAGUUUUCAACGGUAUAAUUUUUAACUCCAAAAAUACAUAUCAUUGAUCUAAUAUGGUCAAACUUAAAUUUUGAAAUCCGUUUAAGUCCAAAAAUACAUAUCAUUGAUCUAAUAUGGUAAGUUAAAUCUUGAAAUCCAUGCACGUGUCUUAUACAUUGGAAUAGAGGAAGUAACUUUAUAAUAGAAAAUGGAAGGCAAAAUUUCAAAAAUCAUUAACGAAGAAAGAGUUGAAUCAAAGUUACUAGUUUUUAAAAUUCAUUCUAUACAUAUAAAAGAUAAAGUAAUUCCAUAUUGUAAGGUUGAGGUCGGAUCAAGCAUCAUAUUUCAAGGUUAGAUUUAGGAUAAACUUUUCUGUUUAAGAAAAUUGGGUGUUCUUGUUCAAACGUGUAAAUUGCUCCUCAAGGGCGCAAUACUAUUAUUUCAAAGGAGAAUGAUCUUAUGAAUGACGACUCCAAAAUAGGAUGAUAAAUUGGUCUAGAGAAUUUUUUGGCAUAAAAUGAGUUUACAAUAUAAUUUUCUAGAUGAGAUUGACUUAUCGUAUGGAAUAAAGUCAAUCUCAUGAAGAAUUUACUUCAGCAUAAUAGAAAGUCAAGAACUAAUAUAGUUUACUUCAUAGUUAAACACCUACUCCGGUUUGUAGAAAGGAAAAUGGUGGCAAAAUUUUAAAAAUUAUUUAAAACGGUUUUCCUCACUGUUAGUUAGUGUAGUGGAGGGGAAAAGGAUAUUACGUACAUGUUACUUCUAUGCAAGAGAGGAAAUGGAAUUUUAGAAAGAACUUCAACAAAUAAUGUCAUACAAAAUGCAUUGACAAAAUAGGCACAAUGUUUAUCGACCAUGUCUUAUAGCUUUGAACUACUGCUGCGGCAAGUGAAGCUUCAACGGCGGAUCCUCUUGUUUUAUGUCACAGUUUUAACCUUGAUUUCUCUGUUGGACGUAGUUGAUCACUCAUAUGUUUAGGCUGCGCGAAGUGAUGCAAACUAUAUUAGAUGGUGGAUAAUAGAGGGGACAUACGAUGACAAUAUAUUAAGAUUGUUAUCAAUUGGCAACAUAAUUUAGCAAGGCCACCUUAGAAAACGGUCCUAUAGAAGUAAAUGCCGCAUCACAUGAGUUAGUUGGUAUAAUAAGGCUUUGUACGAUGCAAGGUUCUUAAGGAAAAUGCUUAAAGAAAUAAAUUAGUUUUUUUAAGCAUCUAUGUUUAUUUGUAGAGGGUAGACGUUUAAGUAGCACCCAUGUUGUAGAGGUAAGCACUAGUGGUUAAGAAAACUCGGUUUAUUUUGUUAAGUAACUUCCUAUGCACAUGGCAUUGUACAAGGCCUAAGGCCUUAAUAGUUAUAUUGGAUUGAUUACCCUCCCGACUUUCAUGUAGCUUUUUUGUGGAUGAUGUAACUAUUAUUGCUACAUAAUAAAAACAAUCAUUCAAAUCAAACAAACCAUAUACAAUGCAAAAUAUUCUAAUAGCUAUGGUUUUGCAUAAUUGUAAACAAAAAUAAAAGAUGACAUGUGAUUCUAUAAAAGCAAUGGAAAUGUACAAACUUCCAUUUUUUUUGAAAAUGAGGUCAAACUCCAGCCAAAUAAUUAUUUUUAUUAAUUAUUAAUUAGAGUACAAAACAGAUACAACCAUGACCGAACCAUUACAAUACAUGAAACAAACACCUAUGACUUAGUCGACUUCUUCUGCAACAACGUCUUCACGAAGGGAUAAACGUUCUCGCGCCGUCAUUGCCACAUCCUGUUGAAGGUGGCCUGGGCAAAGAUUUUCAUCCUGGUUGCCAAAAUCGCUCGAUGAAGACAAAAACAACAUGUAGACAACGUCUUCAAUAAGGUAACAACACAAGUUCGUCGUUGCUCAGUCCGACCAAUAAAGGACAUGACAAGAGUUUUCACUCCAGACAUGAAGUGGUGUUCCAAUCAGGAUCUUGAUAAAGAUCAUUCAAUAGUUACAUCCGCCAAUACUCCGUGCCAAGCCGAAAGGACACUAACAGAUUGGUGGGACGUUAUCCUAACUUAUAUCAUCACCAUGACUGUUAGGGGGUGGUGCAUGUCUUGCCGUAGAACUGACCGCUGCCAAUCCGCACAUAGUAGAAGCACAUUGCAACAUCCACCAGGAGAAUAUCUGGUGCUCUGGGAGCACCCCAACCUUUCGAUCUCAGAUCCAGCGUCUAGGGACAGAGCUUACCCAUUUUUGCAAAAAAACCCUAAAGAGUCCGGUAAUUACGGCUAGGUCCUACGCAUCUUUAGAUGACCGUUGGUUCUAGAUUCAACGGUAGAGCUCGCACCUAAUCUCAGGUGCUCCUAGAGCAUAGGGCAUUCUCCCACAUCCACCAUACUAUCGGAGCCACUACCCUGGUGCAAGAUGCCGGCGAGGAAUUGCUGGUGCGCCCUUUGCACAUUAGCGCCAGACGUGGCCACAUGCGCCACUAACCUCCUUGUGCGAUGGCCACUGCCCUUUGUAGGAUCGAAAGUAUGUCUAGAGGGGGGUGAUUAGACUACUUGACCAAAUAAAAAUCUAGCCUUUCCCAAUUUUAAGUCUUGGCAGAUUUUACCAAUUAUCACAAGUCAAGCAAUCAACCUACACAUGCAAAUCUAAGAGUAUAGCAGCGGAAUGUAAAUCAUUGCAUAUGAAGGUAAAGGGGAGGAGUUUGGAGGGAGCAAACGCAAUGUAGACACGAAGAUUUUUGGCGUGGUUCCGAUAGGUGGUGCUAUCGUACAUCCACGUUGAUGGAGACUUCAACCCACGAAGGGUAACGGCUGCGCAAGUCCACGGAGGGCUCCACCCACGAAGGGUCCACGAAGAAGCAACCUUGUCUAUCCCACCAUGGCCAUCGCCCAUGAAGGACUUGCCUCACUAGGGUAGAUGUUCAUGAAGUAGGCGAUCUCCUUGCCCAUACAAACUCCUUGGUUCAACUCCACAAUCUUGACGGAGGCUCCCAAGUGACACCUAACCAAUCUAGGAGACACCGCUCUCCAAAAGGUAAUAGAUGGUGUGUUGAUGAUGAACUCCUUGCUCUUGUGCUUCAAAUGAUAGUCUUCCCAACACUCAACUCUCUCUCACAGAUUUGGAUUUGAUGGAAAGAUGAUUUGAGUGGAAAGCAACUUGGGGAAGGCUAGAGAUCAAGAUUCUUGUGGUUGGAUUGGAAUUUCUUGGUCUCAACACAUGAGUAGGUGGUUCUCUCUCAAAAAAUGAAUGUUGGAAGUGUAGGAACGUUCUGAUGGCUCUCUCCAUGAAUGGAGGAUGGGUGGAGGGGUAUAUAUAGCCUCCACACAAAAUCUAACCGUUACACACAAUUUACCAAACUCGGUGGGACCGAAUACUCAAACUCAGUCAGACCAAUUUACUUCAAAAUGUGAACGUUAGGAUUUUCGGUGGGACCGACACGUCAAAUCGGUGGGACCGAUUUCAUUAGGGUUAGGGCAUAACGUAAUCUCGGUGAGACGAUCACAUGAACUCGGUGAGACCGAUUUCUAUAAAAGGCAAACAGAGAGUUGGUCAGGCAAACUCGGUGGGACCGAUUCGCUCAUUUCGGUGAGACCGAAACGUUACGAAAAGGAAACAGAGAGUUUGCAUUGCGAACUCAGUGGGACCGAUUGCUCAUCUCGGUUAGACCGAAACAUUACGAAGGGAAACAUAGAGUUUGCUAUCCCAUCUCGGUGAGACCGAGAUCCCUAUCGGUGAGACCGAACUGAUUAGGGUUUCUGGCUAUGGAUAUGUCAAUGAACUCCGUGGCGCCGGAUAGACCAAAUCGGUGGGGCCGAGUUUAACUUUGGGUUUGGGACAUAUGAAGAUAUGAGAAAGUGGUUGAGGGCUUUUGGAGCAUAUCACUAAGCAUUUUGAGCAAGCAAGCCAUUAAGCAACACCUCAUCCCCUUUUAAUAGUAUUGGCUUUCCUAUGGACUCAAUGUGAUCUUGGAUCACUAAAAUGAAAAUGUAGAGUCUUGAGCUUGAGCCAAUAUGUGUCCUUAGCAUUUUGAGGGGUCCACAUCUCUAGUUCAUGCCAUUCCAAUCAUUGAACUUUCUGAAAUGAUCAUCUUGAAAAGAGUAUUAGUUCAAUGAGUUAUAUGUUGUUAAGAAUUACCAAAACCACCCAGGGAUUAGUUGCACUUUCAAUCUCCCCCUUUUUGGUAAUUGAUGACAACAUAUAGAUCAAAGCUUCGACAAAUGAUAAUAAGAAUGAAAUGUAUCAUCGCUUUGAGAAAUAUGUGAUAAGCAAGAGCUCCCCCUAAAUUUGUGCAUUAUUUAAAAUUUGCUUUUGAAUGCAAAUGCACGAUCAAUUAGGAUCAUGGGUUACUCUUCCAUGUCACAUACAUCUUGAUGGAGCGCUCAAAAUGAUAGUAAAUGAAAUAUGCACUCAUCACCAAGGCAAAGUGAAUGAUCAUACAUGAGAGAUAAAUAAUAUCAUCAUUCAAUCAAGCAUUAACCACUAGUAGAAAAAGGGCCUAUGGUCCCGGUUGGUAAGGGCCUUUUGUCCUGGUUUUUGAACCGGGACUAAAGGGUCGUUACUAAUGCCCUAACCCUUUAGUCCCGGUUCUUACACGAACCGGGACAGAUGGGCCUCCACGUGGCCGAUGCGGCGAGCCCAGGCAGGAGGGCCUUUGGUCCCGGUUGGUGGCACUAACCGGGACCAAUAGGCAUCCNNNNNNNNNNNNNNNNNNNNNNNNNNNNNNNNNNNNNNNNNNNNNNNNNNNNNNNNNNNNNNNNNNNNNNNNNNNNNNNNNNNNNNNNNNNNNNNNNNNNNNNNNNNNNNNNNNNNNNNNNNNNNNNNNNNNNNNNNNNNNNNNNNNNNNNNNNNNNNNNNNNNNNNNNNNNNNNNNNNNNNNNNNNNNNNNNNNNNNNNNNNNNNNNNNNNNNNNNNNNNNNNNNNNNNNNNNNNNNNNNNNNNNNNNNNNNNNNNNNNNNNNNNNNNNAUUUAGGUGUUUCAUAUAUUGUGUUAGCUAGCUAAUUAAUAGAGAGAAGUGUCCUCUCUUAUCUCCGUGCUUGGUCGACGCUACGUACUAUAUACGUAUGGAGAGGACUAGACACGCUAGCUAGUAAUCAAAUGAAGGAAACAGAAGAUCGUCAUGAACAUAUGCAUACAGAGAGAAGUGAUAUCGACCACCUCUCCUUCUCCGAGAGAUUGGUCGAACAACAAGUUCUCGUAUAUCUAUCCGACACUACCGGCUACAUAUAUACAAUAAUUAUCUCUUACAAUAUAAUCUCCUAAUUAAAUUGUAAGAACACAUGGUCCACAUAGUAUUCUCCGUUUUCAGCGAUCACGUGGUCAAGGAAGAAUGCCGCCAAUUCCUCUUGAAUUGCUCGCAUACGAUCUGGUGCUAGGAGUUCAUCCCGCUUUCGAAACAUCUAAUUUGAAGAAGGGAGUCAAUACAUACAUACAUACACACACACACACACACAUAUAUAUAUAUAUAUAUGAAUAAAUGAAACUCAACACAAAUGAUGGUAAUAAAAUAAAAUUGUGAAUAUUAUUGCUUACGCACUUCAUAUUGUUCGUCAGAGUAGCCCCGCUCAUAGGUCGUGUAGCGGAUGGACUCGCAAACGUAGUAUCCACAGUAAUUAUUCCCGGGUUCCUGCCACAACCACUUUACAAGAAAUAGAGGUCAAUCAAACUGAUAAGCAAGCAUGCUAAAUGGUAUUGAUGAAACUAGCGCUUGAAUCACUAGGAGAUGCGCGGAACAUGCUACUAUAGUACUUACUUUCGGGUGUUUAAAUUGCAGCUUCUUCGGCAGUCCCGGAGCUUUUUUGGUGAAUUUUCUCCAAACCCUGCCAGAUAAAGAAAACAAUUACUUGGUAUCAGGAAAUGAACAAAGUUGCUGAUAUGGUGGAUAAUGAUCAAUUUAACUUACUUCUCGAGCAUUUGAGUCAUGCCCGCAUAGUCCUCGGAAUCUUUUCGUCUCGAGUCUAAGACGGUUACUACUCCCUGCUCAAGCUUAAUCUCUAGGAGAAUAUAGUGGAAGCUGCGCACGCAUGCAUACGUCAUCAAUUACAUUACUAUAACCUGGACUAAUAAGGGAAACCAAAUAUGCACAAGACAGUAACACUCACUUGAAGUUGCAAGGAAAGCGUAUUAUAUCUUUGUUUUCAUUUAUUACCAACGAUCGUAGCAAGUUGGCCUCGGUAUUUUUGGCAUGAUAUUUAACCUCAGUUGCAUCUAUGAGAUUUGUGUUAAUGAACCCAAUAUCACCGAUUUGUCUUUUCUUCAAUUCGGCGAUCUUCAAUCUGCAUAAUAUAGUGAGGACAAUUAUAAAUACAUGCAAUGAAAGAGCUGACCUAUAUAGAGAGACUUAAUGACAGAAGCACUACUACUUACAGACAGUAGCAAGUGACCGUUGAUUUAUCGAGGGCCUUUUGAUUGAAAAACUGGAAGAACUCCUCAAAUGGAACAUUCAACAGUUCAAUUCCAACGAGGUCAUGCUCCGGUUAACUCUCAGCGUCAAUGUAUCCCUCCCCCCAGACUCUCUGCAGGUUUUCAUGUACCAAUCAUGUAAUCUUCGCAUCAUCAUUGUUAGAGAUCUUUCAUCUUUGACGAGAGGCUUCCCGUAAUGGUAUUUGUGUUCGUCCACCUCCAAGAUAUCAUAAUGUACAUCGUCGGGCAGGUAAUCUCCAAGAUUGCUAUAACCGGGCACCAUCCUCGGAUCAUUAGCGACGAUGUCGCUAGACACCUUGAGCGAGGGGCACGAUUGGUUCGCUUGUUCGCCGAGCUGGGCAAUUUUUUUCCCAGCUCGUCGUUCUUUUAACCUUUGAUCACUGACAGUACUUCCCGACCGCUCCGCUUCGGCAAAUGUCUUUGCAAUAAUGCGCUCAUAGUUGCCUUUCGGCGGAGACUUUGGUGGUUUUGUCAGGGCAGCCAGAGUGCGCUUCGCUUUCACCGGAUCUACCUUCUCCUCCGGAGGUGGAUGUUUAUUUGCUUUCACCCCUUCAAAGAAGUUCGUCACUUCGGCUCGCACGAUCUUUCUGGUUUCCUCCUCGGUCCUCUCGUAUGGUAACUUCUCUGGAGUCUCCAGAGAAGGACCAAAUCUGCAUUGCCUCCCGCCUCUGGCUGUACUACUAGACGCCGGCAGAGCAGACGAAGCGGCUGCGGCUGUCUUCUUUUCUUGCUUACGAGACGGAGGAGAAGGACUACGACGCGCCGGAGCGGCGGCGGGUCUCUUCCGCCCUUGCUGACGAGGCGGAGAAGGAGGAGGCUGGCUGCUCUGGCGCGCCGGCGCAGGCGGAGAAGGAGGCUGAGUGCCCUGAUCACUCGCCGGAGGAGGAGGCGGAGGAGGAGGCGGAGUGCCGCCACACGCCGGAGAAGGAGGCUGAGUGCCCUGAUCACUCGCCGGAGGAGGAGGCGGAGGAGGAGGUGGAGUGCCCUUACUCGCCGGAGGCGUCCAGUUCGGAAGGUUGAUGAGCUCCUUCCGCCAUAGGCAUGGAGUCUUCAGAGCAGAACCCAGCCGAGUCUCCCCUUCACCGGUAGGGUGGUCAAGCCGGAGGUCCUCAAAUCCCUCCAUUAUUUCAUCCACCAUCACCCUAGCAUAUCCUUCUGGAAUUGGCCGGCAGUGGUAGGUUGUGCCCCCUAAACCCUAAACAGAGCCAACAACCGCCUUGACUUUGAAGUUCUGCCAUUGCGUCAUAAGGUGGCAAUGUUGAGACUCUGUGAUAGCAUCCACGGGGUAGCUAGCAGGAGCUGUCAAGACAUGCUCCGGCUGAAGCAGCUCGGUGGAAGCCACGCUGCUUCUCCGCUGAGAUGGCGGGGUAGCUUCGGGGGUAGUUUCGGCAUGUCGAUUGGCGUCUCGUUCCUCCAGCGCUUGAACCCUUUCGUGCAGCUUCUGAAUUUGGGUCUGCUCCACUUUUUUCCUCCUCUCCUGGCUUUUGUAACCGCCUGCGUCCGGAAAACCAGCCUUCCACGGAACGGAGCCUGGCGUGCCUCGUGUCCGUCUAGGGUGCUCAAGAUUCCCGAGGGCCAUUGUGAGCUCGUCGUUCUCUCUGUCUGGAACGAACGUCCCUUGCUGCGCUGCAUCGAUAUAGUGCUGAAGCCUCUUGACUGGUAUUCUCAAAAGCUCGUCCGUCCAAAUGCACCUCCCUCAUACAGGGUCCAAUUUUCCGCCAGCCCCGGAGAACCAAGUCCGGCAACGGUCUGGCCAGUUCAAUGUCUCUGGUUCGAUCCCUUUAUCAAGCAGAUCAUUCUCAGCCUUGGCCCUCUUAGGCCGGGCUUUGAGGUAGCCACCUGACCCCGUGCGAUGGUGAAGCUUCUUCUUUGCAGCAUUCUUCUUGUUUGUCGCUGACAUCUUCUUACUCUUUUCCGAUGUCUUGUGGGCCACAAAUGCGGGCCAGUGAUCUCUGAUCUUCUCAUACCGGCCGAUGAAUUCUGGUGUCUCUUCUUUGUCGACAAACGUUUUUAGCUCAUUCUUCCACCUCCUGAAUAGGUCUGCCAUCUUCUUAAGAGCAUGAGACUUGAUUAAUUGCUCUUUAACUGGCUUCUCCGGAUCCUCCUCUGGCGGUAGGGUGAAAUUUGCCUUCAGCUCAGUCCAAAGAUCAUCUUUCUGCAUAUCAUUGACAUAAGACACCUCAGGGUCUUCCUUCUUAGGCUUAUACCAUUGGUGGAUGCUGAUUGGGAUCUUGUCCCUAACAAGAACCCCGCACUGAGCAGCAAAUGCUUCGUUUGUCCGGAUGGGUUCAAUCGGUGCUCCCGUGGUAUAAGUUAUCACGGUCCAAGUUAUCUGGGAGGGGGUUAUAUCAACAACGACGACAUACAUACAUGGGAAAAUAAUGUUAUCGGGGAGGGGGUAGGUCGAACCUCCCCCUCGUGUUGAAGUUAUCGGGACACGGGGUAUAUCGACAACGACAUAUCUGAUAAAAAAUAAGAAGACGAAGAAGAAAUAAAAAGAGGAGAAGAAGAUAUUAAUAGAGGAGAAGAUUGAAGAAAAAAAAAGAAGAAAUAAAAAGAGGAGAAGAAGAAAGGAAUAGAGAAGAAGAUCGAAGAAAAAAAGAAGAAAAAAAAGAGGAGAAGAAGAAAAAAUAUCUAUUUUUUCUUCUUCUCCUCUAUUCCUUUCUUCUUCUCCUCUUCUUUUUCUUCUUUUUUCCUCUUCUUUUUUAUUUCUCCUCUUCUUCCUCUCCUCUUCUUCUCCUUUCUUCCUCUUCUUAUUUUCGUUUUUCCUCUCCUUCUUUUUCUUCUUCUUCCUUUCCUAGCUAGAUAUAUAAAACUUUUCUAAAAAUUUAACUUUUGCAUAUAUAAAACUUUUCCAUGGAUCAUCAUUUCUCAUAUAUAUCCAUCUANNNNNNNNNNNNNNNNNNNNNNNNNNNNNNNNNNNNNNNNNNNNNNNNNNNNNNNNNNNNNNNNNNNNNNNNNNNNNNNNNNNNNNNNNNNNNNNNNNNNNNNNNNNNNNNNNNNNNNNNNNNNNNNNNNNNNNNNNNNNNNNNNNNNNNNNNNNNNNNNNNNNNNNNNNNNNNNNNNNNNNNNNNNNNNNNNNNNNNNNNNNNNNNNNNNNNNNNNNNNNNNNNNNNNNNNNNNNNNNNNNNNNNNNNNNNNNNNNNNNNNNNNNNNNNNNNNNNNNNNNNNNNNNNNNNNNNNNNNNNNNNNNNNNNNNNNNNNNNNNNNNNNNNNNNNNNNNNNNNNNNNNNNNNNNNNNNNNNNNNNNNNNNNNNNNNNNNNNNNNNNNNNNNNNNNNNNNNNNNNNNNNNNNNNNNNNNNNNNNNNNNNNNNNNNNNNNNNNNNNNNNNNNNNNNNNNNNNNNNNNNNNNNNNNNNNNNNNNNNNNNNNNNNNNNNNNNNNNNNNNNNNNNNNNNNNNNNNNNNNNNNNNNNNNNNNNNNNNNNNNNNNNNNNNNNNNNNNNNNNNNNNNNNNNNNNNNNNNNNNNNNNNNNNNNNNNNNNNNNNNNNNNNNNNNNNNNNNNNNNNNNNNNNNNNNNNNNNNNNNNNNNNNNNNNNNNNNNNNNNNNNNNNNNNNNNNNNNNNNNNNNNNNNNNNNNNNNNNNNNNNNNNNNNNNNNNNNNNNNNNNNNNNNNNNNNNNNNNNNNNNNNNNNNNNNNNNNNNNNNNNNNNNNNNNNNNNNNNNNNNNNNNNNNNNNCUAAAGGGGGGCAUUUGUUCCAGUUGGUGCCACGAACCGGGACCAAAGGUGUGCAUUGGUCCCGGUUCGUGGCACCAACCGGGACCAAUGUCCUGCGCCUGCCAAAGCCGCGGUGCGGUGGGAUGUUUAGUCCCACCUCGCUAGCCGAGGAGCGGCAGGACCUGUUUAUAAGCCCUGCCUCGCCAUCUCCAUUGAACUCCUCUGAACUGCAGGCCUUUGGGCCUAAUCUUGCACUGCUAUGCCUGUGGGCCUGCUGGGCCUUCUGCGGGCCUGAAUCCUGGCCCAUGGAGGGUUUCUAGUCAUAUUCAGGCCGUGGUGGCCCAGUAGGUGGCAUUUUUUUAUUUUUCCCAGUUUUUUGUUUUCUUUUUUGCUUUAUUUAUUUUAUUUUGUUUCUACUUACAACAAAAUACUUAUUUAUUUUAUUUUAUUUUGUUUCUAAUUACUUAUUUAUUUUACUUUAUGAUAAUUCUUUUUGCUAUUAAAGUUUCUAUCAAAAAAAGUUCUUUAUGAAAAUUCCUUUUGCUUUUAAUGAUUUUGAACAGAAAAUACUUCGGAAAUUUUAGUUGCAUCAAUUUUAUAUGAUUUUAGUUUCAAUAAUACUAGAGGUUUCUUAUAAUGUUUUGAACAGAAAAUACUUUGUUAAUUUUAGUUUCAUAAAUUUUAUUAAAGAUUAUUUAUUUUGUUUCUACUUAUAUAUUUUAAUAAAGUUUAUAUUCUUUUGUUUCUAAUUACUUAUUUAUUUUAUUUGUUAUUUUUCAUGCACCAUUUUUCAUGCAUUUACUAAUUAUUUUGAGCUAUAAGACCCUAAAAUUGAAAAACAUUUCAAAUGAACUCUGAAAAGGUUGAAAGUUGGAAUGGUAUCAUCAUUUCAUCCACAUAGCAUGUGCAAGAAAGUUGAGAGGGUUACGGCAAAAACUAGAUGCACUUCAUGUACAAAACGGACAAUGGUAUCAUACUCGUCUGUUACAAAGUUGGCAUGGUAUCAUCAUAAUAGUUGCGGGAGAAAGUCUUCACUUUUUCUUCGCUUGUGUCAUUUGCUUAUUGCGCCGUAACCAUGGAUAAUCUUCAUCGUUUAUCAGGAUGCUUGGGCCAGCCUAGACUUUGAAGGGAGGAAUUUAAUGAAACUUUUCAUAAUCUUCAGACAUGUCUGUCUUGCCCUCCACUCUCACAAUGUCCCUUUUUCCUGAAAGAACUAUGUGGCGCUUUGGCUCAUCGUAUGAUGUAUUCGCUUCCUUAUCUUUUCUUUUUCUCGGUCUGGUAGACAUGUCCUUCACAUAGAUAACCUGUGCCACAUCAUUGGCUAGGACGAAUGGUUCAUCAGUGUACCCAAGAUUGUUCAGAUCCGCUGUUGUCAUUCCGUACUGUGGGUCUACCUGUACCCCGCCUCCUGACAGAUUGACCCAUUUGCACUUAAACAAAGGGACCUUAAAAUCAUGUCCGUAGUCAAGUUCCCAUAUGUCCAUUAUGUAACCAUAAUAUGUGUCCUUUCCCCUCUCGGUUGCUGCAUCAAAGCGGACACCGCUGUUCUGGUUGGUGCUCUUUUGAUCUUGGGCGAUCGUGUAAAAUGUAUUCCCAUUUAUCUCGUAUCCUUUGUAAGUCAAUACAGUCGAAGAUGGUCCCCUGGACAACGAGUACAACUCAUCACAAACAGUGGUGUCACCUCUGAGACGUGUUUCCAACCAACUGCUGAAAGUCCUGAUGUGUUCACAUGUAAUCCAGUCGUCAAACUGCUCCGGGUGUUUGGAGCGCAGACUGUUCUUGUGUUCAUCGACAUACGGGGUCACCAAGGUAGAGUUCUGUAGAACUGUGUAGUGUGCUUGAGACCAAGAAUGCCCGUCCCUGCAUAUUAUUGAGUCCGCUCCUAGCGUGCCUUUUCCAGUCAGUCUCCCCUCAUACCGCGAUUUAGGGAGACCUAUCUUCUUAAGGCCAGGAAUGAAGUCAACACAAAACCCAAUGACAUCCUCUGUUUGAUGGCCCAUGGAGAUGCUUCCUUCUGGCCUAGUGCGGUUACGGACAUAUUUCUUUAGGACUCCCAUGAACCUCUCAAAGGGGAACAUAUUGUGUAGAAAUACGGGCCCCAGAAUGACAAUCUCGUCGACUAGAUGAACUAGGACGUGCGUCAUGAUAUUGAAGAAGGAUGGUGGGAACACCAGCUCGAAACUGACAAGACAUUGCGCCACAUCACUCCUUAGCCUUGGUAUGAUUUCUGGAUCGAUCACCUUCUGAGAGAUUGCAUUGAGGAAUGCACAUAGCUUCACAAUGGCUAAUCAGACGUUUUCCGGUAGAAGCCCCCUCAAUGCAACCGGAAGCAGUUGCAUCAUAAUCACGUGGCAGUCAUGAGACUUUAGGUUCUGGAACUUUUUCUCUGGCAUAUUUAUUAUUCCCUUUAUAUUCGACGAGAAGCCAGUCGGGACCUUCAUACUGAGCAGGCAUUCAAAUAAGAUUUCUUUCUCUUCUUUCGUAAGAGCGUAGCUGGCAGGACCUUCAUACUGCUUCAGAGGCAUGCCGUCUUUUUCGUGCAAACGUUGCAGGUCCUCUCGUGCCUCAGGUGUAUCUUUUGUCUUCCCAUACACGCCCAAGAAGCCUAGCAGGUUCACACAAAGGUUCUUCGUCACGUGCAUCACGUCGAUUGAAGAGCGGACCUCUAGGUCUUUCCAGUAGGGUAGGUCCCAAAAUAUAGAUUUCUUCUUCCACACGGGUGCGUGUCCCUCAGCGUCAUUCGGAACAGCUAGUCCGCCGGGACCCUUUCCAAAGAUUACGUGUAAAUCAUUGACCAUAGCAAGUACGUGAUCACCGGUACGCAUGGCGGGCUUCUUCCGGUGAUCUGCCUCGCCUUUGAAAUGCUUGCCUUUCUUUCGACAUUGAUGAUUGGUCGGAAGAAAUCGACGAUGGCCCAAGUACACAUUCUUCCUGCAUUUGUCCAGGUAUAUACUUUCAGUGUCAUCUAAACAGUGCGUGCAUGCGUGGUAUCCCUUGUUUGUCUGUCCUGAAAGGUUACUGAGAGCGGGCCAAUCGUUGAUGGUUACAAACAGCAACGCGUGCAGGUUAAAUUCCUCCUGUUUGUGCUCAUCCCACGUACGUACACCGUUUCCAUUCCACAGCUGUAAAAGUUCUUCAACUAAUGGCCUUAGGUACACAUCAAUGUCGUUGCCGAGUUGCUUAGGGCCUUGGAUGAGAACUGGCAUCAUAAUGAACUUCCGCUUCAUGCACAUCCAAGGAGGAAGGUUAUACAUACAUAGAGUCACGCGCCAGGUGCUGUGAUUGCUGCUCUGCUCCCCGAAAGGAUUAAUGCCAUCCGCGCUUAAACCAAACCAUACGUUCCUUGGGUCAGCUGCAAACUCAGCCCAGUACUUUCUCUUGAUUUUUCUCCACUGCGACCCGUCAGCGGGUGCUCUCAACUUCCCGUCUUUGUUACGGUCCUCACUGUGCCAUCGCAUCAACUUGGCAUGCUCUACGUUUCUGAACAGACGUUUCAACCGUGGUAUUAUAGGAGCAUACCACAUCACCUUCGCAGGUACCCUCUUCCUGGGGGGGGCUCGCCGUCAACAUCACCAGGGUCAUCUCGUCUGAUCUUAUACCGAAUGCAUCGCAUACCGGGCAUGUGUUUAGAUCCUUGUACGCACCGCGGUAGAGGAUGCAGUCAUUAGGGCAUGCAUGUAUCUUCUGCACCUCCAAUCCUAGAGGGCAUACGACCUUCUUUGCUGCGUAUGUACUAUUGGGAAAUUCGUUAUCCUUUGUAAGCUUCUUCUUCAAUAUUUGCAAUAGCUUCUCAAAUCCUUUGUCAGGCACAACAUUCUCUGCCUUCCACUGCAGCAAUUCCAGGACGGUACCGAGCUUUGUGUUGCCAUCUUCGCAAUUGGGGUACAACCCUUUUUUGUGAUCCUCUAACAUGAGAUCGAACUUCAGCUUCUCCUUUUGACUUUCGCAUUGCGUCCUUGCAUCGACAAUGACCUGGCGGAGAUCAUCAUCAUCGGGCACUGGUUCCUCUUGAUCUUCAGCAGCUUCCCCCGUUGCAGCAUCAUUGGGCACAUCGUCUGGUUCCUCUUGAUCUUCAGCAGCUUCCCCCGUUGCAGCAUCACCGUAUUCAGGGGGCACAUAGUUGUCAUCGUCCUCUUCUUCUUUGCUGUCUUCCAUCAUAACCCCUAUUUCUCCGUGCCUCGUCCAAACAUUAUAGUGUGGCAUGAAACCCUUGUAAAGCAGGUGGGUGUGAAGGAUUUUCCGAUCAGAGUAAGACUUCGUAUUCCCACAUGUAGGGCAUGGACAACACAUAAAACCAUUCUGCUUGUUUGCCUCAGCCACUUCGAGAAAAUCAUGCACGCCCUUAAUGUACUCGGAGGUGUGUCUGUCACCGUACAUCCAUUGCCGGUUCAUCUGCGUGCAUUAUAUAUAAUUAAGUGUGUCAAAAACCAUUACAGAACAUCAUGAAUAGAUAAUUAAGUGACCAAAUUAAUAUAAGUUCAUCAUCACAUUAAAACCAAAGUACAUACAUAGUUCUCAUCUAACAACAUAUAGCUCUCCAGAGCAUCUAAUUAAUUAAACCAUACAUCGAAACUAUGUAAAACAUUUCAAUGCGAAAACAAAUGCGAUCAUAAUCGCAACCAAGGUAACAAUUGAUCCAACGACAUAAUGAUACCAAGCCUCGGUAUGAAUGGCAUAUUUUCUAAUCUUUCUAAUCUUCAAGCGCAUUGCAUCCAUCUUGAUCUUGUGAUCAUCGACGACAUCCGCAACAUGCAACUCCAAUAUCAUCUUCUCCUCCUCAAUUUGUUUUAUUUUUCCUUUAAGAAAUUGUUUUCUUCUUCAUCUAAACUUAACCUCUCGACAAUAGGGUCGGUUGGAAUUUCCGGUUCACAUACCUCCUAGAUAAAUAAAAUCUAUGUCACGUUGGUCGGCAUAAUUUUCAUAAACAAUAAAUGAACCAAUAGUUAUAAAGAUAAUAUAUACCACAUCCGAAUCAUAGACAGGACGAGGGCCGACGGGGCGGAUACCAAAACCAUCGCACUAUAUAAUAAGAAGGAAUAAUAAAAGUAACAAAAUUAGACAGUAUCUAUCUGAAGUAAGAAUUUUUUUCUUUCAAAAAGAAGAUAAGAACAAGAGGCUCACCACGGUGGUGCUGGCGACGAGAUCGGCGCUGGCGAUCGACGGCGGUGAAGACGGGGACGGGACGUGACGGACCGCUAAACCUAGACAAAUCUCGGGGAAAAUGGAGCUCGGAGGUCAAGUUUCGAGAGGAGAAAGAUUAACUAGUGUGGCUCAGACAUUUCAUCGAACACCUCAUGUGCAUAUGAGGUGAGCUAGAGCACCCAAAUGCCCUCCCCUCGACGCCAGAAAAAAUAGAGCACUGUGGAGUGCUCUGCUGCGGCGAUGGGGUAUAUAUAGGCAGCUCAUUUGUCCCGGUUCGUGGCUAGAACCGGUACUAAAUCCGGGCCUUCUGUCCCGGUUCAUGCCAAGAACCGGGACCAAUGGUUGUGGGCCAGGAGCGAGGCCCAUUAGUCCCGGUUCGUGCCUCGAACCGGGACAAAUGGUUCCAUACGAACCGGGACCAAUGCCCACGAGGCCCCGGCCGGCCCCCUGGGCUCACGAACCGGGACGAAUGCCCCCAUGGGUCCCGGUUCGUGACUGAACCGGGACUAAUGGGCUUGCCAUGCCCGAACGAAAGCCCUGUUUUCUACUAGUGAACGUAUGAUAUGAUCAAACACAUGACCGUACAAGUAUCUCACACACACAUAAAGUAUCAUCCAGGCAAGCAAACAAAUAAGUAUCAAACAAGUAGCAAGAGAGGUAGCAAAAAGAAGAAAAUCUCUCCCUCGAAGCCUAUGAUCUAUACACUUUCUCCCCCUUUGGCAACAAGUUACCAAAAAGUUCGAAAAUGCAUAGUGCUAUGCGGCUCUCUAGGCUUGAUCUUCGGGAGGUGGCGUUGAGAGGACUCCGAGGACAAAUGCAUCUGUUUAAGUUGUUGGAGCUGGUGGAGUUGUAACCGGAGGGGCAACUGAAGUUGUGGCUGCAGGUGCUGACGUAGUAGCUCUUGUGUCUGUCACAAGCACUGCUGCAGAUCUAUGUGCCCUAGGCAAAAGCAUCUGUAGUAACUUUCCCUUUCCUCUCUCUAGCUUCUUCCUGGAGCUGCUCAACAGCUGUUUGCAUAUCUUUCACCUUCAAGUCAAGAUCAUAGAACUUUGUCUCAAUGAUCCUCUCCAGGCUCUCUUGAUUCCAAGUCAGGAUGGCCAGUCCUUUCUCAAUCCUCAAAGUGGCUUGAAUAAGAUAUCCAAGUUGAUCUUGAUUUGACUCGAGGAAGAUUUGUGAAGCCUCUUCAACACUUGGCAUCUUGGCUGCCUUCUCAGCUUUUGCUUUCUCCCUCUUCUCUUGAGCCUCUACUGAUGUGGGAUCUUCAUCAUCCAUGACAGCUGUGUUGUCCUCAAAGUCAGGCCUCAAGGGAAGGUGUUCUUUAUCUAACAAGUAUGUGCCUGUGCUCAUCUUGGAGUUGAUGAGCAUCUGGAUGUGUGGAGCAUUCCCACAUGAUCUCUUUUGGUCAGCAGCUGUUCUCUUGAUGGUCUCAACAAUCAAACUCAUUACUUUAAACUUCUGGGGAACAUCAAACAACUGAAGCAAAUUGAUGGAGUGGCCUCUGAUCAUCCUAUGAUCCCCUGAUUUGGGCAACAAGGUGUGCCUCAAGAUGGUGUUAAUAGCGGCCAGUCCAGACAACAGAUAAUAUACAAAGCCUAGCUUGUGAUUCUCCAAGGCUUUGUCAGGAAUCUCCUUGUACAUGUUGGCCAUGGAGUUGUGAUCUUUCUUUCUCUUGGCAUAGACAUCUAUGUCAUCCUUAAGCUCUUCAGGAGCAUUGACCAGCUUGGCCCAUUCAGCAACUGUUGAUUGGUACCUUGUACCUUUAGACAUCCAUACAAUCCUUCCAUCUGGAUAGAAAUGAGUUAUAUAAUAGAAUUGCAUAAUGAGCUCAUCAUUCCACUUGGUCAGUUUCCGACCCACAAAUUUGUCUACUCCAUUGAGUCCGAAGCUUUCAUGCACUCCUGGGAAGUGGUCUUCAUUGUUGUCGAUGUAUUUCCAGUCUACCCACUUCAUAUCACACACUAUGGGCUUCUUAUCCAACAGAAUUGUCUCAUAGAAGUCCUGCUGCUCCUUGGUGUGAAAUCUAUAGUCCACAACAGUCCUUCUCCUCACAGCAUAAGGGUCUGACUGUUGUCACGCCCAAUAUGCGACCCUAUCCGAGAGGAACUCGAAGGUCCCACCAGGGAUAGACCCGCAUAUUGAAACGCUUCUGCAAGGUGGAUAUCAUUACAUCAACAUUACAUAAUAGAUGGGGAUACAUACAAGAGGCUUACAAAUGCCGCAAGAAUACAUCAAUACAUCAUACAUAAGAUCAACAUCCGACUACGGAUGAAACACAAACAGAAACUCAAACGACAUCCACCCUGCUAGCCCAGGCUGCCGACCUGGAACCUAUCCCCUGAUCGAAGAAGAACUCCAAAACAAGUAACAUCGCUCUCGCGUCAUGAUCAUCGCAAAAACCUGUACCUGCAACUGUUGUUGUAGUAAUCUGUGAGCCACGAGGACUCAGCAAUCCCAUUACCAUGGGUAUCAAGACUAGCAAAGCUUAAUGGGUAAGGAAGGGGCAAAGUGGUGAGGUUGCAGCAGCGACUACGCAUGAUAUGGUGGCUAACAUACGCAAAUAAGAGCGAGAAGAGAAGCAACAGAACGGUCGAGAAGCUAGAAAUGAUCAAGAAGUGAUCCUGAACUCCUACUUACGUCAAACAUAACGCAAAAACCGUGUUCACUUCCCGGACUCCGCCGAAAAGAGAUCAUCACGGCUACACACGCGGUUGAUGCGUUUUAAUUAAGUCAAGUGUCAAGUUCUCUACAACCGGACAUUAACAAAUUCCCAUCUGCCACAUAACCGCGGGCACGGCUCUCGAAAGUUUAUACCCUGCAGGGAUGUCCCAACUUAGCCCAUUAUAAGCUCUCACGGUCAACGAAGGAUAUUCCUUCUCCCGGGAAGACCCGAUCAGUAUCGGAAUCCCGGUUUACAAGACAUUUCGACAAUGGUAAAACAAGACCAGCAAGACCGCCCGGAUGUGCCGACAAAUCCCGAUAGGAGCUGCACAUAUCUCGUUCUCAGGGCACACCAGAUGAGCCAGACGUCGGGUUGGCAUAAACCCUGGUUGCCCAGGGGGCGCCGGACAUCGCUCGGUUUGGACCAGCACUCGGAGGAGCACUGGCCCGGGGGUUUAAAAUAAAGAUGACCCUUGAGUCCGUGGAACCCAAGGGAAAAAAGGCUUAGGUAGGCAAAUGGUAAAACCAAGGUUGGGCCUUGCUGGAGGAGUUUUAUUCAAAGCGAACUGUCAAGGGGUCCCCAUAACACCCAACCGCGUUAGGAACACAAAAUCAAGGAACAUAACACCGGUAUGACGGGAACUAGGGCGGCAAGAGUGGAACAAAACACCAGGCAUAAGGCCGAGCCUUCCACCCUUUUACCAAGUAUAUAGACGCAUUAAUUAAAUAAUAGAUAUUGUGAUAUCCCAACAAAGUUCAUGAUAUCCAUGUUCCAACAUGGAACAAACUUCUUCAUCUUCACCAGCAACUAGCAACGCUAUAAGAGGGGUUGAGCAAAAGCGGUAACAUAGCCAAACAACGGUUUGCUAGGAAGGGUGAAAAAGGUUAGAGGCUGACAUGGCAAUCUGGGAGGCUUAAAGAGCAAGUGAUAGGUAGCACAGCAUAGCGAUAGAACGAAGCAGCUAGCAUAGCAAUGAUAGUAGUGAGAUCCAGGGUAGCGGUCAUCUUGCCUGAAAUCCCGCUAGGAAGAAGAACGAGUCCAUGCAGAAGAUGAAGCCGCAAAGACGAACCAAGCGUAGACGAACGAAUCCUCACGAUCGCAACGAAACAGGAACUAACGAGAAGGAGCACAACCGGAAAGAAGCAAACAACAAGGUAAACACACAGCACAUAAACAAGACAUGAUGCACAACCAAGCCGGAUGCAUGACAAAGCUACAUGAAGCUACUCAUGGCAAGAGAUGAUGCAUACAAGAGCAACACAUCAAAGCAAGUUUAAAUGAGGCCGGAAACAACAUAUGACAAUUCCGGUAAGUCCUCAUAAGCAAAUUUCGAAAUUGGUCCAGAUCUGAAUAAACCUUAUGUUCAAAUUGUUAAACAGCAAGUUAAGAUGCACAAAGAUGAUCUACACGACAUUCUAGUCAAGUUACAUAUAAAGUUUAUUUAGUUCAGAGCUACGGCCUAGAAGAUAUGAGCAAAACAAGAUAAACAUGACAUUGAUGCAAAAUGCAUUCAAACAUCAAGAAAACACCUCAAAUAAAGGAUGCAACAUGAUAAGACGAAACUACAUGCAAUUCUAAGCAAGUUUCAUAUAGGGCAUGCUCAAAACGGUGCAACACUUACACUCCAAACAAGAUAUAACAACAAUCUGUCCAAAACAGUAACUAGGCAUCUUGCAAGCAUCAUGAAUAUAUACUACAACACCCCAAUAUAAAAACAAAAGGCAUGGACAUGAAGUAAAGGUAAAGCAUUACAAAACAUGAACACUAAGCUAUCUCCAAAAAUCACUAGAACAUGCUCAAAAGGACAUGUCAAAAUUGCAAAUAAUAACAGUUCACAGACUUGGCAGAAAAACUCUGGGCAUGACAGAAAUAACAUCAGGUUACAAUGUUUAGAGCUAUCAAAUAACAAGUUACAGCAAGCUAUCAUGGAAAACUUAAGCAUGGCAUGCUAUUGCUAAAGACAAAGAACAAAAAUCCUUUACUGACUAAUUCCAAAGAUCAACAAAAAACAUGGUAGCAUCCAUGUAAACAUGGCAAGUAAUAUGACGGAUUCAGACUGAAAAUAACAGUUCAUGGCAGAAACAACGAUAAGUAGGCAUGUUGGUGAGCUUGAACCACUCGCCACAGAGCAAUACAUGGCAUGACAAGGUGACCAACAGUAAGAAGGAACAUUUAUGAAGCUAAAAAUAGCAAUAGCAUAGUCAUAGGGUGCAUGGAUCACUAGAAAAAACACAUGGCCAAACUGAACUUAAUGAUAACAGGCUGACAGCAACAUUAUUUAGGAACUUUAGAGCAAGUUUAGAACAAGCUACAGCAGGCUAUAAAUGCAACCAAGGGAAUGUAUAGAUAGAGAACAACAUGUAUAACAAAACAUUCUUAGUGAACAUCUCCAGAUUAUGCAUAGGACUCAUGGUAGCAGCAGGUUUACAUAGCAUCACAAUGUUACAGCUACAGACUUAGCAGAAAUGACUAAGUCACAGAAAUCAGCAACAUCAUGGAGGCUACUUUGCAUGCUUGUGCUAGUAACCACAUAUAUCAAAAAAAUUCAAGACAAGCACCCCUGUAAGGAUGGCAUGAUGUAGUUCAAAACACAUGUAGAGCUCAUGCUCAUAGGAUGCACACACAAAAUGCAACGAAAAUAACAAAUCAGCAAGUUCUGUAAACAAACAGCAGUUAACAUCAUAUAGCACUCUUGCAACGAUGAUUAGGGCAUCAAGAUGAACUCAAACAAGCAUGUCACAAUCUAAGAAAAUGAAGAGCAUCUCAUGAUGAAGAUUUCGACAUAUUAUACAACAUUAUAGGACAAAUAUGCACAAAGUUACACCCUCCACAAGAUGCAUGAAUGAUGUGAAAUCUCAGGGACUUGGUGAAAUAUACCCUCCGAAAACAGAUUUAGGGUUUGACCCAGCGCAGACUUCGAGGCGAGGCUGAUCUGGCCGGGGACGCGGGGAACGACGACCGGAGUUGGGGGAGAGGUCGCCGGCGAGGGCGGGGUCGCCGGAUCUAGGGCCGGCGAGGUCCGAGGCGACGCGGUAGGGAGCUCGUGCUCCUGUCUAUGGAGAGAGGAGGGUGAUUAGGGUUAGGGAGAGAGAGAAGAGCAGGGGAGAAGGGAUGGCGGCGGAGCUGGCCUAGGGGAAGCGGCGGCGGCGCAUGGCGGCGGGGCGCCGGCGAGGGGUGACUUCGGCGAUCGAGGCGGCGGGGCGAGGUCGCGGCGCACGGCGGCGGGGAUGGAGGCACNNNNNNNNNNNNNNNNNNNNNNNNNNNNNNNNNNNNNNNNNNNNNNNNNNNNNNNNNNNNNNNNNNNNNNNNNNNNNNNNNNNNNNNNNNNNNNNNNNNNNNNNNNNNNNNNNNNNNNNNNNNNNNNNNNNNNNNNNNNNNNNNNNNNNNNNNNNNNNNNNNNNNNNNNNNNNNNNNNNNNNNNNNNNNNNNNNNNNNNNNNNNNNNNNNNNNNNNNNNNNNNNNNNNNNNNNNNNNNNNNNNNNNNNNNNNNNNNNNNNNNNNNNNNNNNNNNNNNNNNNNNNNNNNNNNNNNNNNNNNNNNNNNNNNNNNNNNNNNNNNNNNNNNNNNNNNNNNNNNNNNNNNNNNNNNNNNNNNNNNNNNNNNNNNNNNNNNNNNNNNNNNNNNNNNNNNNNNNNNNNNNNNNNNNNNNNNNNNNNNNNNNNNNNNNNNNNNNNNNNNNNNNGAUGCGCGGGCCGGCGGGGCCUAGAUGCGGCCCGGAGCGGGCCAGCUGCGGGCUCCCACGGGCCGCGGCAGAGGAGGGCGCGGGGAGGACGGCGGCGUGACACUUGGUGGCGCGGGGUAGGCUGUGGGCGGCGGCGCGGCUGAGGUGGCGAGCCACGAUUGGCCGAAGCGACGUGGAGGCGGCGGUGGACGCGUCCGGCGACCGGGUGGACACGUCCGACUGCGGGAGGAGGAAGAUUGCUAGGGUUUGGACUGCGAAAUUCGGGGAAGGGGACUUAUUUAUAGGUAGAGGGAGCUAGGAGAGUCCAAAUGAGGUACGGUUUUCGCCCACACGAUCGUGAUCGAACGGCGAAGAGCAUGGCGGGGAGUUUGCUUGGUUAGUGGGCUGAUUUGGAGGGGUGUUGGGCUGCAAGACAAAAGGGGCUUUCGGGGUACGCGGUUAACCGUUGGGGCAUCAAACGACGUCCAAAUGGAACGAAAUUUGAUGGGCGGUCUACCGGUGAUAUACCAAGGCCACUCGGCAAAUCUUGGCCCAUUCCGAGAACAUUUUGCUGUGGCUCACAAAACAAGGUCUGAGAGGGGCGCCGGGGCGCGUGUGGGAGUGUCGAAACGCGAAACGGACAACGGGGCAAAAGACCGAAUGCAAGUUCUGAAAAAUAUGCAGAUGAAAAGCAGAUGAUGACAUGGCAAGGUGCAACACACAAGCAAAUGACAUGGCAACGACGACGAAUAACUGGAAGACACCUGGCGCAUCGGAUUCGGGGCGUUACAACUGUCUCCACAAUCUGAGACCUGCAUCCUUUCUGACUUUCAUAUUUUCUGCCACUGGAUGAUUGUUAUCAUGGUCAGGGAUCUUUGGCUUUAACUUUCUGAGCACUUGGGCUUCAUCAUCUUCUUCUUCUUCAAUUUCAGGCACUAGGGCCUUGUUCUUCUCAGCAGCUGGUAUGUUUCUUGUGCUCCUCUUUGGUGCAGUCUUGGGGGCUGGAGCAGAAGCUUUGGGGGGCAGUCUUGGGCUUUGAUGGAGCAGCCCCAGACUUGAUGGCAUCCUCCAUCAGCUUCUGAGAUUUAGGUGCUGGUGCAGCAUCCUCUUCUUCAUCUUCUUCCUCAUCUUCAGCUGGGUCUUUCAUCAUAGAGGAUCUGCCAAUUACUCUGGCCAUGGUCUUCUUGACCCUUUCCUUUCUCUUCUUGCCCUCACCAGCCUCCUUUGGUUCAAGAGUGAACUCAAUGGUUUCCUGUGUUGAGGCCCUAGCUUUGGACAUGGGCACUAUCUUUGCAGGAGCCUUCUUGUUCAAACCAGGUUUUGUUGAAGCAGUUGUGCCAAAUUCUUUCUUAACAACUUUCUUCUUGGAGCUGACCUCCUCCUCAGCAGCAACAUAGUCUUCAUCCUCUGAAUCAGAAUUUCUCUUUCUCCUCUGCCUAGUAGCAGCCUUAGGCAGGCUGCUAGGAGUACUUUUGCUGCCUUCAUCAUAACUGCCAGAGGGACUAGUGCCCUCACUCAGAUUUACCUGCUCCUCAGACCUGUUCUGGCUAUCACUCUGAUCUGACAUUGUUGACACUGCAAACUGAAAGCUGACCCUGUGAAUAGUUAUAGAUGAGAUAGAGUGGAUGAGCAUCACAAAGUGUAGAGAUUUUGCAAAACAAAUGAGUCAAAAACUUACUUUUAGUUUUCCAUAGAAAGCAUUUCGGAGCUACCGAUUUGUUAAACUCGGUGACACCAAACCAACUUUGGAGUCUAAACUAGUGAAAUUGGUCAGACCGAGACACAGUUCGGUGACUCCGAGAUUGCUAGGGUUUCACUGAGAGUUGAACUCGGUCACACCAAUUUGCAAGUUUUGGUCAGACCGAAAGUUACAGGUGCAAUGGCCUAUGCCAAAUCGGUGAGACCGAUUUCCACAACUCGAUCGGUCCGAGAUGAGUUUGGCGGAAACCUAACCCUAAAUUUUCGACUCAAAUCAAAUCUAAAGGAAGUUUUUGCUGGAUAGGAUGAUCUCAUACGUGGUAAGAAUCAUGGCAUUGAUUUUGUGCUAAGAAUAGGAGUAAAAGGAUUGCACAAAGGGUCGAACUCAUACCCUAACUUGGCGAUGAGCUCGCUACAGCGGCAACGACGGUGAAGAUUUCCGUUGACAGCGACGGAGACCAGCGGCAGAAGGUCGCUGGCGAUGAGAGGACGAUCCGGAGACCCGAGUCGGUAGAGCAGGACACGCGCGGGCGAAAAGGUUUGAGAGAAAUUUCCAAAAUUUUACCCCUCGGUAUAUAUAUCCUGACCCUGUCGGUGUGACCGAGUGGAACAACUCGGUGGCACCGAGAUGCAGAAUCGCAAGCGGUUACUGCAACUCGAUGUGACCGAAUGGUUCUAAUCGGUUGCACCGAGAUUGAAAACCUAGAUCAACUCAGUGAACUUGGUUUGACCGAAAAGGAUGAAUCGGUCAGACUGGAAUACAUAGAGAGGUUUUGGAAGUUUAAGUCUAUGAGGAAUCGGUGACUCCGAGUGCUCCUCACCCAGAGGGUUCGAAUCUGACUUGAUCAAACUUUGUGAUCUAGCAUGAAUAGAGUUUGAGACGAGAAAAGCAUAGAUAGCUAGAGGAAGUUCUUAGGCAUUCUUGUCCAUCCAUUUGGCAAAAGAAGAAGAGCCAAAUAAUCAAAGCAAUAAAUGGAUGUCCUCGAAUGGGAAAAAUAUGCAAUCAACAUGCUCACACAAAAAGAUGGCAAAUGAAAUAUGUGACGAAGCAUGCACAGACACUCUAGCAUCUAUCAAGCAAUUGGCGAUGACUAGGUCAUCUAUAUAUGAGUAUAUUGACUUAGGAGUCAAAUGAGAACAUUUGAUCACAGGUCAUACUCAUCGUUUAAGCGGAAGUGGGGUUACCACUUUUACAUAAAGCAUUGUUGUGUUCACACCAUUAGAGUUGCUUUAGAUCAAUUCUUAGAGUAAAGCUCCCCCUAGAUGUGAUAUCCCCCCUAAGAGGGAUGAACUAACCUUGGGUUUUGUCGAUGAUGACUUCAUGUAGAUGUUGAAGAUGUGGAUGCUCAAUGUUGAUGUAGAUCCUUUGGAGCAAUCCAUUGGAGUGAGUUGCGCCUUCAAUACCUACACGGGUUAGUCCCACAAGGAACAAACAAGGAUAUCCCAUAGACAUAGAGUGAAGUACACACAAGAUGAUGUCCAUGAAAGCAUUAGGUUAACUUGUCCCUUGUCCUACCAACAAGAGGGUUUGUGACUCCUUAAACUAGUGCAAGAUAUGGAGGUUGUUUGCACUUGUUCUCGCCAAAAUGAUAUGAGUGAAAUAUGUUGGCGGAGUCACCCUUAAGAACUCUCUAGUUCUUCUUGAAGGAAAUAUGCCCUAGAGGCAAUAACAAAGUUUUUAUUUAUAUUUCAUUAUAUCAUGAUAAAUGUUUAUUAUUCAUGCUACAAUUGUAUUAACCGGAAACUUAGUACACGUGUGAAUACAUAGACAAACAGUGUCACUAGUAUGCCUCUACUUGACUAGAUAGUUGAAUCAAAGAUGGUUAAGUUUCCUAGCCAUAGACAUGAGUUGUCAUUUGAUUAACGGGAUCACAUCAUUAGAGAAUGAUGUGAUUGACUUGACCCAUUCCGUAAGCUUAGCACUUGAUCGUUUAGUUUGGUUCUAUUGCUUUCUUCAUGACUUAUACAUGUUCCUAUGACUAUGAGAUUAUGCAACUCCCAAAUACCGGAGGAACACUUAGUGUGCUAUCAAACGCCACAACGUAAUUGGGUGAUUAUAAAGAUGCUCUACAGGUGUCUCCGAUGGUGUUUGUUGAGUUGGCCUAGAUCGAGAUUAGGAUCUGUCACUCCGAGUAUCGGAGAGGUAUCUCUAGGCCUUCUCGGUAAUGCACAUCACUAUAAGCCUUGCAAGCAAUGUGACUAAUGAGUUAGUUGCGGGAUGAUGCAUUACGGAACGAGUAAAGAGACUUGCCGGUAACGAGAUUGAACUAGGUAUUGAGAUACCGACGAUCGAAUCUCGGGCAAGUAACAUACCGAUGACAAAGGGAACAACAUAUGUUGUUAUGCGGUUUGACCGAUAAAGAUCUUCGUAGAAUAUGUAGGAACCAAUAUGAGCAUCCAGGUUCCACUAUUGGUUAUUGACCGGAGAUGAGUCUCGGUCAUACAUAGUUCUCGAACCCGUAGGGUCCGCACGCUUAACGUUCGGUGACGAUUGGUAUUAUGAGUUUAUGUGUUUUUAUGUGCCGAAGGUUGUUCGGAGUCCCGGAUGUGAUCACGGACAUGACGAGGAGUCUUGAAAUGGCCGAGACAUAAAUAUCGAUAUAUUGGAUGGCUAUGUUUGGGCAUCGGAAUGGUUCCGGGUGAGUUCGGGCAUUUACCGGAGUACCGGGAGGUUACCGGAACCCCCCGGGGAGUAUAUGGCCUUAGUGGGAGAGAGGAGGAGGCGGCCGAGGUGGGGGCACGCCCCCCAAGCCCAAUCCGGAUUGGGGUGGGGGCCGGCCCCCCUUUCCUUCUCCCUCUCCCCUCCUUCCUUCCUCUCCUACUCCAACUAGGGAAGGGGGGGAAUCCUACUCCCGGUGGGAGUAGGAUCCCCCUUGGGCAUGCCAUAGAGAGGGCCGGUCCUCCCCUCCUCCACUCCUUUAUAUAUACGGGGGAGGGGCACCCCAUAGACACACAAGUUGAUUGUUUAGCCGUGUGCGGUGCCCCUCACCACAGAUUUCCACCUCGGUCAUAUCAUUGUAGUGCUUAGGCAAAGCCCUGCGUCGGUAACUUCAUCAUCACCAUCAUCAUGUCGUUGUACUGACAAAACUCUCCCUCAACCUCAGCUGGAUCUAGAGUUCGUGGGACGUCACCGAGCUGAACAUGUGCAGAUCACGGAGGUGCCGUACGUUCGGUGCUAGGAUCGAUCGGAUCAUGAAGACGUACGACUACAUCAACCGCGUUGUCAUAACACUUCCACUUUCGGUCUACAAGGGUACGUAGACAACACUCUCCCCUGUCGUUGCUAUGCAUCACCUAGAUAGAUCUUGCGUGAUCGUAGGAUUUUUUUUGAAAUUACUGCGUUCCCCAACAGUGGCAUCAGAGCCAGGUCUAUGCGUAGAUGUUAUAUGCAUGAGUAGAACACAAAGAGUUGUGGGCGAUAAUAGUCAUACUGCUUACCAGCAUGUCAUACUUUGAUUCGGCGGUAUUAUUGGAUGAAGCGGUCCGGACCGACAUUACGCGUACGCUUACGCGAGACUGGUUCUACCGACGUGCUUUGCACACAGGUGGCUGCCGGGUGUCAGUUUCUCCAACUUUAGUUGAAUCGAGUGUGACUACGCCCGGUCCUUGUUGAAGGUUAAAACAGCACACUUGACAAAAAAUCGUUGUGGUUUUGAUGCGUAGGUAAGAACGGUUCUUGCUCAGCCCGUAGCAGCCACAUAAAACUUGCAACAACAAAGUAGAGGAUGUCUAACUUGUUUUUGCAGGGCAUGUUGUGAUGUGAUAUGGUCAAGACAUGAUGCUAAAUUUUAUUGUUUGAGAUGAUCAUGUUUUGUAACAGAGUUAUCGGCAACUGGCAGGAACCAUAUGGUUGUCGCUUUAUUGUAUGAAAUGCAAUCGCCAUCUAAUUGCUUUACUUUAUCUCUAAGCGGUAGCGAUAGUCGUAGAAGCAAUAGUUGGCGAGACGACAAUGAUGCUACGAUGGAGAUCAAGGUGUCGCGCCGGUGACGAUGGUGAUCAUGACGGUGCUUUGGAGAUGGAGAUCAAAGGCACAAGAUGAUGAUGGCCAUAUCAUAUCACUUAUAUUGAUUGCAUGUGAUGUUUAUCCUUUAUGCAUCUUAUUUUGCUUAGUUCGGCGGUAGCAUUAUAAGAUGAUCUCUCACUAAAUUUCAAGGUACAAGUGUUCUCCCUGAGUAUGCACCGUUGCGGAAGUUUGUCGUGCCGAGACACCACGUGAUGAUCGGGUGUGAUAAGCUCUAUGUUCACAUACAACGGGUGCAAGCCAGUUUUGCACACGCAGAAUACUCGGGUUAAACUUGACGAGCCUAGCAUAUGCAGAUAUGGCCUCGGAACACUGAGACCGAAAGGUCGAGCGUGAAUCAUAUAGUAGAUAUGAUCAACAUAGUAAUGUUCACCAUUGAAAACUACUCCAUCUCACGUGAUGAUCGGACAUGGUUUAGUUGAUUUGGAUCACGUGAUCACUUAGAUGAUUAGAGGGAUGUCUAUCUAAGUGGGAGUUCUUAAGUAAUAUGAUUAAUUAAACUUUAAUUUAUCAUGAACUUAGUACCUGAUAGUAUUUUGCAUGUCUUUGUUGUUGUAGAUCAAUGGCCCGUGCUACUGUUCCUUUGAAUUUUAAAGCGUUCCUAGAGAAAGCUAAGUUGAAAGAUGAUGGUAGCAACUACACGGACUGGGUCCGUAACUUGAGGAUUAUCCUCAUUGCUGCACAGAAGAAUUACGUCCUGGGAGCACCGCUAGGUGCGAGACCCGCUGCAGGAGCAACACUGGACGUUGUGAACGUCCGGCAGAGCAAAGCUGAUGACUACUCGAUAGUUCAGUGUGCCAUGCUUUACGGCUUAGAACCAGGACUUGAAUGACGUUUUGAAUGUCAUGGAGCAUAUGAGACGUUCCAGGAGUUGAAGUUAAUAUUUCAAGCAAAUGCCCGAUUGAGAGGUAUGAAGUCUCGAAUAAGUUCUAUAGCUGCAAGAUGGAGAAGAAUAGUUCUGUCAGUGAGCAUAUACUCAAAAUGUCUGGGUAUCAUAAUUACUUGACUCAGCUGGGAGUUAAUCUUCUGGUUGAUAGUGUCAUUGACAGAGUUCUUCAAUCACUGCCACCAAGCUACAAAAGAUUCGUGAUGAACUAUAACAUGCAAGGGAUGGACCGAGCUCUUCGCAAUGCUAAAGGCUGCGGAGGUAGAAAUCAAGAAGGAGCAUCAAGUGUUGAUGGUCAAAAAGACCACCAGUUUCAAGAAAAAGUGUCGUGGAAUUGUCACAUCAGAUGUCCUAGUGUGAGGACUUAGUCGUGAGGCCAACACAUCUAUAUGGUAGUUUGAGAGGGGUUGAUCGGAAUCGAGAGGCGCAAUGCAAGACAAGAGUUUGGACAGCUUCGGGCCCUGGGAAACAUCAUCCGGUAACAACCCUACAUGCUGUUUGAGGCUAGGUCUCACUAUCAUCCCGAGGGAGUCGCCGUAAACCGGCUCUCCCAGUUAUGUCUAGCCCUAAGAUUGUUUUCCUCCCCUCUUGGGGUGCCCCGCCCCUCCUUAUAUAUGUUGAAGGGGCGGGUUACAUGUAGAGUCCAACUCGGACUUAAGACUUAACUAUUCUGACUUCUCUUCAUGGGCUUCUUAACAUCUUGGGCUUCAUAACGUCUCGGGCUUCAUAACCCCUGGCAACCCAGUUAUCACUGUCUGCCGGGUUAUGACUGGUGCCGGUUUAUGAUGGUCUGCCGGUUUAUGAUUGUCCGCUGAGUUAUCAUCUGACUUAACUCCUGCCGGGUUAUCAUCUGACUUAACUCCUGUCGGGUUAUCAUCUGACUUAACUCCUGCCGGGUUAUCACUUCGGCCGGGUCAUACCGCGGGGUAUAUCCCCGACAUUAGCCCCCAGUUUAAUUUGGAUUUAUCCAUGUUAAACUGAUCCUGAUCAUCCUUAAAUCCUUGUCAUUUCCUUCUUCUAGAAAAUCCGGGUCAAUAGGCCAACUUCAUAAUCAAUUUGCUGACAUUGGUUUGUCAUAAAGAAAUAUUGUGAAGAAUAACUAAUUUGACUCAGCUCCCAAUGCUUAACAAAAAUAUUGGUCUUUGAAAUACUCAUCUGAUCUUCAGCCGGUUUAAGAAUGUAGAACUUGCCGGUUUAUCAUUGCCAAAAUUGCCGGUUUAUGAAUAUUGAUGGCACCGGAUCAUAACUGUUUGUUAACAUCAGCUUUGAAAAUAUACCUAUUAUAUGCCUAUCACUUGUAGCCCCCAAGUUUUAAGAAGGCAUCGUAGUAACAGCUUAAGAUUUGCUUCAAUAUGAAUGUCACAAGCUUGAAGAAAUCCAAUUUGUUCAUCUCAGUCACUAGUCAAACCUGAAUAUUCCACAUAUGUAACCCCCAAGUGCCGGGUUGUCAUGCUUGCAGCAACCUGGGACUUGAAAUUGCCUUAUGCUCAUGAAAACUUCAACCAGUGUAGCUGUAACACCCAUGAUGCAGCUAUAUCUCCCACAUGUCGAGGCACGACUUAGAGGCAUAACCGCAUUGUUGGUAUUGUCGCAAGAAGGGUCAUCUUCACACAAUCCCAUGUAAUGAACAAGAAUGGGAUAAAGAGAGUUGGCUUACAAUCGCCACUUCACACAAUACAUAAAUUAAUUCAUACAUCAUCCAAAAUCCACACAUAGACCGACUACGGUCAAAUCCAAAUGGAAAGAAGAUAACCCCAAAUGCUAGAUCCCCGAUCGUCCCAACUGGGCUCCACUACUGAUCAUCAGGAAACGAAACAUAGUAACGACCACGUUCCUCGUCGAACUCCCACUUGAGCUCGGUUGCGUCACCAGCACUGGUAUCGUCGGCACCUGCAACUGUUUUGGUAGAAUCUGUGAGUCACGAGGACUCAGCAAUCUCACACCCGCGAGAUCAAGACUAUUUAAGCUUAUAGGAAGGAUGGGGUAAUGAGGUGGAGCUGCGGCAAGCACUAAGCAUAUAUGGUGGCUAACAUACGCAAAUGAGAGCGAGAAGAGAAGCAACGCAUCGGUCGAGAAGCUAGAAGUGAUCAAGAAGUGAUCCUGAAACUACUUACGUUCAUGCAUAACCCAAACCGUGUUCACUUCCCGGACUCCGCCGAAAAGAGACCAUCACGGCUACACACACGGUUGAUGUAUUUUAAUUAAGUCAAGUGUCAAGUUCUCUACAACCGGACAUUAACAAAUUCCCAUCUGCCACAUAACCGUGGGCACGGCUUUCGAAAGAUAAUACCCUGCAGGGUUGUCCCAACUUAGCCCAUUAUAAGCUCUCACGGUCAACGAAGGAUAUUCCUUCUCCCGGGAAGACCCGAUCAGACUCGGAAUCCCGGUUUACAAGACAUUUCGACAAUGGUAAAACAAAACCAGCAAGACCACCCGACUGUGCCGACAAAUCCCGAUAGGAGCUGCACAUAUCUCGUUCUUAGGGCACACCGGAUGAGACAUCCUACGAGUAAAACCANNNNNNNNNNNNNNNNNNNNNNNNNNNNNNNNNNNNNNNNNNNNNNNNNNNNNNNNNNNNNNNNNNNNNNNNNNNNNNNNNNNNNNNNNNNNNNNNNNNNNNNNNNNNNNNNNNNNNNNNNNNNNNNNNNNNNNNNNNNNNNNNNNNNNNNNNNNNNNNNNNNNNNNNNNNNNNNNNNNNNNNNNNNNNNNNNNNNNNNNNNNNNNNNNNNNNNNNNNNNNNNNNNNNNNNNNNNNNNNNNNNNNNNNNCUCGGGCUCGCGAAAACCCAAGGGGAAAAGACUUAGGUAGGCAAAUGUAAGACCAAGGUUGGGUCUUGCUGGAGGAGUUUUAUUCAAGGCGAACUGUCAAGGGGGUCCCAUAAAUCACCCAACCGCGUAAGGAACGCAAACUCAACGAACAUAACACCGGUAUGACGGAAACUAGGGCGGCAAGAGUGGAACAAAACACCAGGCAUAAGGCCGAGCCUUCCACCCUUUACCAAAUAUAUAGAUGCAUUAAUUAAAUAAGAGAUAUUGUGAUAUGCCAAAAUAUCCAUGUUCCAACAUGGAACCAACUUCAACUUCACCCGCAACUAGCAACGCUAUAAGAAGGGCUGAGCAAAAGCGGUAACUUAGCCAAACAACGGUUUGCUAGGAAAGAAUGGUUAGAGGCUUGACAUGGCAACAUGGGAGGCAGGAUAUAGCAAGUGGUAGGUAGCACAGCAUAGCAAUAGAGCGAACAACUAUCAAAGCAAAGAUAGAAGUGAUUUCGAGGGUAUGGUCAUCUUGCCUGCAAGGUUCUCAGAGUUGUCGAAAGUUUGAUCCUCAUAAGCGUUCUCAACAGGUUCCUCGUAAGCGUUCUCGUCUCCCGGCUCUACCCAAAGCAAGAACACAAACAAAGGACCAACAAUCAAUCACGGGAAAUGCACAAGCAACAUGAUGCAAUACAUGCAUGAUAUGCGAGAUGUGAUAUGCGAUGCAUAUGCGUGCUCCGGAAGAAAAAGGAUGAACAAGGGAUCAACUUGGAAAAGCAAGUAUGCCGCUAGAAAGAUGAGAUGAUUUUGGUUGAAAUCGAUAUAAAGAUCACCGGAAUCGGAUGCACGGUUUACAAAUGACAAGCAAAACAAGGAUAACACAAUUCUGCGAUUAACAACACGAUGCCACUUAGUAUGCAACAAGACUCUAAGCUACUGCACUCCAACAUAACAACAAAGUAUAUGACAGUGAUCCACUCAAGGUGCUUGAAAAAAGAUAAACAUUGAGCUACGGCUAGAUCACAAAAUAACAGGUUCAAACAAGAAUGGGAAAAGUGCAAAAGAUAUCAGCUUCACAGACUUGCUGAAAAAACUAACAUGCCAGAAAUAACAUCAGGAAGCCAUGUUUAGAGCAAGCAAACAGCAUGCUACAUGAACAUAUCAUAGCAAAUCAAGGCAUGGAAUGAAUCUACUAAAUUCAUAGAACAAAAGCCCCUUACUGAUCAUGAGCUAAAAAGGCACAGAAGAUAUGAUGGCACCCAUGUAAACAUAGCAAGUUUCGUUAACAGGUUUCAGACUUGGCAGAAAACAGAGCAUGGCAAUAACAGAAUUAUGAAGGCAUCUUUGUGAGCUCGAUUCACUCAUCACAAGGCAAUGCAUGACAAACCGAGCAUACCAACAGCAAGAAUACAUGUUCAUGAAGCUAUCCAUGGCAAGAACAAGUUCAUAGCAUGUAUGGGUCAACCACAACAACCUUGGCAAAAUUGAAUAGCAUGUUAACAUUCUGCCAGGAACAUUUUAUAGCAAAAGUAGAGCAAGAUUGAGACAUGCUAGGGCACUCCAUAAUUGCAAACAGGGGCAUGGAUGGAUAUAGCAAAACCAUAUGUUCAAAACAUCCUUACUGAACAUACUCAAAAGAAGCACGGAUCUCACUGUAGCCACAUGGAUACAUGGCACCAAAAUAACAGCAGGAAAAGACUUAGCAAAAUCCUAAGUCCCUGAAAACAGAAACAUCACGAAGCCUUGUUUGCAUACUUGUUCUAGUCACCACAUAGAUCACAAAAAUACAUGGCAUACACCCCUGUAAAGAUGGAAUGGCAUAGAUCAAAACACAUGUAGAGCUCAUGCCCAAAAGAUGCACACAUCAAAUGCAGAAAAAAUAACAAAACAUCAAGUUCUGAUAAGUAACAGUAGUAAACAUCAUAUAGCACUCUUAAAAUGAAGCUUUAGGCAUCAAGAUGAGCUCAAACAGACAUGGCACAAUCGAACCAAAUGAAGAGCAUAACCUGAUGAACAUUUCGAUAUAUCAUGCGCAUGAAACGGAGCAGUAUGCAAGGAGAUAAGAUGUGAUGAACAGGGCAACAAAAUGUGAGAAUUUAGGGACUUGGAGGAUUUUCGGGGGUCAACCUUCUCAGAUCUAGGAUUCGCACGCGAACCGAGGCGGGGCCGGAGCUCUCGCCGGAGCUGGAGGANNNNNNNNNNNNNNNNNNNNNNNNNNNNNNNNNNNNNNNNNNNNNNNNNNNNNNNNNNNNNNNNNNNNNNNNNNNNNNNNNNNNNNNNNNNNNNNNNNNNNNNNNNNNNNNNNNNNNNNNNNNNNNNNNNNNNNNNNNNNNNNNNNNNNNNNNNNNNNNNNNNNNNNNNNNNNNNNNNNNNNNNNNNNNNNNNNNNNNNNNNNNNNNNNNNNNNNNNNNNNNNNNNNNNNNNNNNNNNNNNNNNNNNNNNNNNNNNNNNNNNNNNNNNNNNNNNNNNNNNNNNNNNNNNNNNNNNNNNNNNNNNNNNNNNNNNNNNNNNNNNNNNNNNNNNNNNNNNNNNNNNNNNNNNNNNNNNNNNNNNNNNNNNNNNNNNNNNNNNNNNNNNNNNNNNNNNNNNNNNNNNNNNNNNNNNNNNNNNNNNNNNNNNNNNNNNNNNNNNNNNNNNNNNNNNNNNNNNNNNNNNNNNNNNNNNNNNNNNNNNNGCGGGACGGCGCGGCGGCGGGGUCGAUGCGGAGGCGGCGAACGGCGGGCCGAGGCGGUGGGGAGGUGCUCGGGGCGUGGGGCGGCGACCCGGGCCGGGAGGGCCCCACGCGGGCUCGCGGGGCGGCGGUGGAGGGACGCGGCGGCGUGCCAUGUGGCGGAGCGCGAUUGGCGCGGGGUGGCGGCGCGAUCUGUCCGGCCGGACCGGACGUGUCCGGCGGCGGAGAGGGAGCAGGGCUAGGGUUUCAGGACCCGGAUUUGGAGGAGGGGUGCACAUAUUUAUAGGUAGAGGGAGAUAGGAGACUCCAAAUGAGGUGCGGUUUUCGCCCACACGAUCGUGAUCCAACGACGGAGAGCAUGGAAGUGACUUAGAUGGGUUAUUGGGCUGUUUUGGAGGGGUGUUGGGCCGCAACACAAAAAAGGCCUUUGCGGUUACCCGGUUAACCGUUGGAGCAUCAAACGACCUCCAAAUGGAACGAAACUUGACAGGUGGUCUACCGGUAGUGUACCAAGGCCACUUGGCAAACCUCGGUCCAUUCCGAGAACGUUUAACACCCGCUCACGAAAAGAGACAAGAGGGGUGCGCCGGUGCAUGUGGGAGUGUCGGAUUGCAAAAGGACAACGGGGAAAAUGCUCGGAUGCAUGAGACGAACACGUAUGCAAAUGAGAUGCACAUGAUGACAUGAUAUAAGAUGCAUGACAUGAACAACAUGCAAAAUGAAAGACAAAACCCGACCACGAAGGGAAUAUCAUAACACAUAGCCGAAAAUGGCAAGAGUUGGAGUUACAAAUAUGGAAAGUCACAUCCGGGGCGUUACAACACUCCAUCACUACAAGAGGAUCUCGUCCCGAGAUCUAGGACUGAAAGAACUCCGGAUAUUCAUAACGGAGGUGGUCCUCGCGCUCCCAGGUGGCUUCCCGGUCGGAAUGGUGUGACCACUUUACUUUUAGGAAUUUGAUAGACUUGUUGCGAGUCUUGUGCUCAGUUUCUUCAAGAAUAGCAAUGGGGUGCUCAUGAUAAGACAAAUCUUCUUGGAGGUCAAUCUCUUCGAAGUUGAUGGUGCACUCAGGAGUCUUAAAGCACUUGCGAAGCUGUGACACGUGGAACACAUCGUGCACGUUCGCGAAGUUGGAGGGAAGCUCAAGUUAAUAGGCAAGGUCGCCUCUUUUGCCAAUGAUCUUGAAAGGACCCACGUAUCUAGGGGCAAGCUUCCCUUUGAUACCGAAGUGACGAGUGCCUUUCAUUGGAGAGACGCGGAGGUAGACAUGGUCUCCGAUCUCGAAAGCCAAGUCACGGUGCUUGCUAUCAUAGUAACUCUUCUGGCGCGAUUGCGUGGCUUUGAGAUUUUCACGGAUGACUUUACACAUUUCUUCAGCCUCUGUGAUUAAGUCAUUGCCAAGAAGUUGGCGUUCACCAGUCUCUGACCAAUUGAGAGGAGUACGACACUUUCUGCCAUAAAGAAUCUCGAAUGGGGCCUUGCCCGAACUCGCUUGGAAGCUGUUGUUGUAGGAGAACUCGGCAUAUGGAAGACAAUCUUCCCACUUCAUGCCAAAGUAAAUGACACAAGCCCUGAGCAUAUCUUCAAGGAUUUGAUUGACUCGCUCGACUUGGCCACUAGUUUGAGGAUGGAAAGCUGUGCUGAAGUGAAUGUUGGUGCCCAUGGCCUUCUGAAAGGAGUCCCAGAAGUUAGAAGUGAAGAUGCUUCCACGAUUUGAAGAUAUCAAUUGUGGAAUGCCAUGCAAGGAGACAAUCCUGGAGGUGUAUAGCUCUGCCAACUGAGUUGAUGUGACAUAUUCUUUGAUAGGAAGAAAAUGAGCCACUUUAGUAAGCUUGUCGAUGACAACGAAGAUAGCAUCAUUUCCACGCUUGGACUUAGGAAAUCCAGUCACGAAGUCCAUUUCGAUAUGAUCAAACUUCCAUUCUGGAAUAGCAAGAGGUUGGAGGAGACCAGCUGGUCGUUGGUGUUCUGCUUUCACCCUUCGACAGACAUCACAUUUGUUCACGAAUUGAGCAAUUUCUCGCUUCAUUCGAGUCCACCAAUACGACUGCUUGAGGUCAUGGUACAUCUUCGUACUUCCAGGAUGAAUGGAAAGAAGAGAAUUGUGCGCCUCGUUCAUAAUGACUUUCCUUAGAUCACCUUUAGAAACCACAAUCCGGUCCUCGAAGAAUAAAGUGUCUCUGUCAUCAAUGCGAUAGCACUUGUAUUUGGAAAGACCCUUGUCAAUACCACGUUUCACCUUCUUCACCAUGGUAUCCAGGAGUUGUGCCUCACGAAUUUGAUCUUCCAAAGUAGGAGAGACUAGGAGGUUGGCAAAAAAGCCUUGAGGAACAACUUGUAGAUUCAGUUUGCGGAAAGCUUCGCAAGGAUCCGGUUGGAAUGGUUUGAGAAUUAAGCUGCUGCAAUAAGCCUUCCUGCUCAAAGCAUCUGCAAUGACAUUGGCCUUGCCUGGAGUAUAUUCAAUACUCGGAUUGUACUCUUGAAUCAUUUCGACCCAUCGAGUUUGCCUGAGGUUGAGGUUGGGCUGAGUGAAGAUGUACUUGAGACUCUUGUGAUCAGUGAAUAUGUCCACUUUACUUCCCAACAAGAGAUGUCUCCAUGUUAUUAAUGCAUGAACAACUGCCGCCAACUCAAGAUUGUGAGUGGGGUAGUUCUUUUCGUUGGGCUUCAACUGACGAGAGGUAUAGGCCACAACUUUCUUCUCUUGCAUUAACACAGCACCGAGACCUUGAAGAGAAGCAUCACAGAAAACUUCGAAUGGCUUGGAUUCGUCAAGAGGAGUCAAGACAGGAGCUGUGACGAGUUUCUCUUUGAGAGUGUUGAAGGCAACGUCACACUUAGGAGUCCAGACAUACUUCACAUGCUUCUGGAGGAGGUUGGAAAGAGGCUUGACAUGGCAACAUUGGAGGCAUGAUAUAACAAGUGGUAGGUAGCACAUCAUAGCAAUAGAGCGAACAACUAUCAAAGCAAAGAUAGAAGUGAUUUCGAGGGUAUGGUCAUCUUGCCUGCAAGGUUCUCAGAGUUGUCGAAAGCUUGAUCCUCGUAAGCGUUCUCGUCUCCCGGCUCUACCCAAAGCAAGAACACAAACAAAGGACCAACAAUCAAUCACGGGAAAUGCACAAGCAACAUGAUGCAAUACAUGCAUGAUAUGCGAGAUGUGAUAUGCGAUGCAUAUGCGUGCUCGGAAGAAAAAGGAUGAACAAGGCAUCAACUUGGCAAACCAAGUAUGCCGCUGGAAAUAUGAGAUGAUUUCAGUUGAAAUCGAUAUAAAGAUCACCGGAAUCGGAUGCACGGUUUGCAAAUGACAAGCAAAACAAGGAUGGCACAAUUCUGCGAUUAACAGCACGAUGCCACUUAGUAUGCAACAAGAAUCUAAGCUACUGCACUCCAACAUAACAACAAAGCAUAUGACAGUGAUUCACUCAAGGUGCUUGACAAAAGAUGAACACUGAGCUAUGUCUAGACCACAAAAUAACAGGUUCAAACAAGCAUGGAAAAAGUGCAAAGAUAUCAGCUUCACAGACUUGGUGAAAAUACUAACAUGCCAGAAAUAACAUCAGGAAGCCAUGUUUAGAGCAAGCAAACAGCAUGCUACAGGAACAUAUCAUAGCAAAUCAAGGCAUGGCAUGAAUAUACUAAAUGCAUAGAACAAAAUCCCCUUACUAAUCAUGAGCUAAAAAGGCACAGAAGAUAUAAUGGCACCCAUGUAAACAUAGCAAGUUUCGUUAACAGGUUCCAGACUUGGCAGAAAACAGAGCAUGGCAAUAACAGAAUUAUGAAGGCAUCUUUGUGAGCUCGAUUCACUCAUCACAAGGCAAUGCAUGACAAAACGAGCAUACGAACAGCAAGAAUACAUGUUCAUGAAGCUAUCCAUGGCAAGAGCAAGUUCAUAGCAUGUAUGGAUCAACCACAACAACCUUGGCAAAAUUGAAUAGCAUGUUAACAUUCUGCCAGGAACAUUUUAUAGCAAACGUAGAGCAAGAUUGAGACAUGCUAGGGCACUCCAUAAUUGCAAACAGGGGCAUGGAUGGAUAUAGCAAAACCAUAUGUUCAAAACAUCCUUACUGAACAUACUCAAAAGAAGCACGGAUCUCACUGUAGCCACAUGGAUACAUGGCAUCAAAAUAACAGCAGGAAAAGACUUGGCAAAAUCCUGUCCCUGAAAACAGAAACAUCACGAAGCCUUGUUUGCAUGCUUGUUCUAGUCACCAUAUAGAUCACCAAAAUACAUGGCAUACACCCCUGUAAACAUGGAAUGGCAUAGAUCAAAACACAUGUAGAGCUGAUGCCCAAAAGAUGCACACAUCAAAUGCAGAAAAAAUAACAAAACAUCAAGUUCUGAUAAUUAACAGCAGUAAACAUCAUAUAGCACUCUUAAAACGAAGAUUUAGGCAUCAAGGUGAGCUCAAACAGACAUGGCACAAUCGAACCAAAUGAAGAGCAUGACCUGGUGAACAUUUCGAUAUAUCAUGCGCAUGAAACGGAGCAGUAUGCAAGGAGAUAAGAUGUGAUGAACAGGGCAACAUAAUGUGAGAAUUUUGGGACUUGGAGGAUUUUCGGGGGUCAACCUUCUCAGAUCUAGGAUUCGCACGUGAACCGAGGCGGGGCCGGAGCUCUCGCCGGAGCUGGAGGAGGGAGGUCACCGGAGAGACGGGGACGCCGGAUUUGGGCUGCGCCGGCUCGGAUCUGGUGGCGCGCGGCGGCGACCGGGGCGCGGGAGGCGUCGGGCGGCGGCGACCGGGGCGCGUGGCNNNNNNNNNNNNNNNNNNNNNNNNNNNNNNNNNNNNNNNNNNNNNNNNNNNNNNNNNNNNNNNNNNNNNNNNNNNNNNNNNNNNNNNNNNNNNNNNNNNNNNNNNNNNNNNNNNNNNNNNNNNNNNNNNNNNNNNNNNNNNNNNNNNNNNNNNNNNNNNNNNNNNNNNNNNNNNNNNNNNNNNNNNNNNNNNNNNNNNNNNNNNNNNNNNNNNNNNNNNNNNNNNNNNNNNNNNNNNNNNNNNNNNNNNNNNNNNNNNNNNNNNNNNNNNNNNNNNNNNNNNNNNNNNNNNNNNNNNNNNNNNNNNNNNNNNNNNNNNNNNNNNNNNNNNNNNNNNNNNNNNNNNNNNNNNNNNNNNNNNNNNNNNNNNNNNNNNNNNNNNNNNNNNNNNNNNNNNNNNNNNNNNNNNNNNNNNNNNNNNNNNNNNNNNNNNNNNNNNNNNNNNNCCCCGCGCGGGCUCGCGGGCCGGCGGUGGAGGGACGCGGCGGCAUGCCACGUGGUGGAGCAUGAUUGGCGCGGGGCGGCGGCGCGAUCUGUCCGGCUAGACCGGACGUGUCCGGCGGCGGAGAGGGGGCGGGGCUAGGGUUUCGGGACCCGGAUUUGGAGGAGGGGUGCACAUAUUUAUAGGUAGAGGGAGCUAGGAGACUCCAAAUGAGGUGCGGUUUUCGCCCACACGAUCGUGAUCCAACGACGGAGAGCAUGGAAGUGACUUAGAUGGGUUAUUUGGCUGUUUUGGAGGGGUGUUGGGCUGCAACACACAAAAGGCCUUUGCGGUUACCCGGUUAACCGUUGGAGCAUCAAACGACCUCCAAAUGGAACGAAACUUGACAGGUGGUCUACCGGUAGUGUACCAAGGCCACUUGGCAAACCUCGGUCAAUUCCGAGAACGUUUAACACCCGCUCACGAAAAGAGACAAGAGGGGUGCGCCGGUGCAUGUGGGAGUGUAGGAUUGCAAAACGGACAACGGGGAAAAUGCUCGGAUGCAUGAGACGAACACGUAUGCAAAUGAGAUGCACAUGAUGACAUGAUAUGAGAUGCAUGACAUGAACAAAAUGUAAAACGAAAGACAAAACCCGACCACGAAGGGAAUAUCAUAACACAUAGCCGAAAAUGGCAAGAGUUGGAGUUACAAAUAUGGAAAGUCACAUCCGGGGCGUUACAGUAGACCCAAGGGCCGUGUCAUUAUGCAAUAAUGAGCAGGGACUUUAUAGAUCUGAUCAUGUAAACUUUGAAUAGCAACGUGUAGCCCCCCAAGGGCCGGCUCAGUAAGAUAAUAUUGAGCUGGGACUUUAUAUAUGCGUCAUUGAAAAUAAUAUCAUAUGAUGUAAUUCCCAUCAUGGGGCUUGAACCCACGUCCAUAAGGUUAAGAGCUUUGUGCUUUACCAACUAAGGAGUGGACUCUUAAAUAUAAUGGAUUAAGACUUGUGUACCUUGAGUUGUUGACAGGAGCAAUUGGUAGCCCCCAAGGGCCGGCUCAUUACAAUGUGAUGAGUCGGGUCUUCAAUAAGGUGAUGAAAAAAAUGACUUUGCAUUAGCCCGCAAGUGCCAUGGUGCAUGCUGGAUGUGACAUGGGACUUGCAUAUUUGAUGUAAUCUCAAUUUGAAUAAUGUAGCCCCCAAGUACCGGGUCAUAAGCCUGCAGUGACUCGGGACUAUUCCUUCCAUUGUAGAAUAAAUCAUAUCCAUCGAUAAAAUAAUAUCCAUUGCGCUAAAGCGACUUUGAAAACCUCAAUCAUAAUACUGGUCAUUGAUAACCAUAGCAAAAAUCUAGCCAUGUUGGCUAUUAAAGAUUUGAAUAAUAUAAUGCAAUGAUUUAUAAGCGCAUGAUUCCAAUGCCGCAAUCCCAAUACAUAUACUGGUGACUUAACGUCCAAAGCCAGACCGGGUUAAUAAACGCCGGAUUAUAACUGAUCAUGUACUGACAACUUGUAGUUGAAAGUCGAACCGGGUUAAUGAACGCCGGUUUAUAAUAACAUUAUAAAUGUCACCAAAGGAGAAAAACUUGGCAAAUAAAAGCAUAUGAAAAACUUGUAGUCGAGGCUUUUCACGGGCUGCCAGGCCCCAAAUUCGAGGCUUUUCAUGGGCUGCCAAGCCACUGAGUUAAACCAUUUCGCAAAGCCUUUUAAGAUGGUCCUCAAUCCUUAACCAAUCGUUGUUUUAACUUUGACAAGUUCAGGGUCUCAUUUAGAUUGACUUGUCAUAGUUCGACGGGUCAUACCAGGUGUUGAGGAUAUAUACCUUAGAGUCACCCGCCAGAAGGGGCCGGGUUACUCCUAAUGGUCAUCGCCAGAAGCCCGGCGCCAAGCUUGAGGACGGUGGGCCAAAGAUGGGCUUAAGAACCGGAUAUGGCUUAAGGCCCGUAGUUACAAUCAUCAUUAUGGUAGAACUUGUAGUGUAAGGCAAGAAUAGUUGAGAGUCCGAGCCGGACACUCUUAUGAGGCGGCUGGGACUCUGAGAGCUGCUGGGCGUCAGCCUCCCUAUAUAAAGGGACGACCCGGCAGCAGUUUAGGGACAAGAAAGAUCUCAUCGAGAGCCGGGCAUAGCAAUUAAGCUCCCUGGUCAUCGAAACCCUAAUCAAUACCACCUCAACUGGACGUAGGCUUUUACCUUCACCGUAAGGGGCCGAACCAGUAUAAACCCUCGUGUUCCUUGUCCCGUUAACCCCUUCAAGCUUCCUAGCAGCGAUGGCUCCACGACUAAGUCCUAGCUUGAGGACAUCUGCCGUGACAAUUCCACGACAGUUGGCGCCCACCGUGGGGCCAGCGCACGGUGGAUUUGAGUUCUUGAAGGGCAGCUUCGAAGGGCUCAAGGGAUACGCUGUGGGCCGGAUGACCAAGAGUCGUCACGGCAAGCUCUACAUCGACGAUGCAAACUGGGGCCCCGACGCCGGCUCAAUUGAGUACGGGUACCGGGUCCCCUUCGGCGGAAUUCAUGUUUUCAUUGGCAAGAUUGGUGAGCCGGGCCCUGAGCCGGAUCUCUGCGCUGAUCUCAUCGAGACGGCUCAGCGUACACGACCCGCCCGGGCCCUGCCUGCCUUAAAGCAUGCUUUUGUGGGAUGUAUCCAUGGAGGGCUCUCUGAUCGAUCUGGAUCUGGUGAUGAGACGGCCGCCGGCUCUGACGGCGAGUCGUCCACCGAUGAGUCAACCUCGUUGUAUCAACUUCAAGAUGGCAGGCUCAUGGGUUGUUCCGAUGGUGACAGUAUUCCGGACCCGUUUGAGCCGCCAAGCCGGGUUGGAAUCUUCAUGGCUGGUGCGCAGCCUGUUCAGAACCCUGCUGCUGGAGCGGGAAACCCGGUGCCCUCGCCGGCUCAGGUGCUGAUGGAUCUCACGGACAAGAUGAUGGCCCUGUUGACCACCGCGGUUGACCCGGCGGAUCAAGCUCAGCAUGAUGCGGAGGUGGCGCAAUUAAAGUUAGAUCUAGUGAAAGCUAAGGAGGAUCUGGCAGCGGAAGGGAUCAGGAUGGCUGCGGAGAGGGCGGCUCUCGACACCCAAACUCAGUUGAUCCAGGCGCAGUCCUUCCGGCUCACGAUGGAUCAGAACGCGUCCAAUGAGGUCAUGAGAAGGAGGAAUCAAAAGGCCCAAUCUCGAAUCCCUCCGGUUUACGAUCCUCGAAACCUCUUCAACACGCCAGGUGCAGGGUCUAGUAACCCGCCAGGGAUCAUAGUGCCCGGGUCUGGGAACCCUAUUCAGCCGCAAGUGAUGGGGCCUCCCCAGGUGAGCCCUGCCCCGCCUCAGUAUGUGCCUAUACCACCGGGUCAUUAUGCUAACCCGCUGGAGAACAUGGUUGCCGCAGCAGCACGGCUGGCGGCCCUCCCAAUUGACGGCGACUCUCCGACGGCUAUUGAAACCCGCCGGGUCAGGGAACUCCUUCAGACAGCACUGGCGCAGCAAGAGGCGUAUUCUUACAGCUGGGACAGGAUCCACUCGACCCCUCGUCCAGGCCGGAGCCCGAGUUAUAGCAGACACAUGGUCUCAGCGACCGGCUCAAGUAAUGUCCGACGCCAUGCCCCGCCCCCUGGCCAUGGCCCGGUUCAUAACGGAGCUUUUCACGCAGCAGACCAAGACAGAGCGCGGCAAGAGGCGAAGCAGGUGCCUCAGUUGACGGCUUACCAGACUCCCCCGGCUUAUCCGACGACUUCCGUCGACGUGGGUAUCCCUACCAGGACUGGAGGUGUCCCUUGUUUAGUGCCAGCUAUCCGCAAUGAACGUCUACCCAAGGACUUCAAAGGCCCUAGGAAGGUGCCUAAUUACACGGCUGACUUACAACCCGCAGCCUGGAUCGAGAGUUACGAGAUGGCCAUGGAACUGCUGGAGGUCAGUGAAGCGGCAAUGGCCAAGUACUUCACCAUGAUGUUAGAUGGGACUGCCCGCACUUGGUUGAAAGGGCUACCACCGAAUUCCAUCGGGUCUUGGGCUGAGCUGAAAGCCCGGUUCAUCCAAAACUUCAAGGAUACAUGUAGGCAGUCUAUGUCAAUUGUGGAUUUGACUAACUGUAAGCAGCAGGAGGGUGAAUCUACGACGCAUUGGGUUCGCCGGGUCAAAGAGAUCAUACAUUCAUCAGAUAAGAUGGAUGCCGGCUCUGCAGUCUUGAUAUUGGAGCAGAAUUGUCAUUUCGUGCCCCUGAAGAUGAAACUCGGGCGGCUUAAGCGCGACUGCAAUGAUAUGGGUACACUGAUGGCGGCUCUUGUCAAGUACGCUGAUUCUGAUGGUACCAAGGACCCCGCUUCAGAUGAUGAAAGGACAGGGAAGGGAAAGAAGAACGACAAUGGCAAGGGUCCUCAGCACAACCCGGGGAGCCAAGGAGGUGGCAAGCGCAAGGCCGAUGGCAGCCUAGAGUUCGUAGCCAAUGCCAGCUCACAGGGUAAUAACCAGCGACGCAAGGGGAGGCCCCCUCCCCGAGCCGGCGGGUCAGGCCCGACGCUGGAGCAGCUGUUGAAUGAGCCUUGUCCAAGGCAUGGUUCUAGAGAGAAGCCAGCUACUCAUCUAUGGAAGGAUUGUGCAAUCAUGAAGGCCUUUAAGAAUUCCAACGCCUUUAACGGCAACAAUGGCCCGGGCGGUGGCUCAGGCGCCGGCGGCUUUCAUGGCCCGGGCGGCGGCUCAAAUUCUAAUCCUCAGAACGGUCAAGGGGGCUUUAAUCAACAGUCUGGCCAGGGUCAUCAACAGCAGCAGGGGGGUUAUCAGACCAAUCCAAAGCAGCUUAGCGGUGGACAGUAUCAUGUGUUUACCACCAGUCUGUGUAAGCGAGAUCAGAAGCUUCACAAGAGGGCUGUGAAUGCUGUUGAGCCGGCAGUUCCGCGCUACUUGCGAUGGUCUGAGCAGCCUAUAGUGUGGAGUAGGGAGGAUCACCCUCCCCGGGUGGAUAAUCCGGGUCACUUGGCCUUGGUGGUGGCUCCUCAGGUGGGAGGAUAUAAGUUCACUAAAGUGCUCAUGGAUGGAGGCAGCAGCAUCAACAUCCUCUAUUAUGAGACUUUCCGUCGUAUGGGGUUGAUUGAUAAGAACCUCAGCCCGUCAAACACUAUUUUCCAUGGUGUAGUACCUGGUAAGUCGGCUUAUCCAGUCGGCAAGAUCGAGUUGGAAGUGGCCUUUGGAGAUGAGCACAACAACAGGGUGGAAAAAUUGACCUUUGAGGUGGUCAAGAUAAGAAGUCCGUACCAUGCCAUAUUUGGGCGGCCGGCUUACGCCAAGUUCAUGGCACGGCCGUGUUACGUGUAUUUACAGCUCAAGAUGCCGGGUCAUAAUGGGACCAUUACGGUUCACGGCAGCCGGAAGGUGGCCCUGGAGUGUGAGGAAGGCGAUGCAGCUUAUGCAGAAUCUGUUUGCGCAACAGAGGAGUUGAAGUUUUACAAAGACAACGUUGACCCAACAGAUAUGACCUCUCUGAAAAAGCCGACUACGGAGCAUGAGCCGGCAAUGAAAUUUAAGUCGGCUGAUGAGACUAAACUUGUUGAUUUCGUUCUAGGAGAUUCAUCUCAGCAGUUUAGCAUCAGUGCCAAUCUGGAUCCAAAAUAGGAAAGCGCGCUCAUCGAGUUCAUCCGUGAGAAUAGGGACAUUUUUGCAUGGAAGCCGUCUGACAUGCCAGGUGUACCUAGAGAACUCGCUGAGCACACUCUCAAUGUUGAUCCGAAAUAUAAGCCGGUCAGGCUGUUCCUUCGGCGGUUUAAUGAAGAGAGGCGGAAAGCUAUUGGUGAAGAGGUGGCCCGGCUCUUGGCGGCCGGGUUUAUUGUUGAAGUUUUUCACCCAGAAUGGUUGGCUAACCCGGUGCUCGUACUCAAGAAGAACGGCACCUGGCGGAUGUGUGUGGACUACACGGACUUGAAAAAGGCGUGUCCGGCUGAUCCUUUCGCCCUUCCCCGUAUUGAUCAAAUUAUUGAUGCUACGGCGGGUUGUGAGCGCCUAAGUUUCUUCGAUGCUUAUUCUGGAUAUCAUCAGAUUAAAAUGACAGUUAAGGACCAGGAGAAGACGGCGUUCAUCACUCCCUUUGGAGCCUUUUGCUAUGUGUCUAUGCCCUUUGGACUCAAGAGUGCACAGGCGACUUAUCAGCGUUGCGUGCAGAACUGUCUUCAUAACCAGAUUGGGCGCAAUGUUCAUGCUUAUGUGGAUGAUAUUGUGGUUAAAUCCAGGAAGGAGGAAACCCUGAUAGAUGAUCUGAGGGAAACCUUUGAUAAUCUCCGGGUCUACAAGAUGAUGCUUAACCCGGCCAAGUGUGUUUUUGGUGUUCCUGCAGGCAAGCUCUUGGGUUUCUUGGUUUCUAACAGAGGCAUUGAAGCUAACCCGGAGAAGAUCAAGGCCAUCACCUCCCUGGCUAAUCCGGCGUGUAUAAACGAUGUCCAGCGCCUGGCGGGUCGUAUUGCUGCUUUAAGCCGUUUUAUAAGCCGUUUGGGGGAGAAGGCUAUGCCAUUAUAUCAGUUGAUGAAGAAAACUGAUGACUUUGUCUGGAAUGAUGCAGCUAAUACUGCUUUUGAGGAUUUGAAGAGACAGCUGGCUGAGCCCCCAGUCCUUGCUGCCCCGGUUGACAAGGAGCCUUUAUUGCUGUAUGUGGCUGCUAACACACGAGCCGUCAGUGUGGCCGUGGUGGUGGAGCGCAAGGAAGAGGGUAAGGAGCAUCCGGUUCAGCGGCCGGUUUAUUACGUCAGUGAAGUGCUCAUCGAGUCCAAACAGCGGUAUCCACAUUGGCAGAAGCUUGUUUAUGGUGUGUUCAUGGCGAGCCGGAAGCUUAAGCAUUAUUUUCAGGGUCACCCCAUCACUGUGGUCAGUUCUGCCCCCCUUGGAGAUAUCAUUAAAAACAGGGAGGCCACAGGGAGAGUGGCUAAGUGGGCUAUAGAGCUCGGGCCUCAUGGUCUGAAGUAUGUGCCACGCACUGCUGUUAAAUCUCAGGCUUUGGUGGAUUUCAUCAAUGAUUGGACAGAGCUACAAGUGCCCGAACAGAAGCCGAAUAACACAUAUUGGACUAUUCACUUUGAUGGAUCCAGGCAGUUGGAGGGCUCGGGGGCUGGAGUCGUAUUGGCUUCCCCUAAGGGUGACAAGUUCCAUUAUGUGCUACAAUUGAUGUUUCCUUGUACCAACAACGCAGCAGAGUACGAGGCCUUGCUCCAUGGUCUUUGGAUGGCUAAGGAGAUGAGCUUGAGCCGGGUAAGGUGCUUCGGCGACUCAGACUUGGUGGCUCAACAAGUAUCAGGAAAGUGGGACUCCAAGGACCCUCUCAUGGCGGCUUAUCGCCGCGAAGUUGAUGCCAUUGCUGGGCACUUUCAGGGUUACCAAGUAGAGCACAUCGAUCGCAGGAAGAACGAGGCGGCUGAUGCUUUAAGCUGGCUGGGCUCUCAGCGAAGACCGGUGCCGCCUAAUACUUUUCUGGAUGUCCUGUAUAACCCUUCUGUUAAGUUGCCUACAGAGGAAGACUUGGCUGUCCCUGACCCGGAGGCACGACUGGUGGCGGCUCUCCACAUCAUACCAGACUGGACAGUGCCCUAUUUGGCUUACAUGACCCGGGGAGAUUUGCCUGAGGAUGAAACUUUGGCCAGACAAAUAACCCGGCGGUCUAAGUCAAUGAUUGUUAUCAAUGGUGAGUUGCAUCGCCGCAGUGUUACGGGAGCGUUCCAGCGUUGUGUCUCCCCUGAGGAAGGUCAAGAGAUCUUGCGUGAGAUUCAUGAAGGGGAUUGUGGCCAUCACGCCGGCUCAAAGUCUCUUGUGGCCAAGGCUUUUCGUCAUGGUUUUUAUUGGCUGACGGCUCAUGCUGAUGCGGAGGACUUGGUCAGUAAAUGUGAUGGUUGCCAAAGGUUCUCACGACGGGCUCAUGUGCCGGCUCAGGAGCUGAGGAUGAUCCCAAUUACUUGGCCCUUUGCGGUCUGGGGGCUUGAUAUGGUUGGACCUUUUAAAAGGUCCAAGGAUAAGAAGACCCACCUCUUGGUGGCAGUUGACAAAUUUACCAAGUGGGUUGAAGCGGAGCCAGUUAGCAAGUGUGAUGCAGCCACGGCAGUUCAGUUUAUGAAAAAGGUGAUCUUUCGCUUUGGUUUUCCACACAGCAUUAUAACUGACAAUGGUACCAAUUUAUCCAAAGGCGCCAUGGAGGAGUUUUGUCAACGAGAGCACAUUAGACUUGAUGUUUCAUCAGUGGCUCACCCUCAGUCCAAUGGUCAAGCUGAGAGGGCUAAUCAGGAGAUUCUGAAAGGCAUCAAACCCCGGCUUUUGGUCCCUUUACAACGUACGCCGGGUUGUUGGGUGGAGGAGUUGCCCUCCGUGUUAUGGAGCAUCAACACUACUCCUAACAGGUCUACAGGUUUCACGCCUUUCUUCAUGGUUUAUGGGGCAGAAGCAGUCCUCCCCAGUGACAUCCGUCAUGACUCGCCUCGAGUGGCGGCUUAUGUUGAGGCGGAUAAUGAACAGGCGCGCCAAGAUGCUCUUGACUUGUUGGACGAACAGCGUGAUGUGGCAGCAGCUCGCUCAGCGAUUUACCAACAAGACCUGCGCCGUUAUCAUAGUCGCCGGGUUAAAUCCCGGGUCUUCCAGGAAGGUGAUCUGGUGCUCCGGCUCAUCCAAGAUCAAACAGAUGCGCACAAGCUAUCCCCGCCUUGGGAAGGGCCCUUUGUGGUCAGCAAGAAUUUGCACAACGGGUCAUAUUACCUCAUUGACAUUCGGGAGCACAAAGAUUCACGUAAGUCGGAGGAAGAGACCCGUCGGCCGUGGAAUAUAGCUCAGCUUCGGCCUUAUUACACUUGAGCCACCGGCUCUCAUAAUGUACAUAUUUCUCUAAGCCAUGUAUAUAUUAUGAUAAGCAAUAAAACAGGACCUCUGUCCUUUUUUCUCCUACAAGUGUGAACGUGUUGUUUCCAUGGCAAGAUCACAUAAUAACUUGAAGGAGGAUCCGGCGUAUGAUCGUAUUCGAAUCUAGCCAUAGGUAAUAAGGUCACUUGGGGGCUUCCUGUUCAAACAUAGGUCGUAUUCGAACCAAAGAGAACAUAGCUGUCGGUACCCUCUUGAUUGGCAUCGCCACACCCACUGGGGGCUAUAUGAUCGUAUUCGAAUCCUAGCAUAACCCCUUUGGGACGGGUCUCUGGUCGUAUUUGAACUGAAAGCCCCUAAGUUUUUCUGAUUUAUAGCGAGUUCUUCUGAUUAUUUCAAGUAUGCACGGCCGGGUCUCACUUUGCCGGCUUAACUUUGAUUUACAGUGCUAGUCGAACACAAUUGGCGUUAUUAAGACUGGUAAACCGGAAUUGAGGUACCAACCUUAUUACCCAGGUUAUCUAAGCCAGAAGUGUGCUUGCAGGCCGAUAAGUGUGUUAUUACGGCUAUAUUAAGGACAUAAUUGAGGACCAGUCUUUUUUGAUUCAUAUUCCGGGUUAUAUAUCUAAAACUAUGAUUCUCAGUGCGGUAAGCCGCCUAGAGACUUGUGAUUUGUCCUUCUAUGCAGGAUAGUUAAAGGCAACUAUUUGAGCUUAAGGAAAAUGAAUGAUCGAUUAUGACCCGGAGACAUAUAAGGAAGCAACUUUCAUAAGAAUUCAGCAUUCAACACGUGCACGAUGGCACGGCACAGUUAAAGUGUUGAUCCUAUUCUAUUACAAGACUCAUUGAGUCCAAAAGGGUGAAGCAUUGUUUCACAUAAACCGUCUACGGAGUUACGACGCUUGCUGGGUUGAAGUCUCCGGCUCAUCCCUCUCCUCUUCUCUGGCUGUUCCCAAGACCUGGAAAGUUGACGACUUCCAGUCAAUGCCGCUCAGAGCUUCAAGUUGAGCUUCCUAGUCAAUUAACCCGGCCGGGUCAAUCUCCGGGGCGAAGGUGUGCUUACGAGUCGGCGGGACUAAGCUGAGGGCUUCAUAGCGCGGAGUGGGGAUCCUCUGAUUCUCUGCGUCGUAACCCGGCUGGUACUUAGUCAGAUCUGUAUCAUUGCCAAUCAGAGUGGCCACCGGGCGUACGAUCUUCACGCAGGCUGCGAAGUCCUUUUGGUUGAAGGCGGUGCCGUCCUCCUUCAAACUGGGGUAGCCCAGAGCGAUGUCCGCCGGGUCUAGUUCUGGAAGGAACGCCUUCGCUUGGCUUAGAGCAGCUAUGGCUCUGGCUCUUGCAGAGGCCCGUCGCAGCUCUUGGAUGUGUUGAGGAAGAAUGGCGAGCCGGCGAAGAACUUCCGCCAGGUGAGUCGGCACCUCAUUGGAUAGGGCCACCACAGCCAAAGCACGCUGUGACCCGGUGUAGAGUUGCUCCACCAGGGUGUACACGGCCUUCAACUUGGUUACCACACUUUGGUUGAGGUUGGCGCUUUUGGGACCUGUUUAACAGAAUAAGAUAAGCCGCCGACAAGGAUGAGUUAUGAGAUAUAAAGAUUAUAAACUUGAUGAAAGCCGGUGAAAUGACUUACCGAAGAUUGCGGCAACCAUCUGGGACACCUGGCGCUUUAAGCCGGAGAGUUCGGCGGUCUUCUCUGACAGAGCCUUCUCCGCCUAUUCGGCCCGGUUCACCAGAGUAGCCUUCUCUUCGGCCCAGGCUCUCCGUUCAGCGUCAAAGUCCGUCUUCAGCUUUUCUUGCGCAGCAAUACUGGACACAAAUUUGGCAUUGGCCUUCCGGGUCUCGGUUUCUUGCGUCUUCAGACGGGUCUUGAGAUCGGAGAUGUCAGCUUCAAACUUCUUGCCAGCAGCUUGCAUAGUUUCCGGGUUAUAGCAUGAACAGUUACUAUGCAAAUUUAAAGUCCCAAGCGUUUUCCAAGCAAAGACACUUGGCACUUGGGGGCUAAUGCAUAUCGAACGUUCCUAUCUACAAAUUACCGGUUCAUGGAAGUAAGCCGGAACUUAAGUCUACAACAUAUUCAAUCAUAAGUCGUCGACUUGGGGGCUAGCAUGGUAAAGGUAACUAUGCAGUAAGUAAGAAGACAGAAGAGUGAUACCUCAGACUUCUGUUGAAUCUGGUUCACCAUGGCAAUCUCUAAGUCCCGGCUCUUGUGCACCUGGCUGACAUAGCCGGAGAUGAUCUCUCCGAUGCUCAGAUUGGCAUAAUCGGUGAGGUCCAGAUUGGCCCGGUGGCGCCCUAGCAACUCCUCCUUAGCGGAGCACUUGGCCAGUGCAGUAGGUCUCCCCGGCUCAACAAAUUCUGUCCGGGUGAUUACCACAUCCGGGUCAUCUGCCGGCUGAGCCGAGCUGGAGGCCUCCGGGUUAGCAGAAGUUUCUGCAAUUGGCUUGUCGGUUGGAGCAGUGGCUUCAGGAGCAGGGGCAGCUGGCGGUUCUUGAGCAGCUACCUCUGGUCCAGGCAUGUCCGGCUUUUCGACCGGCUUAUUCUUCUUUGCCCUUUUGCUGAGUUUUGCCUGGGCACUGAAAAGACAAAAAGGUUAAGCACAAAAGUGUAAGUAAAGAUAAGUACAGCAUGAGAAGAUCGUCGUUACCCGGGCACGGUCUUGAAAGCCGGCAGGUUUGACUGCAUAGAGUCGCCAGAAGAGGGGGAAGUUUCCUGAUAAUUUGAGUCAGAAGAAUUGAGCGGUUGACGUAUAACACCCGCCAAAGGAUGAAAAGGGUACAAGUUGGAGAUAACCUCAGUUCGGCGUUUCCUCGAUGCGUCAGGUAACCCGGAGGAGAGGUCAGUGUCCUUGUUGGUCCGGGUGUGCCGCCGGCUCUCAUGAACCCGUCGCUUCAAAAUAAAUUGAGGAUCUUGAUAAGCUAAAGGAUGUGAAAAGCUUACUUUCCGGGUUACCCUUCGGAUUUUCAGCCUUGGCAAGGGCUCCGAGUCGGAGGAAAGUAUCAUUACCUCUUCAACCACCGGGUUACUUGCUCCGGUGUCAUCCUAUUGAUGAACAAGUAUUCAUAAGGUGAACAGAAAUAAACAACAAAUAUAACAAGAGCUUACAGGCUCAGGGGUUACCUCUGACUCGGAGUUGUCGCUUAGUUGCAUCAGCUCAGAAGCAGUAGGCCUACUUCCCUUCUUGCGAGGGGCGGCUCUCUUGGCGGCUUUCUUUGCUUUCCUGGCCUUCUUGGCCGCCUCAUGGUCAUAUUUGACCUUCCAGAAUUUGUCAUCAGCCUGAAAAAUACAAGGAUGAUUUCUUAAAGAUUCAGAUGACGGUUAUCUACAGAAGAAGAUAAGAUGUUCAGAUCAGCGGCUUACUGCUGGGGCUGGGUUGGUCUUGCAGAAGGGGGCUAACCCGGUCCUCCCGCAGUCUGCCAGGCUCUCGUUCAAGAGAGCCUUGGUCAUGUCCUUAGCAACAUCUUCAAGAAGAUCGUUGCGGCUGUGUCUCAGGGGGUCAUCCUUUCGGCCCGUGUACUCGCACAUUAAGCCGGGGCGGCGGCUCAAUGGGAUCACCCACCAGGAGAUCCAGACUCGGACCAGGUCAAUUCCAUUGAGACCAUUGCCCAGGAGAGCCUUGAUCUUGUUGAUGGUGGGGAGCAGAGGUUGGCGCUCCGCCCGAGUUAACUUGUCAGACAGAGGGUGAGUUGGCUCCAGACGUGAAGGGCGAAAGCCGGGCAGCGGGCUCUCGUCAGCCGGCGACGUGUCUUGGCAAUAGAACCACGUCUGGUUCCAGUCCUUUGGGUGACUCGGCGGCUCGGCGUAAGGGAAAAGGCAGUCUCUCCCUCGCUGAAUGGAGAUUCCGCCAAGUUCCAAACCUGGCCCGUUGGCGCACUCGUUCUGGCGGUUCAGGUAGAAGAGCUCUCUGAAGAGUAGCAGGCUGGGCUCUUCUCCAAGAUAAACCUCGCAGAACACUUGGAAAUUGCAUAUGUUGGACACCGAGUUGGGUCCUAUAUCUUGUGGCCGCAGGUCAAAUAAAUUCAGUACAUCCCUGAAAAACUUUGAGCCGGGCGGUGCGAAGCCCCGGCUCAUGUGAUCCGCAAAAACCACUACCUCCCCGUCCUUUGGCUGUGGUCUCUCCUCUGACGGGUCAGGGGCACGGUAGGACAUGACGUCCUUCUUAGGCAGGUAACCUGACUUGACAAAAUCUGCUAAAGUCUCGUCGGUGACAUUGGACCUCAUCCAAUUGCAAGUGAUGGAUGCUUUAGGAGCUUUGGGAGGCAUGGUGAAAGUCGGCAGCCUAUGAUAAAAGGAAACGUCCGGUUUAAUUAUAAGCCGGAGGAAAUUUACAGUUCAAUGUUAAAGUGGCGGCUUAUGGAGGGGACUAAUGACAUAUAUCUAGGUGCAUCGGGUUAUUUAAGCCGCCCGCGGUAUUGAGAGUAAUUCGAUUGUCUACGGCCUUAUCACAGAUGAGCCGGAAAAUUCUAUGGCGCAUGGCCUCCUUUGAGCCGGAAGGUCUUACGGCGCGUGAUUUCUUUGAGCCAGAAAUGUAAGCCGCCUUAGCUCAGCAGAAGCAGUUUUUUACUAAGUAUGGUGAAAACAAGUUUCACAGAUCGCAGUGAAAAUUUCGGAUCAAAAUGGUCGACUAAAGGGAAAAAUUUCUAGACCUAAAGCAGACGCAGGAGAAGUUCGCAGGCUCAAACAGGGACUCUAUGCAGUAAAAAGAGAUCUACUUGCAUUUGAAAUGGGUGCCAAAUAGCUACCGCAGCAGGUCUAUACAGGUCUAAGAUCAAGAAGGGCAGUAAAAAUAAAAACUACCAGGAGCUCGUGGGCGACGGCGAAGAACACGGACGAACAGGACGAACCCUACUGCAGAUCUGUUUUACGGGGUAGCCAGGACUUACAGGUGCUGGUGAGUCGCGGAGGUCGCCGCCGUUUUCUCUGGACACAACAGGUUGAUGCAGCGGCCGGAGUUGGUGAGGAGGAGGAGACCCGCGGCGGCGACAACAACAGAGCUCGAGCGGAGGAACAGUGGCGCGAGGAGGAAGACGAGUGGCCGAAGGCCCGUCGGGCCGGGCUAUUUAUAAGGGCGAGCUCAUAAGUGGGCGCGAGAAACGAGGAGGCUGCGGCGCGGUUAUCUCAUCAUAAAACGCCUCGAUUUUCGGGAUGGCAGUAAAGAUAAGAUCCGUUGCGGAUCUGGUGGAGUAAAAAAUGGGCUUAAUGGAAGAUGACGUCACGGCGGAUUACCCGGAGUCCAGAGGAUGACGUCACGCCGGGUUAUGGCCUUUCACACAAUUGUAAGCCGGAGAUUUUCUGUCGAAAGAAUUGAAGAUUGACAUGAGCCGGCUCAAAUCAAUCUGGGGCCUAAUGUUGAGGAUAUAGACCUUAGAGUCACCCGCCAGAAGGGGCCGGGUUACUCCUAAUGGUCAUCGCCAGAAGCCCGGCGCCAAGCUUGAAGACGGUGGGCCAAAGAUGGGCUUAAGACCCGGAUAUGGCUUAAGGCCCGUAGUUACAAUCAUCAUUAUGGUAGAACUUGUAGUGUAAGGCAAGAAUAGUUGAGAGUCCGAGCCGGACACUCUUAUGAGCCGGCCGGGACUCUGAGAGCUGCUGGGCGUCAGCCUCCCUAUAUAAAGGGAUGACCCGGCAGCAGUUUAGGGACAAGAAAGAUCUCAACGAGAGCCGGGCAUAGCAAUUAAGCUCCCUGGUCAUCGAAACCCUAAUCAAUACCACCUCAACUGGACGUAGGCUUUUACCUUCACCGUAAGGGGCUGAACCAGUAUAAACCCUCGUGUUCCUUGUCCCGUUAACCCCUUCAAGCUUCCUAGCGGCGAUGGCUCCACGACUAAGUCCUAGCUUGAGGACAUCUGCCGUGACAAUUCCACGACACCAGGUUUACCUAGACGGAGUGACUUACUUAAAAAAGGCAGGCUAACCAGGGGUUUUAGGUGUAUACACCAGGCUUCCAAGCCGUGGCUUGAUAGCUGUGUAGAUUCUUUGCUCAUUUUCGAUAGCAAAGAGUCCCCAAGCAAUAUUUUGAGCUGUGCUUAGUGGGUGCCUAUGUUUGAGUUGUUCUUUUGCAACACUCUCUUUGGCCCCUAAGAAGUUUUUCUGGUGUAGCUAUGCUUCGGACACGACCAAGCCCCCAAGUGAAUUUCCUGGUGGCCUUGCACCGAUCAAGAGGUGUAGCUAUGGUUCGAAUACGACCAAGCCCCCAAGUGUUUUGUAAGAGUGGCAUGUAAGCCGGAUUGAAGGGUAAUCAUAGGUUCACUUCAAUAAGCCGGGAGCCCCCAUGUGAUCAAUAAUAUGAUAAGCCAAUAAGGCAGGAUACCCAUGUUUGAACCGCGCAUCAUGGCAACAGGUCCUCUUCGGCAGCCUUUAACUUUUUGCAAGAGAUAAAUUCUUCUUGAACUGGAUUUGUUCAGCGCUGUGUGGGAGACGAGAUUUCCCUUAAACCGGAAGCAUCAUUGUGAGCCGGAAUAUUUCUGACGGCCUUUAAAUUUUCAUCAAUAUAACAAUAGCCUCCGGGACCGGGUUAUCUUUCCCUUCAACAUCCUGGGGCACUUGAAUUUGCUGAAAUUGGCAAGACUUGCUGAGUCAUAUCAUCGUAGCCCCCGAGUCUUAAGAUGACUCAAGGAGUUGUCUUGAGAUUCUCCGUACUUUGACCAUAGCAGAAGGUAUAUAUCAUUGGUGUUGAGAACGCGAUGUAAAUCCACAGAAGGUUGAGGUGACUGCGGCGGGUUAUAAAUGAUCCCGUAUGAGCCGUGUCAGCAACUCGGCCAAUGGUUCCUUCCAACUAGCUGUUUGAAGUUAACCAAACUGUAGUGGCAGCGAUUUGUGCGCAUGUCCAUUGAGCCAUCCAGUGCAGACGGCGGCUGAAUGAUAAUUUGCCUCCAAUUUGUUGGAAGAAAACCGGGCUACCCAAGCAGUGACUUGCUCAUACUCAAUAAAUAACUCAUGCAGACAGGUGCGGCCCGGUGUGUCGAUGUAGACCGGGCCGCGAGAGACGAACGAAAAAGACGAUCGUAAGCAUUAGAGGCGGCUCGAAAAGAUCAAUCGGCCAUGGCGUUGUAAGCCAGCGUGGUCAGGUGAGGCAAUUGCAGGCACGGUCCCGAUGAGUCGAAGUAGUCCGGGCCGCAGGGGUGGCGUCUUGCGCCUACUUGUUCAAUGGCAAGCCGGUGCGGACACCGGUGCUUGAUGAUGCUAACGUAUACUCCAUAGGCACAGCAUGGCACCACCUUGAUAAUGAAUCAUUGUCCUACACAUAAAAAUAUACAGACCAAGGUAACUGUUCUUCGAAGAAUUAAAUAUGCACCGAAAAAACAAAUAAGGCAAAUAUCACCUCGUAUAUUUGGAUGCUAGGUGAUUUCCAUGUGAUGAAACAUCUGUAUGGCGGGCCUUUUCGUCGAGCAUAAGCCCUGACAAUUUUGGUUGGUAGCUUGGCACAGUACCAUUGUUUGCACCACCACCCGUGUCCAUAUAUGCUGGACUAUAAACUGCCGAGCCUCUGUAAUCUAUAGGGGAAAAACAACCGGGCCACCAGGUUGUCACUACUGCUAGUGCUGCUUUUAUUUUCCGUUCUCCAACGAAUACAAGCGCAUGGGAGGAAACAGGGCCAGUUCGCAGCAAGGGAGCAUCUUGCAGGUGUGUGAGUAGCCGGGUCGGCGUUCAGCCGCGGCGGAAACUGAGCUUCAUAGAAACAUCCGGGCUAGACAUCGGCAAUGGGUACCAAACCCAGAACACAGCACACCGGCAAUCUUCAGCUAACACUUCCACUCCUUUUGCGUGAUCAGGAACACCAUUGAUUUCAGUUCCAGGAUUUAUCCCCACAAGACCAUCACCAAGUAAAAAAUGUCCAAUGCUGGUAACUGACGAAGAACUUGGAUAUGGCAUUAAACGUCAAGAUGCGGUCGUAGCAGACCUGACCAAAGGUUGUUGAGAAAAACUUGGUGGAAAACGUGAAGACCGGUAAGUGCUGUAGGUCUCCAUAAAGCGACACCGAGGCUGGCGAUUCGCGGCAAGGGCGGCUGACUCUGAUAAACCGGAUGGCUCUCCAACAGCAGUUCCCCGCAAGGCGAUUCAGCACGGCUCCCCACAGCGACUUAACACCAAGGCUAGUGACUCGGAGUGGAGUUGCACGGUGGCGGCUUAGUAGUUUUAGACGCGACUCAGAGUGAGGCCGCUCCGGCGAGGUUGGCACAAGGCGGCAGAAGACCGGCAACUUGGAGGUGUCUCUGAGCAAUAGCCGCGUGACGCUGUGGUGGUUUGAGAGCGAUGCCGCGGCGGCCUGUAGUGGUGACUCAAGGCCGCGGUGGGCAGUGGCGGUUCGUGGUGGUCGGCAGCGGCUCGAGGUGGAGGAGUUCCACAGCGGCUACUCAAACAUGCGUGGGUGUGGCCACGGCAGGACGAGCAUGAAACGGCUCAGAGGCAGGGCGGUCUUGUGGCAGGGAUGGAAGCGCUCAGGCCACGCCGCAAUACGGGAGCAGCAGGAAAAGCACAAGACAACAUGGUGACUUAGCAACAAGGGCCAUAGCAACUCGGCGCCCGACAGCGGCUCGCAGGUGCGUUGAUGCAGUUCUCGGUUGACUCGGGGGUGUAGCGGCUCGAGCGUGGCCAGCGGGCAGCAGGCCGGCGACUCGAAAUGGGGGCUCAGCGAGGCCAGCCCGUGGUAGAGUGAAGCGGACCGCGGCCAUGGCGGAACUAGGUUGACCAGGGGCGGCUCAAUGGCGUGUUUGGCAGGGGACGGACCGGCGACUCGGAGUCUCGGGGCCGACCAAAGCAGAGGCGGCGGUCUGGCGGUGGAACGACGCGGAGGCGAAACAACGAGACGGCGGCGACCCAGCGCGGUGCGACGAGGUGACGUCACAGACCGUCGGCAGGGGCAGCUCGAAGGAACAGCAACGAGGUAAGCCGGCAAUGGCAGGGGAUGAAUCUGACUCUGAUAAGGCAGCGGCUGUGCAGUGCGGUUUAACACAGUCGGCCACGGGGAAAAUUGAAAAGGUGCCCGCAUAGAAUGAGCCGGCAUGUUCUCCUUUAAGCAUCGCGAUGGUGACUCGGAGCAGACUCUGGCGGGUUGAAGAGCGGGGCGGCUCAGAUGCAGGGAUUCGGCGAUUAAUGAUUCAGGCGGCUCUACGCGUCAGCGACAGCCCAAGACAGCACCUGGCAGGGGUGGCUCGAAGGGGCGGCUCGAUGGAGACGGGUCAAACGACAUGCUGCCUGCGAUCCCGCGCGGUGGCCGAACUGGUAUCCGGCUCUGGCCGGCGGAGGUGGAGGCGAGCGGAGGUGCCUGCAGCAACUGGAACAGGCGGGUCGCGGUCUUCACGGCGGAGGGGCUCGGUCGAUGCGAGACGGAGUCCACGUGCGGGCGGCUCUCAGCCGGGAGUAAGCCAGACUGGAGUGGAGAUAGCCGACGGAUUGGAAGCCGAAGGCGGAGCGAGUCACAGCAGCGGGGCGCGCCGACGAAGGGAAACCAUACCGUCGCCGUACCCUCUUCCGGGUCGUCGUGGCUCAGAACCCAGCGAGGCGAUUUUGGAGGCGGUGACUCGAAUCAGAGCGGCGGGUCAUGGCGAUGACGGCGGGUCAACGGGGCGUUAAUCCGUCCUGCUGUGUGGCGGUUCAAUGAUGGAGACGAGGCGUGGCCGGUUUGAAGUAGCGGUCCGUGCCGCGGUCCCGGGGCGGACGGCGUCCCUCUGGUGAAGGUCUCAGGGUUGACUCGGACUCGGCGAGUUAUGUUUGUUUGAAGACAAAAAACCUCCUCUAGAUAUUAAUGACUUCGGACAAUCCACGUCCGGGUUGUGAUGGUGUUUCACUUGAACACUGUACACUUAAAAAAUUCCUCUUGACACUUCGGGCGUUCUGGCGACUUACCAGAAUAAGCUUUUGUCUUAACCUUUGUUCCCGGCGUUUACCCCAAAACCGAUCUGGCACAUAGCCCGACUGGUUAAUGCCUGUUGGUCUUGCGAUGUGUGGCAGCAACAGUAAAAUUUAAUCUCUUCUUGGAUCCGGUUCGCAAAGGCGACGGUUUGCCAUGUAGCCCUAAUUUUUGCUUAACCUUUAAUCUCACUGAUCAUAAGUCUGGUCCGAUAAACUUGAAGCUGACGCAGAUUCUUUCAAACUGGCUUUUCUUUCUCCGAAAAAUUGUGACCUCUCAAUCCUUAUGAUAGGUCCCUCCAAAAACUCAACACCACCGUGCGCAGCCCCACGGUGGGCGCCAACUGUCGUGGAAUUGUCACGUCAGAUGUCCUAGUGUGAGGACUUAGUCGUGAGGCCAACGCAUCAAUAUGGUAGCUUGAGAGGGGUUGAUCGGAAUCGAGAGGCGCAACGCAAGACAAGGGUUUAGACAGAUUCGGGCCCCGGGAAACAUCAUCCGGUAACAACCCUACAUGCUGUUUGAGGCUAGGUCUCACUAUCAUCAUGAGGGAGUCGCCGUAAACCGGCUCUCCCAGUUAUGUCUAGCCCUAAGAUUGUUUUCCUCCCCUCUUGGGGUGCCCUGCCCCUCCUUGUAUAUGUUGAAGGGGCGGGUUACAUGUAGAGUCCAACUCGGACUUAAGACUUAACUAUUCUGACUUCUCUUCAUGGGCUUCUUAACAUCUUGGGCUUCAUAACGUCUCGGGCUUCAUAACCCCUGGCAACCCAGUUAUCACUGUCUUUUGGGUUAUGAUUGGUGCCGGUUUAUGAUGGUCUGCCGGUUUAUGAUGGUCUGCCGGUUUAUGAUUGUCCGCUGAGUUAUCAUCUGACUUAACUCCUGCCGGGUUAUCAUCUGACUUAACUCCUGCCGGGUUAUCAUCUGACUUAACUCCUGCCGGGUUAUCAUCUGACUUAACUCCUGCCAGGUUAUCACUCCGGCCGGGUCAUACCGCGGGGUAUAUCCCCAACAAAAAGGGUAAAGGGAAGAAGGGGAACUUCAAGAAGAACGGCAAGCAAGUUGCUGCUCAAGUGAAGAAGCCCAAGUCUGGACCUAAGCCUGAGACUGAGUGCUUCUACUGCAAAGGGACUGGUCACUGGAAGUGGGACUGCCCCAAGUAUUUGGCGGAUAAGAAGGAUGACAAGGUGAACAAAGGUAUAUGUCAUAUACAUGUUAUUGAUGUGUACCUUACUAAUGCUCGCAGUAGUACCUGGGUAUUUGAUACUGGUUCUGUUGCUAAUAUUUGCAACUCGAAAUAGGGGCUACGGAUUAAGCGAAGAUUGGCUAAGGACGAGGUGAUGAUGCGCGUGGGAAAUGGUUCCAAAGUCGAUGUGAUCGCGGUCGGCACGCUACCUCUACAUCUACCUUCGGGAUUAGUUUUAGACCUGAAUAAUUGUUAUUUGGUGCCAGCAUUAAGCAUGAACAUUAUAUCUGGAUCUUGUUUGAUGCGAGAUGGUUAUUCAUUUAAAUCCGAGAAUAAUGGUUGUUCUAUUUAUAUGAGUAAUAUCUUUUAUGGUCAUGCACCCUUGAAGAGUGGUCUAUUUUUGUUGAAUCGCGAUAGUAGUGACACACAUAUUCAUAAUAUUGAAGCCAGAAGAUGCAGAGUAGAUAAUGAUAGUGCAACUUAUUUGUGGCAUUGCCGUUUGGGUCAUAUUGGUAUAAAGCGCAUGAAGAAACUCCAUACCGAUGGACUUUUGGAAUCACUUGAUUAUGAAUCACUUGGUACUUGCGAACCAUGCCUCAUAGGCAAGAUGACUAAAACUCCGUUCCCCGGAACAAUGGAGCGAGCAACAGAUUUGUUGGAAAUCAUACAUACUAAUGUAUGUGGUCCGAUGAAUAUUGAAGCUCGCGGCGGGUAUCGUUAUUUUCUGACCUUCACAGAUGAUUUGAGCAGACAUGGGUAUAUCUACUUGAUGAAACAUAAGUCUAAAACAUUUGAAAAGUUCAAAGAAUUUCAGAGUGAAGUGGAAAAUCUUCGUAACAAGAAAAUAAAGUUUCUACAAUCUGAUCAUGGAGGAGAAUAUUUGAGUUACGAGUUUGGUCUUCAUUUGAAACAAUGUGGAAUAGUUUCGCAACUCACGCCACCCGGAACACCACAGCGUAAUGGUGUGUCCGAAUGUUGUAACCGCACUUUAUUAGAUAUGGUGCAAUCUAUGAUGUCUCUUACUAAUUUACAGCUAUUGUUUUGGGGUUAUGCUUUAGAGACGGCUGCAUUCACCUUAAAUUGGGCACCAUCUAAAUCCGUUGAGACGACACCUUAUGAAUUGUGGUUUGGCAAGAAACCCAAGUUGUCGUUUCUGAAAGUUUGGGGCUGCGAUGCUUAUGUGAAAAAGCUUCAACCUGAUAAGCUCCAACCCAAAUCAGAGAAAUGUGUCUUCAUAGGAUACCCAAAGGAGACUGUUGCGUACACCUUCUAUCACAGAUCCGAAGGCAAGAUAUUCGUUGCUAAGAAUGGAUCCUUUCUAGAGAAGGAGUUUCUCUCGAAAGAAGUGAGUGGGAGGAAAGUAGAACUUGAUGAGGUAAUUGUACCUUCUCUCGAAUUGGAAAGUAGUUUAUCACAGAAAUCAGUUCCAGUGAUUCCUACACCAAUUAGUGAAGAAGCUAAUGAUAGUGAUCAUGAAACUUCAGAUCAAGUUACUACUGAACCUCGUAGGUCAACCAGAGUGAGAUCCGCACCAGACUGGUACGGUAAUCCUGUUCUGGACGUCAUGUUACUAGACCAUAACGAACCUACGAACUAUGUGGAAGCAAUGAUGAGCCCAGAUUCCGCAAAAUGGCUUGAGGCCAUGAAAUCUGAGAUGGGAUCCAUGUAUGAGAACAAAGUGUGGACUUUGGUUGACUUGCCCGAUGAUCGACAACCAUCGAGAAUAAAUGGAUCUUCAAGAAGAAGACUGACGCUGACGGUAAUGUUGCGAAAGGUUUUUGACAAGUUCAAGGAGUUGACUACGACGAGACUUUCUCACCCAUAGCGAUGCUUAAGUCUGUCCGAAUCUUGUUAGCAAUUGCCGCAUUUUAUGAUUAUGAAAUUUGGCAAAUGGAUGUCAAAACUGCAUUCCUGAAUGGGUUUCUGGAAGAAUAGUUGUAUGUGAUGCAACCAGAAGGUUUUGUCGAUCCAAAGGAUGCUAACAAAGUGUGCAAGCUCCAGCGAUCCAUUUAUGGACUGGUGCAAGCCUCUCGGAGUUGGAAUAAACAUUUUGAUAGUGUGAUCAAAGCAUAUGGUUUUAUACAGACUUUUGGAGAAGCCUGUAUUUACAAGAAAGUGAGUGGGAGCUCUGUAGCAUUUCUAAUAUUAUAUGUGGAUGACAUAUUGUUGAUUGGAAAUGAUAUAGAAUUUCUGGAUAGCAUAAAAGGAUACUUGAAUAAAAGUUUUUCAAUGAAAGACCUCGGUGAAGCUGCUUAUAUAUUGGGCAUCAAGAUCUAUAGAGAUAGAUCAAGAUGCUUAAUUGGACUUUCACAAAGCACAUACCUUGAUAAGAUUUUGAAGAAGUUCAAAAUGGACCAGUCAAAGAAAGGGUUCUUGCCUGUGUUACAAGGUGUGAAGUUGAGUGAGACUCAAUGCCCGACCACUGCAGAAGAUAGAGAGAAAAUGAAAGUCAUUUCCUAUGCUUCAGCCAUAGGUUCUGCCAUGUAUGCAAUGCUGUGUACCAGACCUGAUGUGUGCCUUGCUAUAAGUAUAGUAGGGAGGUACCAAAGUAAUCCAAGAGUGGAUCACUGGACAGUGGUGAAGAACAUCCUGAAAUACCUGAAAAGGACUAAGGAUAUGUUUCUCGUUUAUAGACAUGACAAAGAGCUUGUUGUAAAUGGUUACGUCGAUGAAAGCUUUGACACUGAUCCGGAUGACUCUAAAUCACAAACCGGAUACGUGUUUAUAUUGAAUGGUGGAGCUGCCAGUUGAUGCAGUUCUAAGCAAAGCGUCGUGGCGGGAUCUACGUGUGAAGCGGAGUACAUAACUGCUUCGGAAGCAGCAAAUGAAGGAGUCUGGAUGAAGGAGUUCAUAUCCGAUCUAGGUGUCAUACCUAGUGCAUCGGGUCCAAUGAAAAUCUUUUGUGACAAUACUGGUGCAAUUGCCUUGGCAAAGGAAUCCAGAUUUCACAAGAGAACCAAGCACAUCAAGAGACGCUUCAAUUCCAUCCGUCAUCAAGUGUCGAAUGGGGACAUAGAGAUUUGCAAGAUACAUACGGAUUUGAAUGUUGCAGACCCAUUGACUAAGCCUCUCUCACGAGCAAAACAUGAUCAACACCAAGACUCCAUGGGUGUUAGAAUCAUUACAAUGUAAUCUAGAUUAUUGACUCUAGUGCAAGUGGGAGACUGAGGAAAUAUGCCCUAGAGGCAAUAAUAAAGUUUUAAUUUAUAUUUACUUAUAUCAUGAUAAAUGUUUAUUAUUCAUGCUAUAAUUGUAUUAACUGGAAACUUAGUACAUGUGUGAAUACAUAGACAAACAGAGUGUCACUAGUAUGCCUCUACUUGACUAGCUCGUUGAAUCAAAGAUGGUUAAGUUACCUAGCCAUAGACAUGAGUUGUCAUUUGAUUAACGGGAUCACAUCAUUAGAGAAUGAUGUGAUUGACUUGACCCAUUCCGUUAGCUUAGCACUUGAUCAUUUAGUUUGUUGCUAUUGCUUUCUUCAUGACUUAUACAUGUUCCUAUGACUAUGAGAUUAUGCAACUCCCGAAUACCGAAGGAACACUUAGUGUGCUAUCAAACGUCACAAUGUAAUUGGGUGAUUAUAAAAAUGCUCUACAGGUGUCUCCGAUGGUGUUUGUUGAGUUGGCAAAGAUCGAGAUUAGGAUUUUUCACUCCGAGUAUCGGAGAGGUAUGUCUGGGCCCUCUCGUUAAUGCACAUCACUAUAAGCCUUGCAAGCAAUGUGACUAAUGAGUUAGUUGCGGGAUGAUGCAUUACGGAAUGAGUAAAGAGACUUGCCGGUAACGAGAUUGAACUAGGUAUUGAGAUACCGACGAUCGAAUCUCGGGCAAGUAACACACCGAUGACAAAGGGAACAACGUAUGUUGUUAUGCGGUUUGACCGAUAAAGAUAUUCAUAGAAUAUGUAGGAACCAAUAUGAGCAUCCAGGUUCCGCUAUUGGUUAUUGACCGGAGAUGAGUCUCGAUCAUGUCUACAUAGUUCUCGAACCCGUAGGGUCCGCACGCUUAACAUUCGGUGACGAUCGAUAUUAUGAGUUUAUGUGUUUUUAUGUACCGAAGGUUGUUCGGAGUCCUGGAUGUGAUCACGGACAUGACGAGGAGUCUUGAAAUGGUCGAGACGUAAAGAUCGAUAUAUUGGAUGGCUAUGUUUGGUCAUCGGAAUGGUUUCGCGUGAGUUCGGGCAUUUACCGGAGUACCGGGAGGUUACCGGAACCCCCCGGGGAGUAUAUGGGCCUUAUUGGGCCUUAGUGGGAGAGAGGAGGAGGCGGAAAAGGUGGGGGCACGCCCCCCAAGCCCAAUACGAAUUGGGGCGGGGGGCCGGCCCCCUUUCCUUCUCCCUCUCUCCUCCUUCCUUCCUCUCCUACUCCAACUAGGGAAGGGGGGAAUCCUACUCCCGGUGGGAGUAGGACUCCCCCUUGGGCGCGACAUAGAGAGGGCCGGCCCUCCCCUCCUCCACUCCUUUAUAUACGGGGGAGGUGGGCACCCCAUAGACACACAAGUUGAUUGUUUAGUCGUGUGCGGUGCCCCCCUCCACAGAUUUCCACCUCGGUCAUAUCGUUGUAGUGCUUAGGCGAAGCCUUGCGUCGGUAACUUCAUCAUCACCGUCAUCACGCCGUCGUGCUGACGAAACUCUCCCUCGACGUCAGCUGGAUCUAGAGUUUGUGGGAUGUCACCGAGCUGAACGUGUGUAGAUCGCGGAGGUGCCGUACGUUCGGUGCUAGGAUCGGUCGGAUCAUGAAGACGUACGACUACAUCAACCGCGUUGUCAUAACGCUUCCGCUUUCGGUCUACAAGGGUAUGUAGACAACACUCUCCCCUCUCAUUGCUAUACAUCACCUAGAUAGAUCUUGCGUGAUCGUAGGAAUUUUUUGAAAUUACUGCGUUCCCCAUCACUUCUUCUUUGGGAUCAACAUCAACUAGAUGGGAAUCCUUGGAGUUGUAGUCGUACUUGAUGAAGUAGAACUUGAUGUGGUCUUGGGAACCCACUUGACCAAGGCCUUGGGAGCUUCUUCAAAUGCAUCAAUCUCCUCUUGAAGCUUGUCCUUGCCUUUUUGCUGUGGUCUUGUGGUGGAAGAUCAUCUUGAGCUUGUGUCCCCUCGAAGGAAGUAGGAUCAUACUUCUCUUUUUGAGGAACAAACUUCAUAUUGGGGUAUUAAUCUUCUUCCCACUCAACUCCAUUGGCAUUGAACUUUCGUUCAAAACCAACACCUUGAUUCUUCUAGCAAGGCUCUUGUAAACACCUUUCUCUAUAAUUCCCUCCAGUAAGCUAUUUUCUUGCUCAAGUGUAACUUGGCUAAGAGAAUCAUUAGUGGAAUCAAGAGAACUACUAGAAGCAACAACAUUGGAUUUAACAUGAUUAUUGUUACUGCUAGAAGAAGAAUCUUGCUUGCUCUUGUUACUAUAUUUUACUUGUGGUAUGUAAGUAGACAAGAGUAAACGCUUGGCAAUGUAAGAAGAACUUUGCUUACGAAGAUCAUCAUUGAUUGCUUUUAAGAACCCAUGCUCUUGCUCUAGAUUGAGCUUUUCAAAGUGUAGCUACUCAUGAGUCUUUAAAAGCUCUCGAUGAUCUUCUAAGGUAGUUUCAUGAGCUAAAUUAAGAGUGUUUAGUUCUUUAUUUAGACGCUCAAUCUCCUUCUUAUCAUCGUCAUUCAUUUUCUCUUGAUUAGCAAGAUUAAUAGCAAGUUCAUCAUAGUUUUCAUCACUAGAGUUGUCAACAUGUAAAUCAUCAUCACCUAGCAAAUCAUCUUCAUCACUAUUGAAAUCAACAUACUCGGGGUGUGAUACCUUUGGGCCUUUAGCCAUGAAGCAUCUUCCAACUCCUUCAUUUGGUGAGUCAAAUAUGUCAUAGGAGUUGGUUGACACAAGUGCUAGACCGGCAACACCUUCAUCUUGAGUAUAUUCAGAGUUGGAGUGAUAACUUCUCUCGGAGUGAUGGUCGGAGUCGGAGCCGGAUACCCAUUCACCAACAUGAGCUUGAUGUCUUCAUUUUGUGUAGCUCUUUGAUGACUUGUCCUUCCUCUCCAAAUCCUUGCUUCUGUGAGAGGUUCUUUGUUCAUAACGAUCAUCUCUACUCCUCUCUCUAGGGGGUGAUUCUGUUGGGGAAUGUAGCAGAAAUUCAAAAUUUUCUACGCAUCACCAAGAUCAAUCUAUGGAGUAAUCUAGCACCGAGGGGAAGGGGAGUGCAUCUACAUACCAUUGUAGAUCGCUAAGCGGAAGCGUUGCAAGAACGCGGAUGAAGGAGUCGUACUCGUAGCGAUUCAGAUCGCGGUUGAUUCCGAUCUAAGCGCCAAACCACGGCGCCUCCGCGUUCAACACACGUGCAGCCCGGUGACGUCUCCCACACCUUGAUCCAGCAAGGAGAGAGGGAGAGGUUGGGGAAGACUCCGUCCAGCAGCAGCACAACGGCGUGGUGGUGGUGGAGGAGCGUGGCACUCCAACAGGGCUUCGCCAAGCACCGCAAGAGACGAGGAGGGAGAGGGGUAGGGCUGCGCCAUGAGGGAGACGUUCUCUUGUCUAUGGCAGCCCCAAACCCCCACUAUAUAUAGGGGAAAGGGAGGGGCUGCGCCCCCACCUAGGUUUCCACCUCUAGGGGUGGCGGCCAGCCCUAGAUGGGACUUGGAGGGGCGGCCAAGGGGGGAGAGAGGGGGGGCGCACCACUAGGUGGGCCUUAGGCCCAUCUGAGCCUAGGGUUUCCCCUUUUUCCUUCUCUCUUCGCCUUGGGACUUGGUGGGGGGCGCACCAGCUCACCUAGGGCUGGUCCCCUCCCACACUUGGCCCACGCAGCCCUCUGGGGCCGGUGGCCCCACCUGGUGGACCCCCGGGACCCUCCCGGUGGUACCGGUACGUUACCGAUAGCACCCGAAACUUUUCCGGUGACCAAAACAGGACUUCCCAUAUAUAAAUCUUUACCUUCGGACCAUUCCGGAACUCCUCGUGACGUCCGGGAUCUCAUCCAGGACUCCGAACAACAUUCGGUAACCACGUAUAUCUAUUCCCUAUAACCCUAGCGUCAUCGAACCUUAAGUGUGUAGACCCUACGGGUUCGGGAACCAUGCAGACAUGACCGAGACGUUCUCCGGCCAAUAACCAACAGCGGGAUCUGGAUACCCAUGUUGGCUCCCACAUGUUCCACGAUGAUCUCAUCGGAUGAACCACGAUGUCGGGGAUUCAAUCAAUCCCGUAUACAAUUCCCUUUGUCUACCGGUAUAGUACUUGCCCGAGAUUCGAUCGUCGAUAUCCCGAUACCUUGUUCAAUCUCGUUACCGGCAAGUCUCUUUACUCGUUCCGUAACACAUCAUCCCGUGAUCAACUCCUUGGUCACAUUGUGCACAUUAUGAUGAUGUCCUACCGAGUGGGCCCAGAGAUACCUCUCCGUUUACACGAAGUGACAAAUCCCAUUCUCGAUUCGUGCCAACCCAAUAGACACUUUCGGAGAUACCUGUAGUGCACCUUUAUAGCCACCCAGUUACGUUGUGACGUUUGGUACACCCAAAGCAUUCCUACGGUAUCCGGGAGUUGCACAAUCUCAUGGUCUAAGGAAAUGAUACUUGACAUUAGAAAAGCUCUUAGCAAACGAACUACACGAUCUUGUGCUAGGCUUAGGAUUGGGUCUUGUCCAUCACAUCAUUCUCCUAAUGAUGUGAUCCCGUUAUCAACAACAUCCAAUGUGCAUGGUCAGGAAACCGUAACCAUCUAUUGAUCAAUGAGCUAGUCAACUAGAGGCUUACUAGGGACAUGGUGUUGUCUAUGUAUCCACACAUGUAUCUGAGUUUCCUAUCAAUACAAUUUUAGCAUGGACAAUAAACGAUUAUCAUGAACAAGGAAAUAUAAUAAUAACCAAUUUAUUAUUGCCUCUAGGGCAUAUUUCUAACAGUCUCCCACUUGCACUAGAGUCAAUAAUCUAGUUCACAUCGCCAUGUGAUUAAUACCCAAGAGUUUACUAGAGUCAAUAAUCUAGUUCACAUCACCAUCUGAUUGUAAUGAUUCCAACACCCAUGGGUUUGUUCAUAUCUCGCUUGUGAGAGAGGUUAUUAGUCAACGGGUCUGAACCUUACAGAUACGUGUGUGCUUUACGAAUAUAUAUGUCAUCUUGUAGAUGCAGCUACCACGCGCUACUUGGAGCUAUUCCAAAUAACUGCUCUACUAUACGAAUCCGGUUUACUACUCAGAGUCAUCCGGAUUAGUGUCAAAGUUUGCAUCGACGUAACCCUUUACGACGAACUCCUUUUCCACCUCCAUAAUCGAGAAAAUUUCCUUAGUCCACUAGAUACUAAGGAUAAGUUCGACCGCUGUCAUGUGAUCCAUUCCCGGAUCACUAUUGUACCCCUUGACUAACUCAUGGCAAGGCACACUUCAUGUGCGGUACACAGCAUAGCAUACUGUAGAGCCUACGUCUAAAGCAUAGGGGACGACCUUCGUCCUUUCUCUCUAGUCUGCUGUGGUCAGGUCUUGAGUCUUACUCAAUACUCAAACCUUGUAACACAGCCAAGAACUCCUUCUUUGCUGGUCUAUUUUGAACUCCUUCAAAAUCUUGUCACGGUAUGUAUUCAUUUGAAAGUACUAUUAAGUGGUUUUUGAUCUAUCCUUAUAGAUCUUGAUGCUCAAUGUUCAAGUAGCUUAAUCCAGGUUUUCCAUUGAAAAACACUUUUCAAAUAACCCUGUAUGCUUUCCAGAAAUUCUACAUCAUCUCUGAUCAACAAUAUGUCAACAACAUAUACUCAUCAGAAAUUUUAUAGUGCUCCCACUCACUUCUUUGGAAAUACAAGUUUCUCAUAAACUUUGUAUAAACCCAAAAUCUUUGAUCAUCUCAUCAAAGCGUACAUUCCAACUCCGAGAUGCUUACUCCAGUCCUUAGAAGGAUUGCUGGAGCAUUGCAUACUUGUUAGCAUCUUUCAGGAUUGACAAAACCUUAUGGUUGUAUCACAUACAACCUUUCCUCUAGAAAAUCGUCGAGGAAACAAUGUUUUGACAUCCUAUCUGCAAGAUUUCAUAAAUUAUGCAGUAACUGCUAAUACAAUUCCAACAGACUCUUAGCAUCGCUACGAGUGAGAAAAAUCUCAUCGUAGUCAACUCCUUGAACUUGUCGGAAAACAUCUUAACGACAAGUCGAGCUUUCUUAAUGGUGACACUUACCAUUAUUGUCUGUCUUCCUUUUAAAAUCCAUCUGCACCCAACAGCCUUACGACCAUCAAGUAGUUCUUCCAAAGUCUAUACCUUGUUUUAUACAUGGAUCCUCUCUCGGAUUUUAUGGCCUCAAGCCAUUCGUCGGAAUCCGGGCCCACCAUCGCUUCUCCAUAGCUCGUAGGUUCAUUGUUGUCUAGCAACAUGACUUCCAAGACAGGAUUACGUACCACUCGAAGUAGUACGCAUCCUUAUCGACCUACGAGGUUUGGUAGUGACUUGAUCCGAAGUUUCCUGAUCACUAUCAUAAGCUUCCACUUCAAUUGGUGUAGGUGCCACAGGAACAACUUCCUGUGCCCUGCUACACACUAGUUGAAGUCAUGGUUCAAUAACCUCAUCAAGUCUCCACCAUCCUCCCACUCAAUUCUUUCGAGAGAAACUUUUUCUCGAGAAAGGACCUGUUUACUUCCAGAUCUGAAACAGGAGGUAUACCCAACUGUUUUGGGUAUUCUAUGAAGAUGCAUUUAUCCGCUUUGGGUUCGAGCUUAUCAGCCUGAAACUUUUUCACAUAAGCAUCGCAGCCCCAAACUUUUAAGAAACGACAACUUAGGUUUCUCUAAACGGUGUCGUCUCAACGGAAUUGCGUGGUGCCCUAUUUAAAGUGAAUGCGGUUGUCUCUAAUGCCUAACCCAUAAACGAUAGUGGUAAAGAGACAUCAUGGUAUGCACCAUAUCCAAUAGGGUGCAGUUAUGAUGUUCGGACACACCAUCACAUUGUGGUGUUCCAGGCGGUAUUAAUUGUGAAACACUUUCCACAAUGUCUUAAUUGUGUACCAAACUCGUAACUCAGAUAUCUCUAUGAUCAUAUCAUAGACAUUUUAUCCUCUUGUCAUGACGAUAUUCAACUUCACUCUGAAAUUACUUGAACCUUUCAAUAAUUCAGACUAGUGUUUCAUCAAGUAAAUAUUCUCAGCAUCUACUCAAAUCAUCUGUGAAGUAAGAACAUAUCGAUAUCCACUGCGUGCCUCAGCACUCAUUGGACUGCACACAUCAAAUGUAUUACUUCCAAAAAGUUGCUCUCUUGUUCCAUCUUACUGGAAACGAGGCCUUUCAGUCAUCUUGCCCAUGUGGUAUGAUUUGCAUGUCUCAAGUGAUUCAAAAUCAAGUGAGUCCAAACGAUCCAUCUGCAUGGAGUUUCUUCAUGCAUAUAUACCAAUAGACAUGGUUCGCAUGUCUCAAUCUUUUCAAAAACGAGUGAGUCCAAAGAUCCAUCUACAUGGAGCUUCUUCAUGCGUUCUAUACCAAUAUGACUCAAAUGGCAGUGCCACAAGUAUGUGGUACUAUCAUUACCAUUUUAUAUCUUUUGGCACAAACAUGUGUAUCACUGCGAUCGAGAUUCAUUUUAGGUGCAAGACCAUUGAAGGUAUUAUUCAAAUAAACAGAGUAACCAUUAUUCUCCUUAAAUGAAUAACCGUAUUGCGAUAAACAUAAUCCAAUCAUGUUUAUGCUCAACGCAAACACCAAAUAACAAUUAUUUAGGUUUAACACCAAUCUCGAUGGUAGAGGGAGCAUGCGAUGCUUGAUCACAUCAACCUUGGAAACACUUCCAACACAUAUCGUCAGCUCACCUUUAGCUAGUCUCCGUUUAUUCCGCAGCUUUUAUUUCGAGUUACUAACACUUAGCAACCGAACCGGUAUCUAAUACCCUGGUGCUGCUAGGAGUACUAGUAAAGUACACAUUCAUAUAAUGUAUAUCCAAUAUACUUCUGUCGACCUUGCCUGCCUUCUCAUCUACCAAGUAUCUAGGGUAGUUCUGCUUCAGUGACCGUUCCCCUCAUUACAGAAGCACUUAGUCUCGGGUUUGGGUUCAACCUUGGGAUUCUUCACUAGAGCAGCAAAUGAUUUGCUGUUUCAUGAAGUAUCCCUUUUCCCCUUGCCCUUCUAGAAACUAGUGGUUUUACUAACCAUCAACAAUUGAUGCUCCUUCUUGAUUUCUACUUUCGCGGUGUCAAACAUCGCGAGUUGCUCAAGGAUCAUCAUGUUUAUCCCUGAUAUGUUAUAGUUCAUCACGAAGCUCUAAUAGCUUGGUGGCAGUGACUAUGGAGAACCAUCACUAUCUCAUCUGGAAGAUUAACUCCCACUCGAUUCAAGUGAUUGUAGUACUCAGACAAUCUGAGCACAUGCUCAACGAUUGAGCUUUUCUCCCUUAGUUUGCAGGCUUAAGAAACUUGUCAGAGGUCUCAUACCUCUUGACGUGGGCAUUUAGUCUGAAAUCCCAAUUUCAGCCUUUGGAACAUCUCAUAUGUUCUGCGACGUUUCAAAACCGUCUUGUCGCCACAAUUUUAAACCGUUAGCAUCACACACUGAACUAUCACGUAGUCAUCAAAACGUGUAUGUCAGAUGUUUCGUAACAUCUACAGACGACGCUCGAGGUUCAGCACACCGAGCGGUGCAUUAAGGACAUAAGCCUUCUGUGCAGCAAUCAGGACAAUCCUCAGUUGACGGACCUAGUCCGCAUAAUUGCUACUAUCAACUUUCAACUAAAUUUUCUCUAGGAACAUAUCUUAAACAGUAGAACUAAAGCGUAAGCUAUGACAUAAUUUGCAAAGUCCUUUUGACUAUGUUCAUGAUAAUUAAGUUCAUCUGAUUAUUUAAUGAACUCCCACUCAGAUCGACAUCCCUCUAGUCAUCUAAGUGAUACAUGAUCCGAGUCAAACUAGGCCGUGUCCGAUCAUCACGUGAGACAGACUAGUCAUCAUCGGUGAACAUCUCCAUGUUGAUCGCAUCUACUAUACGACUCAUGUUCGACCUUUCGAUCUCUUGUGUUCUGAGGCCAUGUCUGUACAUGCUAGGCUCGUCAAGUCAACCUAAGUGUUUCGCAUGUGUUCCGAGGCCAUGUCUGUACAUGCUAGGCUCGUCAACACCCAUUGUAUUCCAACGUUGGAAUCUAUCACACCCGAUCAUCACGUGGUGCUUCAAAACAACGAACCUUCGCAACGGUGCACAGUUAGGGGGAACACGUCUCUUGAAAUUUUAGUGAGAGAUCAUCUUAUUUAUUCUACCGUCGUUCUAAGCAAUAAGAUGUAAACAUGACAAACAUCACAUGCAAAUCAUAAAGUGAUGUGAUAUGGCCAAUAUCAUCUUGCGCCUUUGAUCUCCAUCUUCGAGGCGCGGCAUGAUCACCUUCGUCACCGGCAUGACACCAUGAUCUCCAUCAUCAUGAUCUCCAUCAUCAUGUCUUCAUGAAGUUGUCUCGCCAACUAUUACUUCUACUACUAUGGCUAACGGUUAGCAAUAAAGUAAAGUAAUUACAUGGCGUUUUCAUUCACACGCAGGUCAUACAAUAAAUUAAGACAACUCCUAUGGCUCCUGCCGGUUGUCAUACUCAUCGACAUGCAAGUAGUGAUUCCUAUUACAAGAACAUGAUCAAUCUCAUACAUCACAUAUAUCAUUCAUCAGAUCCUUUUGGCCAUAUCACAUCACAUAGCAUACCCUGCAAAAACAAGUUAGACGUCCUCUAAUUGUUGUUCUAUGUUUUACGUGGCUGUUAUGGGAUUCUAGCAAGAACGUUUCUUACCUACGCAAAAGCCACAACGUGAUAUGCCAAUUUCUAUUUACCCUUCAUAAGGACCCUUUUCAUCGAAUCCGAUCCGACUAAAGUGGGAGAGACAGACACCAGCUAGCCACCUUAUGCAACUAGUGCAUGUCAGUCGGUGGAACCUGUCUCACGUAAGAGUACGUGUAAGGUCGGUCCGGGCCGCUUCAUCCCACGAUGCCGCCGAAUCAAGAUAAGACUAGUAACGGCAAGUAAAUUGUCAAAAUCGACGCCCACAACUACUUUGUGUUCUACUCGUGCAUAGAAACUACACAUAGACCUAGCUCAUGAUGCCACUGUUGGGGAACGUAGCAGAAAUUCAAAAUUUUCUACGCAUCACCAAGAUCAAUCUAUGGAGUAAUCUAGCACCGAGGGGAAGGGGAGUGCAUCUACAUACCAUUGUAGAUCGCUAAGCGGAAGCGUUGUAAGAAUGCGGAUGAAGGAGUCGUACUUGUAGCGAUUCAGAUCGUGGUUGACUCCAAUCUAAGCGCCGAACCACGGCGCCUCCGCGUUCAACACACGUGCAGCCCGGUGACGUCUCCCACGCCUUGAUCCAGCAAGGAGAGAGGGAGAGGUUGGGGAAGACUCCGUCCAGCAGCAGCACAAUGGCGUGGUGGUGGUGGAGGAGCGUAGCACUCCAGCAGGGCUUCGCCAAGCACCGCAAGAGACGAGGAGGGAGAGGGGUAGGGCUGCGCCAUGAGGGAGACGUUCUCUUGUCUAUGGCAGCGCCAAACCCCCACUAUAUAUAGGGGAAAGGGAGGGGCUGCGCCCCCACCUAGGUUUCCACCUCUAGGGGUGGCGGCCAGCCCUAGAUGGGACUUGGAGCGGCGGCCAAGGGGGGAGAGAGGGGGGGCGCACCACUAGGUGGGCCUUAGGCCCAUCUGAGCCUAGGGUUUCCCCUUUUUCCUUCUCUCUUCGCCUUGGGCCUUGGUGGGGGGGCGCACCAGCUCACCUGGGGCUGGUCCCCUCCCACACUUGACCCACGCAGCCCUCUGGGGCCGGUGGCCCCACCUGGUGGACCCCCGGGACCCUCCCGGUGGUCCCGGUACGUUACCGAUAGCACCCGAAACUUUUCCGGUGACCAAAAUAGGACUUCCCAUAUAUAAAUCUUUACCUCCGGACCAUUCUGGAACUCCUCGUGAUGUCUGGGAUCUCAUCCGGGACUCCGUAAAACAUUCGGUAACCACGUAUAUCUAUUCCCUAUAACCCUAGCGUCAGUGAACCUUAAGUGUGUAGACCCUACGGGUUCGGGAACCAUGAGAACAUGACCGAGACGUUCUCCGGCCAAUAACCAACAGCGGGAUCUGGAUACCCAUGUUGGCUCCCACAUGUUCCACGAUGAUCUCAUCGGAUGAACCACGAUGUCGGGGAUUCAAUCAAUCCCGUAUACAAUUCCCUUUGUCUACCGGUAUAGUACUUGCCCGAGAUUCGAUCGUCGGUAUCCCGAUACCUUGUUCAAUCUCGUUACCGGCAAGUCUCUUUACUCGUUUCGUAACACAUCAUCCCGUGAUCAACUCCUUGGUCACAUUGUGCACAUUAUGAUGAUGUCCUACCGAGUGGGCCCAGAGAUACCUCUCCGUUUACACGGAGUGACAAAUCCCAGUCUCGAUUCGUGCCAACCCAACAGACACUUUCGGAGAUACCUGUAGUGCACCUUUAUAGCCACCCAGUUACAUUGUGACGUUUGGUACACCCAAAGAAUUCCUACGGUAUCCGGGAGUUGCACAAUCUCAUGGUCUAAGGAAAUGAUACUUGACAUUAGAAAAGCUCUUAGCAAACGAACUACACGAUCUUGUGCUAGGCUUAGGAUUGGGUCUUGUCCAUCACAUCAUUCUCCUAAUGAUGUGAUCCCGUUAUCAAUGACAUCCAAUGUCCAUGGUCAGGAAACCGUAACCAUCUAUUGAUCAACGAGCUAGUCAACUAGAGGCUUACUAGGGACAUGGUGUUGUCUAUGUAUCCACACAUGUAUCUGAGUUUCCUAUCAAUACAAUUUUAGCAUGGAUAAUAAACGAUUAUCAUGAACAAGGAAAUAUAAUAAUAACCAAUUUAUUAUUGCCUCUAGGGCAUAUUUCUAACAGAUUCUUCUCUUCUACUUCUCCUUUUAGGUGAGUCUUCUCUUCUUUUGUAGGGAGCCGUACACUCAUUGGAGUAGUGUCCGGGUCUUCCACAAUUGUAGCAAUUACGCUCACGACUAGAAGAUCUUUUGUCAUUGUAGGACCUUGACUUGGAACUUCUUUCCUUGCUUCUACUCUUGUAGAACUUGUUGAAGUUCUUCACCAUUAGGCUCAAUUCCUCAUUGAAGGCUUGUUUCUCACUUGAUGAUGUAGGAGCAUCACAUGAGGCUUUGUAAGCACCACUAGACUUGUUGCGAAGCUCUUCUUUAUCCUUGAGUGACAUCUCAUGAGCAACAAUUGUACCAAUGACUUUCGUUGGCUUGAGAUCUUUGUAAUUGGGCACCAUUUGGAUCAAUGUGCACACAGUAUCAUAUUUUCCAUCCAAGGCUCUUAGGAUCUUCUUGAUGAUGAAUCUAUCGGUCAUCUCUUCACUUCCUAAGCCGGCAAUCUUAUUUGUGAUGAGAGCAAGCCUAGAGUACAUUUCAGCGACACCUUCACCAUCCUUCAUUUUGAACUUGUCAAGCUAACUUUGAAGCACAUCCAACUUGGAUUCCUUGACGGAGUUAGUACCUUCGUGCAUAUCAAUCAAAGUAUCCCAAAUUUCCUUUGCAUUCUCAAGACGGCGGAUUUUGUUGAAUUCUUCGGGGCUCAAUCCUUUGAAGAGGAUAUCGCAAGCUUGAGCAUUGUAUUGCGGCAUCUUCAAUUCUUCCGCGGUAGGUUCACGAUUCGGUUCUCUCCCAUCGAAAAAUUCACCUUCAAGUCAAUACACACAAUAGCCCAAACGGCGGGGUAAUGUCCAAGAAUAUGCAUUUUCAUCUUAUGCUUCCAACUAGCAAAAUUAGUACCAUCAAAGUAAGGACCUCUACGGUGGUAAUUUCCCUCGCUAAACGCCAUACUCUCGUAGGUUGUGAAACCAAGGCUAUAAUCACCAAAGCUAUGGAAAUCAAGGAAAAUGGAGACCAAAGCUCUGAUACCACUUGUAGGAUCGAAAGUAUGUCUAGAAGGGGGGGUGAUUAGACCACUUGACCGAAUAAAAAUCUAGCCUUUUCCCAAUUUUAAGUCUUGGCAGAUUUUAGCAACUUAUCACAAGUCAAGCAAUCAACCUACACAUGCAAAUCUAAGAGUAUAGCAGCGGAAUGUAAAUCAUUGCAUAUGAAGGUAAAGGUAAGGAGUUUGGAGGGAGCAAACGCAAUGUAGACACGAAGAUUUUUUGCAUGGUUCCGAUAGGUGGUGCUAUUGUACAUCCAUGUUGAUGGAGACUUCAACCCACGAAGGAGAAUGGCUACGCGAGUCCACGGAGGGCUCCACCCACGAAGGGUCCACGAAGAAGCAACCUUGUCUAUCCCACCAUGGCCAUCGCCCACGAAGGACUUGCCUCACUAGGGUAGAUCUUCACGAAGUAGGCGAUCUCCUUGCCCGUACAAACUCCUUGGUUCAACUCCACAAUCUUGACGGAGGCUCCCAAGUGACACCUAACCAAUCUAGGAGACACCACUCUCGAAAAGGUAAUAGAUGGUGUGUUGAUGAUGAACUCCUUGCUCUUGUGCUUCAAAUGAUAGUCUUCCCAACACUCAACUCUCUCUCAUAGAUUUGGAUUUGGUGGUAAGAGGAUUUGAGUGGAAAGCAACUUGGGGAGGGCUUGAGAUCAAGAUUCUUGUGGUUGGAUUGGAAUUUCUUGGGCUCAACACAUGAGUAGGUGGUUCUCUCUCAGAAAAUGAAUCCCGGAAGUGUAGGCACUUUCUGAUGGCUCUCUCCAUGAAUGGAGGAUGGGUGGAGGGGUAUAUAUAGCCUCCACACAAAAUCUAACCCGUUACACACAAUUUACCAAACUCGGUGGGACCGAAUACUCAAACUCGGUCAGACCGAUUUAGUUCAAAAUGUGAACGUUAGGCUUUUCAGUGGGACCGACAUGUCAACUCGGUAGGACCGAUUUCAUGGGUUAGGGCAUAACAUAAUCUCGGUGAGACCGAUCACAUGAACUCGGUGAGACCGAUUUCUGUAACAGGAAAAUAGAGAGUUGGUCAGGCAAACUCGGUGGGACCAAUUCGCUCAUUUCGGUGAGACCGAAACGUUAUGAAAAGGAAAUAGAGAGUUUGCAUUGCGAACUCGGUGGGACCGAUCGCUCAUCUCGUUUAGACCGAAAUGUUACGAAGGGAAACGAAGAGUUUGCAAUCCCAUCUCGGUGAGACCGAGAUCCCUAUUGGUGAGACCGAACUGAUUAGGGUUUCUGGCUAUGGCUAUGUCAAAUGAACUCGGUGGCUCCGGAUAGAUCAAAUGGGUGGGGCCGAGUUUGACUUUUGUUUGGGACAUAUGAGGAUAUGAGAAAGUGGUUGAGGGCUUUUGGAGCAUAUCAUUAAGCAUUUUGAGCAAGCAAGCCAUUAAGCAACACCUCGUCCCCUUUUAAUAGUAUUGGCUUUUCCUAUGGACUCAAUGUGAUCUUGGAUCACGAAAAUGAAAAUGUAGAGUCUUGAGCUUGAGCCAAUAUGUGUCCUUAGCAUUUUGAGGGGUCCACAUCUCUAGUCCAUGCCAUGCCAAUCAAUGAACUUUCUGAAAUGAUCAUCUUGAAAGAGUAUUAGUUCAAUGAGCUAUAUGUUGUUAAGAAUUACCAAAACCACCCAGGGAUUAGUUGCACUUUCACCCUGACAAUAGACAAAAAUCCACUUUAUAUCGUGAGUGAGCGCCAAUACCGUACGCGACCGCCAUCGUCGUGCCUGCAGAUAUAUACUACGAUGUGUUUGUAGAUGUGCUUUCACGCCCCUUGAUCUCAUUGUCGCGAUCAUCAAGGGCCACUGCCCCAAACACAGGGAGACCUAGAAAUAUCACUGUCUGUCUUUUACUUUUGACAUCAAAACGACACGUGGCAUACGCUCGUGGUGGUCGAGGCAAGCACACCUAAGCAAAAUUGAUGAUAAAACCUGAAAAUGCCAAACAAGGCUAAAGUUAAUUAAACGGAUAGAUAAAGUGCUAAUUCUGUUGACAUGCAUUUUUUUGGCUCCCCAGCUCAAAUACCCUCACAUGAACAAUAAUAAUAAUAAAAAGAGUAAGCAAAACUGAAAUAAGUCAGUGUUUUUUAAUGAACGUCAACAUAUUCUCUAACUGCUUGUAAUUCUUUUAUGAGAAAAAACAUCGGUACAAAAAAUACUGGGGCUAAAAAGCGACAUUUGCAGCACUCAUAUUUUAUACUUUUUCCCGUAGACCGCGAUUGAUGUCUUUUGUUGGUGAACUUUUGCCGGCAACCAGAACACAACCACCAAGAUGCUGCAUCACCACAAACACCUUUCUCCUCAUUAAUUAUCUGCCAUAUAAACAAAUUUGUCUUGAGAUGCAUCAUGUUACUAGCUAACUUACUUCCACUACGACCAGCCCCAAGGGGCUGGGCGGUUUGGGCGUCUUUGAUUUGAACACGUAUGCUCAUGCACUGUGCUUGAGGUGGCUAUGGUAUGAGUGGACAGAUCCGGAAAGGGCCUGGGUUGGCAUGGGCAACCAAUGCGACGCGAAGGACAGAGAGCUCUUCUAUGCAACCAUAACCAUCACCGCUGGGGAUGGCCAAACGGCGAGGUUUUGGCACUCCCCUUGGCUGUUGGGUAGGAAGAAGCCCAAAGACAUUGCUCCAUCCAUUUUUGCGAUCUCUGCGAAUAGGAACAAGUCGGUUAGGGAGAGCAUGCAGGACUUAAGUUGGAUCCAAUGGAUCAAUACAAAUGAUGGGCUUGAGGUGCAACACCUUGCGCAGUUCUGCACAUUAUGGGAGAGGAUCCAACAGGUGCAGAUGCAUGAUGACAAGGCUGAUGGCACAGUUUGGAACCUCACGUCCAAUGGGAUUUACUCCUCGGCCUCGGCCUACAAGGUGCAAUUCGAGGGGACGGUGGCCACCAAUAUGACACAGGUGGUCUGGGGAAACUGGGGGCCACCCAAAUGCAAAUUCUUCGCAUGGCUAGUUGAUGACCCACAAGUAUAGGGGAUCUAUCGUAAUCCUUUCGACAAGCAGAAGGAAAUGACAAGCGGUUUUCAGCAAGGUAUUCUCUGCAAGCACUGAAAUUAUCGGUAACAGAUAGUUGUGUGAUAAGAUAAUUCGUAACGGGUAACAAGUAACAAAAGUAAACAAGGUGCAGCAAGGUGGCCCAAUCCUUUUUGUAGCAAAGGACAAGCCCAGACAAACUCCUAUAUAAAGCAAAGUGCUCCUGAGGACACAUGCGAAUUACUGUCAAGCUAGUUUUCAUCAUGCUCAUAUGAUUUGCGUUCGUUACUUUGAUAGUUUGAUAUGUGGGUGGACCGGUGCUUGGGUGCUGCCCUUCCUUGAACAAGCCUCCCACUUAUGAUUAACCCCUCUCGCAAGCAUCCGCAACUACGAAAGAAGAACUAAGAUAUAUCUAACGAUAGCAUGAAACAUAUGGAUCCAAAUCGGCCCCUUACGAAGCAACGCAUAAACUAGGGUUUAAGCUUCUGUCACUCUAGCAACCCAUCAUCUACUUAUUACUUCCCAAUGCCUUCCCCUAGGCCCAAAUCAUGGUGAAGUGUCAUGUAGUCGACGUUCACAUAACACCACUAGAGGAAAGACAACAUACAUCUCAUCAAAAUAUCGAAUGAAUACCAAAUUCACAUGAUUACUUAUAACAAGACUUCUCCCAUGUCCUCAGGAACAAAUGUAACUACUCACAAAGCAUAUUAAUGUUCAUAAUCAGCAGAGUAUUAAUUAUCAUUAAGGAUCUGAACAUAUGAUCUUUCACCGAAUAAACCAACUAGCAUCAACUACAAGGAGUAAUCAACACUACUAGCAACCCACAUGUACCAAUCUGAGGUUUUGAGACAAAGAUCGGAUACAAGAGAUGAACUAGGGUUUGAGAGGAGAUGGUGCUGGUGAAGAUGUUGAUGGAGAUUUACCCCCUCUAGAUGAGAGGAUCGUUGGUGAUGACGAUGGAGAUGAUUUCCCCCUCCAGGAGGGCUGUUUCCCCGGCAGAACAGCUCCUUCGGAGCCCUAGAUUGGUUCUGCCCAGGUUCCGCCUCGAGACGGCGGCGCUUCGUCCCGAAAUCUUCCUUCUUAUUUUUUCCAGGUCAAAACACACCAUAUAGUAGAAUAUGGGCAUCAGAGGCCUGCCAGGGGCCCCACAAGGACGGGGGCCCGCCCUCCAACCUUGUGGCUGGCUGGUAGCCCCCUUUGGCUCUUUCUUCGCCCAAUAUUUUUAUAUAUUCCAAAAGAUGCUCCGUGAAGUUUCAGGACUUUUGGAGUUGUGCAGAAUAGGUCUAUAAUAUUUUCUCCUUUUCCAAUCCAGAAUCCCAGCUGCCGACAUUCUCCCUCUUCAGGUAAACCUUAUAAAAUAAGAGAGAAAAGGCAUCAGUAUUGUGAUAUAAUGUGUAAUAAUAGCCCAUAAUGCAAUAAACAUCAAUAUAAAAGCAUGAUGCAAAAUGUACGUAUCACUAAUUAACAUGAAUCGGAUUUGGACGAUGGAUCGGCUACAAACGAGAGGUUGGCCAAAUUGCAAUUUAUGCCAACUAUGUAAAAGGGAACCCGAGACGGCGGCACACUUUCUUUUCUAGUGCAGGUUCUCUACACGCAUCAGGAAUGCGGUUAGGUGUUGGCUCGAUGUUCCGGAGCUAGACUUGGAUGCGUGGGCUGAGGUCACAACAGUCAAGCUUUGGUAGGAGAGGACGGUCCUCGGUCGUGGCCACAGGACCAAGGCGAUGUCUUCGCUUCUGAUGCUCGUUUCGUGGGAGUUGUGGAAUGAGAGAAAUGCAAGGGUGUUCCAGAAGAAAGCUUCGAUGCCGACCGUUGUGGUCGGCCGAAUAAAGACGGAGUUGAGAAUUUGGGUUUUGGCUGGGGCCAAACACUUGGGAUCCUUGAUGCCGCAAGAGUAGGCCAUGUUUCUUUCAUUUGUUGAGGAGUAAUGACCCUCUUAAGACCUUGUUACCCUUCUUCUUUAUUAAUGAGAUGAGGCAAAUCUUUUGCCUCCAUUUCAAAAAAAACUACGACCAUCCUCCUAGUUGAGGCGACUCCCGUCAAAAUGGAUCAUACCCUUACUCCUUAGUCGAUGUGAGGGGCCAACCAUAACGCCACUACUGGGUCUCCUCCAUCGGUCUGUCAGGACCCCGAUCCUAAGUCACACCAAUCUAGCAUAUAACACAUCAUAUCACUUUGCGGCCUCACGCACGGUAUCCCCAUGGGUGCCACCUUACCUGGCCCGGGACCGUUUGCGCUUUUUGGCUCACAUAUAUGAUAGUGUCGCUAGCAUCCAUAUGACAGAGAACCCGGGCCGACAUGACUAGUCGUAAACCCAAGGUGGCACUAACUUACAGGGACAUGCAUACAUGGCCCAGCAAUGCACGUGUCGGUCAUCAACGUAUGAACCCAAGUCGUAGCAAGCUACAAGGACUUAAAGGAACAAUGCGUGACAUUUUCCCGAAGGGACAUACACAGGAGCAAAGAAGGACACAUGCCGAUCAUCCCAUGUGUUCCGGAACAGUAGCAAGCUACCAUGGCUCAGUGGAAGCACUAGGAGACAUUUCCCCAUAAGAGAGGCUACCAAGAAUAAACAACUAGAUUGUCGGAUCCCACACAUACCAAGCAUUUCAAAUCAUACACACAAUAUGCUCGAUAUGUGCAAAUACAACAUGGCAUCACAACAAAACUCUACGACUCAAAGUAUUUAUUUAGAAGGCUCCGAAGAGCCAUACAUAGUAAGAAUUACAAUCAUGGGUCACAUGACCCAACAUACAGAGCAUACAAGCAACGGAAGCAUAACACGUCUGAGCACAGACAACUACAAAUGAAAAAGGCUGAGAAGCCUGACUAUCUACAAGACCCUCCCAAGGGUACAAGAUCAUAGCUGAGGUAACAAGCUAAACGUCGAAGUCCACGCGGAACUACUAGUGAGACUGAAGUCUCCUCUGCAAAACGUAAAUUAAGCAAAUGUGAGUACAAAUGUACUCCCUCCGUAAACUAAUAUAAGAGCGUUUAGAUCACUACUUUAGUAAUCUAAACGCUCUUAUAUUAGUUUACAUAGGGAGUACCCAGCAAGACUUACAUCAGAACUAGCUACAUAUGCAUCAGUAUCAACAAAGGGGUGGUGGAGUUUAACUGCAGCACGUCAGCUUUGACUCAGUGGCUAUCCUGUACUACGACUGCUGGUAACUCUUUUGAGGUAGCGCACACGAGUCCACAUAUUCACCAUAUCAGUACACCACUAUGGAUCCACUCCCGUCUCCCUAUGAGAAGGCCAUCCAUAACACUCACACUUAUCUUGCGCAUUUUAGAGUAUCCACUUUCAUUUGUCUAUGAACUACAUUAGCAACCCAGUAGUCCAUUACCGCGGACGCGGCUAUUUGAAUAGUUUGAUAACCCUGCAGGGGUGUACUUCUUCACACAUGUUUCCACCACUUAGCGUCUGCACACGACAUGUGCUCAGCAGACUUCAAGCGAAAGCCGACGUGGGUGUAGACCACGACCUGACUAACCACACAAGACUCUAGUCCAGGUUUAUCGCCUAUCUGAGAACUGACCCGUAAUGGAGUCCGGCCGAGGUUUCCAUCACGGCCUCAAACGAUGUGUACAAGGUUCCCAAGUCCACCUUGUUGGAUGGUUCUACGCUUGGUACACCCGGCCACGGUGCCUGCCGCAUCAAAGCCUACCCCUCCGAUCAGCGCUAAGCAUGGCCCCCCAGCACAACUUAUAAACACCAGAAACUAGUUGCAACUCCUGGACAGAGAACACAUGGGUUAAUAAGUUGAGCGGGGUCAUAUUUCAGGGCCCAACGUGUGGUAGUAGCUGCUCUUGGAUCACAAACACGGAACUCAGUUCCUGAGGGUUUCAAUGAGACAACCCACCAUGUACUCCUACAUGGCCUCUCGCCGCUAUCUUUACCAAAUCUUGUUCACACACUUAACUCUCAACAGUAGGACAUGAUGACUGAAGGAAAUAUGCCCCAGAGGCAAUAAUAAAGUUGUUAUUUAUAUUUCCUUAUGUCAUGGUAAAUACCUAUUAUUCAUGCUAGAAUUGUAUUAACCGGAAACUUGAUACAUGUGUGAAUACAUAGACAAAACAAAGUGUCCCUAGUAUGCCUCUACUAGACUAGCUCUUAAUCAAAGAUGGUUAAGUUUCCUGACCAUAAACAUGUGAUGUCAUUUGAUGAACGGGAUCACAUCAUUAGGAGAAUGAUGUGAUGGAAAAGACACAUCUGUUAGCUUAGCAUAAUGAUCGUUAAGUUUUAUUACUAUUGCUUUCUUCAUGACUUAUACAUAUUCCUCUGACUACGAGAUUAUGCAACUCCCGAACACCGAAGGAAUACCUUGUGUGCUGUCAAACGUCACAACAUAAAAGGGUGAUUAUAAAGAUGCUCUACAAGUAUCUCCGAAGGUGUUUUGUUGGGUUGGCAUAGAUCGAGAUUAGGAUUUGUCACUCUGAGUAUCGGAGAGGUAUCUCUGGGCCCUCUCGGUAAUGCACAUCAUAAUAAGCCUUGCAAGCAAUGUGACUAAUGAGUUAGUUACGGGAUGAUGCAUUACAGAAUGAGUAAAGAGACUUGCCGGUAAUGAGAUUGAACUAGGUAUGAGGAUACCGACGAUCGAAUCUCGGGCAAGUAACAUACCGAUGACAUGGGGAAUAACGUAUGUUGUCAUAACGGUUCGACCGAUAAAGAUCUUCGUAGAAUAUGUGGGAACCAAUAUGAGCAUCUAGGUUUCGCUAUUGGUUAUUGAACGGAGAGGUGUCUCGGUCAUGUCUACAUAGUUCUUGAACCCGUAGGGUCUGCACGCUUAACGUUCGACGACGAUUUGUAUUAUAUGAGUUAUGUGUUUUGGUGACCGAAGGUUGUUCGGAGUCCCGGAUGGGAUCACAGACAUGACAAGGAGUCUCGAAAUGGUCGAGAGGUAAAUAUUGAUAUAUUGGAAGGUAGUAUUCGGACACUGUCGUGGAUUUGUCACGGCAGAUGUCCUAGGGUGAGGACUUAGUCGUGAGGCCAGCGCAUCUAUGUAGUAGCUUGAGAGGGGUUGAGCGGAAUCGAGAGGCGCAACACAAGACGAGGAUUUAGACAGCUUCGGGCCCCAGGAAACAUCAUCCGGUAAUAACCCUACAUGUUGUUUGAGGCUAGAUCUCAUUACACUCAUGAGGGAGACGCCGUAAACCGGCUCUUUGGGUCUAGCCCUAGAGAUUGUUUCUUCUUGUCUGUAGCUUGUCCCUCUUUGGGGAGCCCUGCCCCUCCUUAUAUAUGUUGAACGGGCGGGUUACAUGUGGAGUCCUAUUAGGAUUAGGACUAGCCUAUCUCUAAUACAAACCGGAUACAAGUCCGGGUCUUUAACUCCUUGUAAGAUAAUAUUCUUCAUGCCUUUCCUCUUAAACCGGCCCGCCAUUAAUAUAAACCGGCCCUCUGGGCCUUGGGCCUUGUCAUCCAUCUAUCCCUGCCCGCCGGGUUACCAGCGAGUUAUAAUGUCCAGGAAGGUUGCUUGUAAACCGCCAGGUCAGGGCGGGUCGCCAGUGAAUCGCCAAGUGUCGGCAUGAUCUCAAAUAAACCGCCAAGUCCGGCCGGGAUAUACUUCCGGCCGGUUUACGCCACGGGGUAUAUCCCCGACAUUAGCCCCCAGUUUAAUUUGGAUUUAUCCAUGUUAAUCUGAUCCUGUAAAACAUACACAAGAACGAAUUUGACAGAUUAUGCUCCGGGUUAAGAAUUCUUGUAAACCGGCAUCUGAUCAUCCUUAAGUCCUUGUCAUUUCCUCUUUCUAGAAAAUCCGGGUCAUUAGACCAGCUUCAUAAUCAAUUUGCUUGUAGAAGAAAUAUUGCAAAUAAAGAAUCCAUUUAAAUCGGCCUUCAAAGCUCUGAUUUGACAAAAAUAUUGGUCUUCAAAUAUUCAACUGAUAUUCAGCCGGCUUGAAGAUGUAGAACUUGCCGGUUUAUGAUUACCACCAUUGUCGGGUUAUAAAAACUGAUAAUUCUGGGUCAUGAUUGCUACCAACGCUGGUUCAUGAUUGUUGCCAACGCUGGUUCAUGAUUGUUACCAACGAUGGUUCAUGAUUUGAUGACGCCGGGUUAUGAUUGUUGCAGACACCGGGUCAUAAUGAUUGGUGACGCCAGGUUAAUCUGGUUUGCUCAAAACUGAGACUUUGAAAAUAUUUCUCCUUAUAUCCGUAUUACCCGUAGCCCCCAAGUCUUGAGCAGAACAAAGUGAUGACUUAAGACUUAUUUCAAUAUAAAUACUGCCACUUUGAAGAAAUCCAUGUUGUUCAUCUCUAGUAAAAAAACUGAAUACUCCAUAUAUGCAGCCUCCAAGUACCGGGUUGUCAUGCUUGCAGCAACCUAGGACUUGUAAUUGCUUAUAAAAACUUCAAUCAGUGUAGCCCCCAAGGGCCAGCUUAGUAAGAUAAUACUGAGCCGAGACUUGAUAUAUACUUCAAUGAAAAUAACAUCUUAUAAUGUAGCUUCCAUCGUAGGGAAACCCACGUCCACAAGGUUAAGAGCUUUGUGCUUUACCCACUAAGCAAUGAACCCUUUAAUAUAAUGGAUUAAGGCUUGUAUACCUUGAAUGUUUGACAGGAGCCAUUGUAGCCCCCAAGGGCCGGCUCAUUAUGAUGUGAUGAGUCGGUUCUUCAAUAAGGCCAAUAAAAAAUGACUUUGCAUUAGCCCCCAAGUGUCAUGGUGCAUGCUUGCAGCGACAUGAGACUUGCAUGUAAUCUCAAUUAGAAUAAUGUAGCCCCCAAGUGCCGGAUCGUAAGCCUGCAGCGACUCGGGACUGUUCCUUCCAUUGUAGAAUAAAUCAUAUCCUUUGAUAAAAUAAUAGCCAUUGCGCUAAAGCGACUUUGAAAACCUCAAUAAUACCGGUUACUAAUAACCAUAAUAAAAUCCAGCCAUGUUGGCUAUUCAAGAUAAUAUAAUCCGGCAUGAAAACCUUAUUCAUUCAAUAUCAUAAUGAAAAUUCAGCCAAGUUUGGCUAUUUGAAUAAUAUAACCCAAUGAUUUAUAAGCGCAUGAUUCCAAUGGCGCAAUCCAAAUAUAUACUGGCGAUUUAUAGUCCAAAGCGAGGCCGGGUUAACAAACACCGGAUAAUUUUCUCAUCAUAUACUGGCGACUUAUCGUCUUAAAGCCUGGCUGGUUUAAUAAACACUGGAUAAUUUAUCAUCAUACUUUAUUCAACCUGUUUCUUCAUACAAAAAGUUUAAAGUGUCCUGGCGGUUUACCGCCGGACGGGUCAUAAUGCCCAACAUAUAACCCGGGUUUAUAACCAAGGCUGCACUUAAAAAUAAUCAAAUAUGGAAUAUAUCAUACCUGUGACAUUGAAUCACAUCGUUGGUUUACCAACUUUUUGUAGUAAGGGUGAUAACCCAAAUUUUGAGUACUGAUAACUCCUUCCAUAUUGUGCCGGUUUAUGAUAAAACCGUACCGGGUUGUGAUAAACACCAGAUUAACCAUAUAAUAUAUUGGCGACUUGUAGUCAAAACCAGACCGGGUUGAUAACCUCUGGAUUAUGACUGGUCAUACUGACAACUUGUAGUUGACAACCUAACCGGGUUGAUAAACACUGGUUUGAAAACAUCACAAAUCUUAUCAAAAGAAAGAGAAACUUAGCAAAAGGCAAAUAAAACCGUUGUAGUCGAGGCUUUUCACGGGCUGCCAGGCCCCAAAUUUGAUCAAGAGGUGUAGCUAUGGUUCGGGUUCGACCAAGCCCCCAAGUGAUGCUGUGGCAUUACGCCGAUCAAGAGGUGUAGCUAUGGUUCGGGUUCGACCAAGCCCCCAAGUGAUGCUGUGGCAUUGCGCCGAUCAAGAGGUGUAGCUAUGGUUCAGGUUCGACCAANNNNNNNNNNNNNNNNNNNNNNNNNNNNNNNNNNNNNNNNNNNNNNNNNNNNNNNNNNNNNNNNNNNNNNNNNNNNNNNNNNNNNNNNNNNNNNNNNNNNNNNNNNNNNNNNNNNNNNNNNNNNNNNNNNNNNNNNNNNNNNNNNNNNNNNNNNNNNNNNNNNNNNNNNNNNNNNNNNNNNNNNNNNNNNNNNNNNNNNNNNNNNNNNNNNNNNNNNNNNNNNNNNNNNNNNNNNNNNNNNNNNNNNNNNNNNNNNNNNNNNNNNNNNNNNNNNNNNNNNNNNNNNNNNNNNNNNNNNNNNNNNNNNNNNNNNNNNNNNNNNNNGGGUUCGACCAAGCCCCCAAGUGAUGCUGUGGCAUUACGCCGAUCAAGAGGUGUAGCUAUGGUUCGGGUUCGACCAAGCCCCCAAGUGAUGCUGUGGCAUUGCGCCGAUCAAGAGGUGUAGCUAUGGUUCGGGUUCGACCAAGCCCCCAAGUGAUGCUGUGGCAUGGCGCCGAUCAAGAGGUGUAGCUAUGGUUCGGAUACGACCAAGCCCCCAAGUGAUCAAUAAUAUGAUAAGCCAAUAAGGCUGGAUACCCAUGUUUGAACCGCGCAUCAUGGCUGCAGGUCCUCUUCGGCAACCUGUAACUUUUUGCAAGAGAUAAAUUCUUCUUGAACCGGGAUUUUAAACCGGAUAUUGAGAGCUUCAAAGCUUUGUGGGAGACAUCUUUCACUUGAACCGGAUUUUAAACCGGAAUCUUUAUUUUCAGCCGGAAAUUUUCUGACGGCAUUUAAACUCGAACUUGCGAGCGAUUAAUUCUUUCUGAACCGGAAAUUCUUAACCGUAUUUGAGAGCUUCAGUGCCUUGUGGGAGAAUAGAUUUUCCUUGAACCGGAUUGUAAACCGGAUAUUUGAGAGCUUCAGUGAGACUGACUUCCCUUGAGCCGGAUUUUAAACCGGAAUCCUUUCUGAUGACCCGGACCUUCUUCAUUGAGCCGGGUUUUUGUAACUGUCAUAUAUUUUCUAAGCCGGAAGUUUUCCGACGGCCUUUAAAUUUUCAUCCAUAUGGUAGUAGCCUCCGGGACCGGGUUAUCUUUCCCUCCAACGUCCUGAGGUUCUUGACUUCACUGAAAACCGGCAACAUUUGCUGAGUCAUAUCAUUGUAGCCCCCGAGUCUCAAGGUGACUCGAGGAGUUGGCUUGAGAUUAUCCAUACUUGACCGUGAUAUAAACCGGCAUAACUUGUAUAUCAUUGGUGUUGAUAGCACGAUGUGAAUCCACAGAAGGUUGAGGUGACUGCGGCGGGUUAUAAAUGAUCCCAUAUGAGCUAUGUCAGCAACUCGGCCAAUGGUUCCUUCCAACUGGCGAUUUGAAGUUAACAAAACUGUAGUGGCGGCGACUUGUGCGCCUGCUCAUUGAGCCAUCUAGUGCAAACGGCGGUUGAUGAUAAUUUCCCUCCAAUUUGAAAGAAAACCGGGCUACCCAAGCUGUGACUUGCUCAUACUCAAUAAACAGCUCAUGCAGAUAGGUGCGGCCCGGUAUGCUGAUGUAGACUAGGCCGCGAGAGACGGACGACAAGGACGACAGCAACAUCAAAGGCGGCACAGACAGAUGAACCGGCCGCAGCGUUGUAAACCGGUGCGGACAAGCAGGUUGCCCUCCUUGCUGUAAACCGGUGCGGACGCGUGAACCGGCCGCAAGGGCGGACAGGCGAGUCGUCUGUGGCGUUGUAAGGCGGCACGGACGGGCGAGUCGGCCACGGUGUUGUAAGCCAGUGCGGGAGUCCGUUGAGUAAGGACGACCACCUGUGCCGAAUGAUGUUGGCACGCCUCCAUCUCCGCAGUAUAAUGCCACUUUGUAAUGAAUAAUUCUCCUGCAUAUAAAACACAGUAGGGCAAAGUAAUUUUUCUCGGAUGAAUUAAUAUGUGCUUAAAAAUAAAUAGGAUAAAUAGCACCUGAUUCGCCCAGACGACAGAUAGCUUUUGACGUUUUCUUCGAGACCCGACUCCGUAUGAUCCCUUUUCUUAAUCUGGGAAAUACCUUUCUGGCCCUGCCAGACAUGUAUUGUGUCUUAACGAGGCUUGAGACGUCUGGCGGCAACUCAGAGACGUCUGGCGGGCCGAGGACGGAGGAGGCCAUGACAAGACCGGUGCGGCAGAGGUGACCCGCGGUGCGCUUGGCGAAGACAGGCGCGCGGGGCGCUGCGGCCGAUGGCAGGUCGGAGCCUUCGGGCGAGCGGUGAUACGGGCGGGUCAGCGAGUUUCGGCGAGGGCCGGUCCGGAGGGUCAGAGGGGGGAUCCAUCAGAGGCAGCUCGUGGAGACGAGCCAUGGCAGCGGGCGGCUUAGAGGCGAGGCCGACUCGAACACAGCCGGCAGCGGUAACUUGGAAACAGGCCAAACCGGAGGCCCAACGGCGGUCACGGGCGGCUCAACGAGAAGCAGCACAGGGAAGGCACUCGAGGUGGCGUGAGGCUGCGGUGUUUUGCAGUGGCGAGCGACGGCAGCGGCUUGUUGCAAGGACUGCACCAGGCGGCUCCUCGGCCCAACAGGGCCGGUGACGCCGCAAACCAUGACGACGACAGGACGAUCCGGGAGCGGCUCAGAGGAAGCAGCUUGACGGAGGUGAGCAUUAGUGACUAUGGCCGGCUUGGCGGCGGUCUGCUGUAGAUUUAGGGCCGAAGGAGGCAGGGCGAUAAGGCGACGGCCUGUGGUUGAGAACCGUGUUUGAGACGGAAAUGUGCUCCGGGACGAGUCGGCGAAGGCGCACGUCGGCUUGUCACUACCAAGGCAGCGCACGGGCCGAUUGACCAUCUUCUCUUUCUAAAUCGUUGAAGCCGUUGACCCUUUGACCAAAACGUGCAAGCACUUGGCAAAGGAACCUGUCCAUUGGGUUGAAGUACUCCCGUCCCCGUCCCCGUUAAUGUAUUUGGUCAGUCUUGGACUUGUAUAUUAUUUUUUUGGUAUGCGGAGGACGAAUCUGAUUUUGAUUCCGUGCCGACCGUGUUGACGACUCGGACUUCUUGCUUCUGCAACUCCGGCUUUGUCAGGUUGCAGCUUGUGCUCUUCACGUAAUAUACAGCAGAUUUGACCCAUGAUUUGAUGUGUUGACAACAGCAAUUUGUCUUGGCACAUAGAACGAUGAUUGAUGUAUUAUACUCUGAACGAGAUUUCUCACGAACACCCGUGAGUCAGAAACCAUACGAUGGAUCACCCAUAUCUGAUGUACGUCGCUGUCAAAGAAACUUUUUCCCUUUGAUCUGUUUUAUGUGGACACUGAAACUUUUUUAAUCUCAACUGAUGAAUUCGAAGUUGAUGUAGAUCCUUCUGUGCCCGCUUUUUGUUAUCUGACCAAUUGCAAUCUUCUCGAACCCUAGAAAAGCUCCCUCCAAGAACUCAACACCACCGUGCGCAGGCCCCACGGUGGGCGCCAACUGUCGUGGAUUUGUCACGGCAGAUGUCCUAGGGUGAGGACUUAGUCAUGAGGCCAGCGCAUCUAUGUAGUAGCUUGAGAGGGGUUGAGCGGAAUCGAGAGGCGCAACACAAGACGAGGAUUUAGACAGCUUCGGGCCCCGGGAAACAUCAUCCGAUAAUAACCCUACAUGCUGUUUGAGGUUAGAUCUCAUUACGCUCAUGAGGGAGACGCCGUAAACCGGCUCUUUGGGUCUAGCCCUAGAGAUUGUUUCUUCUUGUCUGUAGCUUGUCCCUCUUUGGGGAGCCCUACCCCUCCUUAUAUAUGUUGAAGGGGCGGGUUACAUGUGGAUUCCUAUUAGGAUUAUGACUAGUCUAUCUCUAAUACAAACCGGAUACAAGUCCGGGUCUUUAACUCCUUGUAAGAUAAUAUUCUUCACGCCAUUCCUCUUAAACUGGCCCGCCAUUAAUAUAAACCGGCCCUCUGGGCCUUGGGCCUUGUCAUCCGUCUGUCCCUGCCCGCCGGGUUACCAGCGAGUUAUAAUGUCCAGGAAGGUUGCUUGUAAACCGCCAGGUCAGGGCGGGUCACAAGUGAAUCGCCAAGUGUCAGCAUGAUCUCAAAUAAACCGCCAAGUCCGGCCGGGUUAUACUUCCGGCCGGUUUACGCCGCGGGGUAUGUCCCCGACAGACACCGGAAGGGUUCCGGAGUGUAUCGGGUACAUACCAGAGUACUGGAGGGGUUACCGGAACCCCCCGGGGAAAGAUUGUUGGGGAACGUAGUAAUUUCAAAAAAAUUCCUACGCACACACAGGAUCAUGGUGAUGCAUGGCAAACGAGAGGGGAGAGUAUGUCCAUGUACCCUCGUAGAUCAAAAGCGGAAGUGUUAGCACAACACGGUUGAUGUAGUCGUACGUCUUCACGAUCCGACCGAUCCAAGUACCGAACGUACGGCACCUCCGAGUUCAGCACACAUUCAGCUCGAUGACGUCCCGCGAAAUCUGAUCCAGCAGAGCUUCAUGGGAGAGUUCCGUCAGCACGACGGCAUGGUGACGGUGAUGAUGAUGCUACCGAUGCAGGGCUUCGCCUAAGCACCGCUACAAUAUGAUCGAGGUGGAAUAUGGUGGAGGGGGGCACUGCACACGGCUAAAAGAUCAAUGAUCAAUUGUUGUGUCUAUGGGGUGCCCCCCUCCUCCGUAUAUAAAGGGGGAGGAGGAGAGGGCCGGCCAAGGGGGUGGCGCGCCCUAGGAGGGGGAAACCUACUCCAAGUAGAUUUGCCCCUCCCUUUCCUAGUCCAAGAAGGAGGGGGAAGGAAGGAGUGAGAGAGGGGAAAGGCAGGCCCCCCCCUUCCUUGUCCUAUUUGGACUCAAGGGGAGGGGGCGCGCCUCUUGCCCUGGCCGGCCCCUCUCUUUCUCCACUAGGGCCCAACAAGGCCCAUUAGUUCCCGGGGGGUUCCGGUAACCCCCGGUACUCCGAUAUAUAUCCGAUAACCCCCGGAACCAUUCCAGUGUCUGAAUAUAGUCGUCCAAUAUAUCAAUCUUCAUGUCUUGACCAUUUCGAGACUCCUCAUCAUGUCCGUGAUCAUAUUCGGGACUCCGAACUAUCUUCGGUACAUCAAAACACAUAAACUCAUGAUAUAACCGUCAUCAAACUUUAAGCGUGCGGACCCUACGGGUUCGAGGACUAUGUAGACAUGACCGAGACAUGUCUCUGGUCAAUAACCAAUAGCGGAACCUGGAUGCCCAUAUUGGCUCCCACAUAUUCUACGAAGAUCUUUAUCGGUCAAACCGCAUAACAACAUACGUUGUUCCCAUUGUCAUCGGUAUGUUACUUGUCCGAGAUUCGAUCGUCGGUAUCUCAAUACCUAGUUCAAUCUCGUUACUGGCAAGUAUCUUUACUCGUUCCGUAAUACAUCAUCCCGCAACUAACUCAUUAGUUACAAUGCUUGCAAGGCUUAUAGUGAUGUGUAUUACUGAGUGGGCCCAGAGAUACCUCUCCGACAAUCGGAGUGACAAAUCCUAAUCUCGAAAUACGCCAACCCAACAAGUAUCUUCGGGGACACCUGUAGAGCACCUUUAUAAUCACCCAGUUACGUUGUGACGUUUGGUAGCACACAAAGUGUUCUUCCGGUAAACGGGAGUUGCAUAAUCUCAUAGUCAUAGGAACAUGUAUAAGUCAUGAAGAAAGCAAUAGCAACAUACUAAAUGAUCAAGUGCUAAGCUAACGGAAUGGGUCAAGUCAAUCACAUCAUUCUCCUAAUGAUGUGAUCCCGUUAAUCAAAUGACAACUCAUGUCUAUGGCUAGGAAACAUAACCAUCUUUGAUCAACGAGCUAGUCAAGUAGAGCCAUACUAGUGACACUCUGUUUGUCUAUGUAUUCGCACAUGUAUCAUGUUUCCGGUUAAUGCAAUUCUAGCACGAAUAAUAAACAUUUAUCAUGAUAUAAGGAAAUAAAUAAUAACUUUAUUAUUGCCUCUAGGGCAUAUUUCCUUCAGUCUCCCACUUGCACUAGAGUCAAUAAUCUAGUUCACAUCGCCAUGUGAUUUAACAUCAAUAGUUCACAUCUUUAUCUGGUUAACACCCAUAGUUCACAUCGAUAUGUGACCAACACCCAAAGGGUUUACUAGAGUCAGUAAUCUAGUUCACAUCGCUAUGUGAUUAACAGCCAAAGAGUACUAAGGUGUGAUCGUGUUUUGCUUGUGAGAUAAUUUUAGUCAACGGGUCUGUCACAUUCAGAUCCGUAAGUAUUUUGCAAAUUUCUAUGUCAACAAUGCUCUGCACGGAGCUACUCUAGCUAAUUGCUCCCACUUUCAAUAUGUAUCUAGAUCGAGACUUAGAGUCAUCCAGAUCGGUGUCAAAGCUUGCAUCGACGUAACUCUUUACGAUGAACCUUUUGUUACCUCCAUAAUCGAGAAACAUAUCCUUAUUCCACUAAGGAUAAUUUUGACCGAUGUCCAGUGAUAUACUCCUAGAUCACUAUUGUACUCCCUUGCCAAAAUCAGUGUAGGGUAUACAAUAGAUCUAGUACACAACAUGGCAUACUUUAUAGAACCUAUGGCCGAGGCAUAGGGAAUGACUUUCAUUCUCUUUCUAUCUUCUGACAUGGUCGGGCUUUGAGUCUUACUCAAUUUCACACCUUGUAACACAGGCAAGAACUAUUUCUUUGACUGUUCCAUUUUGAACUACUUCAAAAUCUUGUCAAGGUAUGUACUCAUUGAAAAAACUUAUCAAGCGUCUUGAUCUAUCUCUAUAGAUCUUGAUGCUCAAUAUGUAAGCAGCUUCACCGAGGUCUUUCUUUGAAAAAACUCCUUUCAAAUACUCCUUUAUGCUUUCCAGAAAAUUCUACAUUAUUUCCGAUCAACAAUAUGUCAUUCACAUAUAUUUAUUAGAAAUGUUGUAGUGCUCCCACUCACUUUCUUGUAAAUACAGGCUUCACCGCAAGUCUGUUUAAAACUAUAUGCUUUGAUCAACUUAUCAAAGUGUAUAUUCCAACUCCGAGAUGCUUGCACCAGUCCAUAGAUGGAUCGCUGGAGCUUGCACAUUUUGUUAGCACCUUUAGGAUCGACAAAACCUUCUGGUUGCAUCAUAUACAACUCUUCUUUAAGAAAUCCAUUAAGGAAUGUAGUUUUGACAUCCAUUUGCCAGAUUUCAUAAAAUGUGGCAAUUUGCUAACAUGAUUCGGACAGACUUAAGCAUCACUACGAGUGAGAAAAUCUCAUCGUAGUCAACACCUUGAACUUUGUCAAAAACCUUUUUUUCAACAAGUCUAGCUUUGAGUAACACUACUAUCAGAGUCCGUCUUCCUCUUGAAGAUCCAUUUAUUUUCUAUGGCUUGCCGAUCAUCGGGCAAGUCAACCAAAGUCCACACUUUGUUCUCAUACAUGGAUCCCAUCUCAGAUUUCAUGGCCUCAAGCCAUUUUUGCGGAAUCUGGGCUCAUCAUCGCUUCCUCAUAGUUCGUAGGUUUGUCAUGGUCAAGUAACAUGACCUCCAGAACAGGAUUACCGUACCACUCUGGUGCGGAUCUCACUCUGGUUUACCUACGAGGUUCGGUAGUAACUUGAUCUGAAGUUACAUGAUCAUCAUCAUUAGCUUCCUCACUAGUUGGUGUAGUAGUCACAGGAACAGAUUUCUGUGAUGAACUACUUUCCAAUAAGGGAGCAGGUACAAUUACCUCAUCAAGUUCUACUUUCCUCCCACUCACUUCUUUCGAGAGAAACUCCUUCUCUAGAAAGGAUCCAUUCUUAGCAACGAAUAUCUUGCCUUCGGAUCUGUGAUAGAAGGUGUACCCAACUGUCUCCUUUGGGUAUCCUAUGACACAUUUCUCCGAUAUGGGUUUGAGCUUAUCAGGUUGAAACUUUUUUCUUGUAAGCAUCACAGCCCCAAACUUUAAGAAACGACAACUUUGGUUUCUUGCCAAACCACAGUUCAUAUAGUGUCGUGUCAACGGAUUUAGAUGGUGCCCUAUUUAACAUGAAUGCAGCUGUCUCUAAUGCAUAACCCCAAAAUGACAGUGGUAAGAAACAUCAUAGAUUGCACUAUAUCCAAUAAAGUACGGUUAUGACGUUCGGACACACCAUUAUGCUGUGGUGUUCCAGGUGGCGUGAGUUGCGAAAACUAUUCCGCAUUGUUUCAAAUGAAGACCAAACUCGUAACUCAAAUAUUCUCCUCCACGAUCAGAUCGUAGAAACUUUAUUUUCUUGUUACGAUGAUUUUCCACUUCACUCUGAAAUUAUAUGAACUUUUCAAAUGUUUCAGACUUAUAUUUCAUCAAGUAGAUAUACCCAUAUCUUCUCAAAUCAUCUGUGAAGGUCAGAAAAUAAUGAUACCCGCCGCGAGCCUCAACGCUUAUCGGAUCGCAUACAUCAGUAUGUAUUAUUUCCACUAAGUCAGUUGCUCGCUCCAUUGUUCCGGAGAACGGAGUCUUAGUCAUCUUACCCAUAAGGCAUGGUUUUCGCAAGCAUCAAGUGAUUCAUAAUCAAGUGAUUCCAAAAGCCCAUCAGCAUGGAGUUUCUUCAUGCGCUUUACACAAUUAUGACCUAAACGGCAGUGCCACAAAUAAGUUGCACUAUCAUUAUUAACUUUGCAUCUUUUGGCUUCAAUAUUAUGAAUAUGUGUAUCACUACGAUCGAGAUCCAAUGAACCAUUUUCAUUGGGUGUAUAACCAUAGAAGGUUUUAUUCAUGUAAACAGAACAACAAUUAUUCUCUAACUUAAAUGAAUAACCUUAUUGCAAUAAACAUGAUCAAAUCAUAUUCAUGCUCAACGCAAACACCAAAUAACACUUAUUUAGGUUCAACACUAAUCCCGAAAGUAUAGGGAGUGUGCGACGAUGAUCAUAUCAAUCUUGGAACCACUUCCAACACACAUCGUCACUUCACCCUUAACUAGUCUCUGUUUAUUUUGCAACUCCCGUUUCAAGUUACUACUCUUAGCAACUGAACUAGUAUCAAAUAGCGAGGGGUUUCUAUAAGCACAGUUAAGUACACAUCAAUAACAUGUAUAUCCAAUAUACCUUUGUUCAAUUUGCCAUCCUUCUUAUCCGCCAAGUAUCUAGGGCAGUUCCACUUCCAGUGACCAUUUCCUUUGCAGUAUAAGCACUUAGUCUCAGGCUCAGGUCUAGACUUGGGCUUCUUAUCAUGAGCAGCAACUUGCUUGCCGUUCUUCUUGAAGUUCCCCUUCUUCCCUUUGCCCUUUUCUUGAAACUAGUGGUCUUGUUAAUCAUCAACACUUGAUGCUCUUUCUUGAUUUCUACCUUCAUCGAUUUCAUCAUCAUGAAAAGCUCGGGAAUCGUUUUCGUCAUCCCUUGCAUACUAUAGUUCAUCACGAAGUUCUACUAACUUGGUGAUGGUGACUAGAGAAUUCUGUCAAUCACUAUCUUAUCUGGAAGAUUAACUCCCACUUGAUUCAAGCGAUUGUAGUACCCAAACAACCUGAGCACAUGCUCACUGCUUGAGCUUUUCUCCUCCAUCUUUUAGCUAUAGAACUUGUUGGAGACUUCAUAUCUCUCAACUCGGGUAUUUGUUUGAAAUAUUAACUUCAACUCCUGGAACAUCUCAUAUGGUCCAUGAUGUUCAAAACGUCUUUGAAGUCUCGAUUCUAAGCCGUUAAGCAUGGUGCACUAAACUAUCAAGUAGUCAUCAUAUUGAGCUAGCCAAAUGUUCAUAACGUCUGCAUCUGCUCCUGCAAUAGGUCUGUCACCUAGCGGUGCAUCUAGGACAUAAUUCUUCUGUGCAGCAAUGAGGAUAAACCUCAGAUCACGGAUCCAAUCUGCAUCAUUGCUACUAACAUCUUUCAACUUAGUUUUCUCUAGGAACAUAUCAAAAAUAAAACAGGGGAGCUAAACGCAAGCUAUUGAUCUACAACAUAGAUAUGCUAAUACGACCAGGACUAAGUUCAUGAUAAAUUAAAGUUCAAUUAAUCAUAUUACUUAAGAACUCCCACUUAGAUAGACAUCCCUCUAAUCAUCUAAGUGAUCUCGUGAUCCAAAUCAACUAAACCAUGUCCGAUCAUCACGUGAGAUGGAGUAGUUUCAAUGGUGAACAUCACUAUGUUGAUCAUAUCUACUAUAUGAUUCACGCUCGACCUUUCGGUCUCAGUGUUCCUAGGCCAUAUCUGUUAUAUGCUAGGCUCGUCAAGUUUAACCUGAGUAUUCCGCGUGUGCAACUGUUUUGCACCCGUUGUAUUUGAACGUAGAGCCUAUCACACCCGAUCAUCACGUGGUGUCUCAGCAUGAAGAACUUUCGCAACGGUGCAUACUCACUUAUACCUUGAUAAUUUAGUGAGAGAUCAUCUUAUAAUGCUUCCGUCAAUCAAAGCAAGAUAAGAUGCAUAAAAGAUAAACAUCACAUGCAAUCAAUAUAAGUGAUAUGAUAUGGCCAUCAUUAUCUUGUGCUUGUGAUCUCCAUCUUCGAAGCAGCGUCAUGAUCACCAUCGUCAUCGGCGCGACACCUUGAUCUCCAUCGUAGCAUCGUUGUCGUCUCGCCAACUUAUGCUUCUAUGACUAUCGCUACCGCUUAGUGAUAAAGUAAAGCAUUACAGGGUGAUUGCAUUGCAUACAAUAAAGCGACAACCAUAUGGCUCCUGCCACUUGCCGAUAACUCGGUUACAAAACAUGAUCAUCUCAUACAAUAAAAUAUAGCAUCAUGCCUUGACCAUAUCACAUCACAACAUGCCCUUUAAAAACAAGUUAGACGUCCUCUACUUUAUUGUUGCAAGUUUUACGUGGCUGCUAUGGGCUGAGCAAGAACCGUUCUUACCUACGCAUCAAAACCACAACGAUAGUUCGUCAAGUUAGUGUUGUUUUAACCUUCUCAAGGAUCGGGCGUAGCCACACUCGGUUCAACUAAACUUGGAGAAACUGACACCCGCCAGCCACCUGUGUGCAAAGCACGUCGGUAGAACCAGUCUCGCGUAAGCGUACGCGUAAUGUCGGUCCGGGCCGCUUCAUCCAACAAUACCACCGAACCAAAGUAUGACAUGCUAGUAAGCAGUAUAACUUGUAUCGCCCACAACUCACUUGUGAUCUACUCGUGCAUAUAACAUCUACGCAUAAAACCAGGCUCGGAUGCCACUGUUGGGGAAUGUAGUAAUUUCAAAAAAAUUCCUACGCACACACAAGAUCAUGGUGAUGCAUAGCAACGAGAGAGGAGAGUAUGUCCACGUACCUUCGUAGACCGAAAGCGGAAGCGUUAGCACAACGCGGUUGAUGUAGUCGUACGUCUUCACGAUCUGACCGAUCCAAGUACCGAACGUACGGCACCUCCGAGUUCAGCACACGUUCAGCUCGAUGACGUCCCGCGAACUCCGAUCCAGCAGAGCUUCACGGGAGAGUUCCGUCAGCACGACGGCGUGGUGACGGUGAUGAUGAUGCUACCGACGCAGGGCUUCGCCUAAGCACCGCUACAAUAUGAUCGAGGUGGAAUAUGGUGGAGGGGGCACCGCACACGGCUAAAAGAUCAAUGAUCAAUUGAUGUGUCUAUGGGGUGCCCCCCUCCUCCGUAUAUAAAGGGGGAGGAGGAGAGGGCCGGCCAAGGGGGUGGAGCACCCUAGGAGGGGGAAACCUACUCCAAGUAGGUUUGCCCCUCCCUUUCCUAGUCCAAGGAGGGGGAAGGAAGGAGUGGGAGAGGGGAAAGGCAGGGGGGCGCCUCCCUCUUCCUUGUCCUAUUCGGACUCAAGGGGAGGGGGCGCGCCUCUUGCCCUGGCCGGCCCCUCUCUCUCUCCACUAGGGCCCAACAAGGCCCAUUAGUUCCCGGGGGGUUCCGGUAACCCCCGGUACUCCGAUAUAUAUCCGAUAACCCCCGGAACCAUUCCGGUGUACGAAUAUAGUCGUCCAAUAUAUCAAUCUUCAUGUCUCGACCAUUUCGAGACUCCUCGUCAUGUCCGUGAUCAUAUCCGGGACUCCGAACUAUCUUUGGUACAUCAAAACACAUAAACUCAUAAUAUAAUCAUCAUCAAACUUUAAGCGUGCGGACCCUACGGGUUCGAGAACUAUGUAGAGAUGACCGAGACACGUCUCCGGUCAAUAACCAAUAGCGGAACCUAGAUGCUCAUGUUGGCUCCCACAUAUUCUACGAAGAUCUUUUCGGUCAAACCGCAUAACAACAUACGUUGUUCCCUUUGUCAUCGGUAUGUUACUUGUCCGAGAUUCGAUCGUCGGUAUCUCAAUACCUAGUUCAAUCUCGUUACCGGCAAGUCUCUUUACUCGUUUCGUAAUACAUCAUCCCGCAACUAACUCAUUAGUUACAAUGCUUGCAAGGCUUAUAGUGAUGUGUAUUACUGAGUGGGCCCAGAGAUACCUCUCCGACAAUCGGAGUGACAAAUCCUAAUCUCGAAAUACGCCAACCCAACAAGUACCUUCGGAGGCACCUAUAGAGCACCUUUAUAAUCACCCAGUUACGUUGUGACGUUUGGUAGCACACAAAGUGUUCUUCCGGUAAACGGGAGUUGCAUAAUCUCAUAGUCAUAGGAACAUGUAUAAGUCAUGAAGAAAGCAAUAGCAACAUACUAAACGAUCAAGUGCUAAGCUAACAGAAUGGGUCAAGUCAAUCACAUCAUUCUCCUAAUGAUGCGAUCCCAUUAAUCAAAUGACAACUCAUGUCUAUGGCUAGGAAACAUAACCAUCUUUGAUCAACAAGCUAGUCAAGUAGAGGCAUACUGGUGACACUCUGUUUGUCUAUGUAUUCACACAUGUAUCAUGUUUCUGGUUAAUACAAUUCUAGCAUGAAUAAUAAACAUUUAUCAUGAUAUAAGGAAAUAAAUAAUAACUUUAUUAUUGCCUCUAGGGCAUAUUUCCUUCAAAGAUAUGGGCCAUAGGAGGGAGGCUAACCAGCCCACAAGGGGCUGGCACGCACCCGACAAGGGAGGAGGCCGAAUUGGAUUAGGGAGGGGGCGGAGCCACCCUUUCCUUCUCCUACUCCCUCUCCUUUCCUCCUUUCCCCCUCCGAAAGAAGGAAAAAUGGUGGGGGGGGGCUAAUCCUACUAGGACUGGAGUCCUAGUAGGACUCCCCUCUCUUGGCGCGCCCCUGAUGGACGGCCUCCUCCUCUCCCUCCUUUAUAUACGUGGGCAGGGCGUCCCUUGGAGAUACACUAAUUGUUCCAAGCGGUGUGCGGCGUCUCCCUCCACCGUUUACUCCUCCGGUCAUAUUCACGUAGUGCUCAGGCGAAGCCCUGCGCGGAUCACAUCACCAUCACCGUCACCAUGCUGUCAUGCUAACGAAACUCUCCCUCGACCCUUUGCUGGAUCAAGAGUUCGAGGGACGUCAUCGAGCUGAACGUGUGCAGAACUCGGAGGUGCCAUACGUUCGGCGCUUGAUCGGUUGGAUCAUGAAGACGUUUGACUACAUCAACCGCGUUAAACUAACGCUUCCGCUUUCGGUCUAUGAGGGUACGUGGACACACUCCCCCCUCUCAUUUCUAUGCAUCUCCUAGAUAGAUCUUGCGUGAUCGUAGGAAAUUUUUUGAAAUUGCAUGCUACGUCCCCAACAAUGACCACAUUCCAAUUCAUACCUGAUGAAUCAGACCUGACACAACUCUGAGCAAUAGCAGGCAUAAUAAGCAAACAUAAAUGAGUAGGCACAUCAUGGCUCAAACAACUCCUACUCAUGCUAGUGGGUUUCAACUAUUUACUGUGGCAAAGACAGGUCAUGCAGAGGAAAGGGGUUCAACUACCGCACCAUGUAACAGUUGAAUCGUUGUUGUCCUAAUGCAGUAAAAGAGAGCUGGAGCGAGAGAGUGGGAUUGUAUCAGAGUGAUAAAGGGGGUUUUGCUUGCCUGGCACUUCUGAAGAUAGUAAAACUCUUCAUCGGUGUCAUCAAACUCAUCGUCGAAACUACGUCCACUGAGAGGGGAAAAAUACCGGCAAACAGAGAAAGAACACAAUCAAUGCAAUGCCACAAUAUGAUGCAUGAUCAUGACAUGGCAAUAUGCUGUGAUUUGAUCUAAUGCAGCUAGCAACGAUUUAAAUGGAGUUGGUUUGAACACAAGAUUCAAAUUCAAACUCCACAUAAGGCAUUUCAAAUGCCAUUAAUUCAAAUUGUCUUAUACAGGAAGUUUAAGUUGUUCAAACAUGCAUGAAAAUGCCAUAAACAAAUUCUUUGGAUUUUUUUGCUAAUUUUUCAUAUAUAUAUAUAUAUAUAUAUAUUAUUUUCAUUGGAGUUAUAGUUUAUUUUCUAUGAAUUUUAGAAGUUUUGGUUAUUUCUGAAAUAAAUAAAUUAUUUCUGAUUUAUCUAAAAUCCCAGAAAACAUUUACUGCGUUAGCAUUGCGUCACUGUGAUGUCAGCAGUCAACUGACCGUGCCAGGUCAAACCUGACGUGUGGGUCCCACAUGUCAGCCUCUCCUCUAACUAUGGGUGUUAAUUAGCACUAAUUUAAGCCUAAGCCGGAACUAAUUAGGGCCUGGCCCGCAUGUCAGUGGGACAGGGGGAGUCAAACCCCUGGUCAACGGGGUCAAACCCGCAGGCGGUUAGUCACCGGCGAGGUCCGCGACGGUCGGACGCGUCGGAAACGCCAUGUGGUGCCCCGUUUGAUAUGCGGCUGGGCUCUCUAGAGAGCUGAUGCUGCAACGCAUCCAACGGUGGGCUUGGACGGAGCUGAGGUGGUUGGAGUCGACGGCGGCGAGCACGAAUGCGGCGACCGGCGUUCGGGCGUUCGCGGGAUCGGUGCUGCAGUGUGCAAACGAGUGCAGCGAGGCGCUAGCGAGGUUCUAUGCGCGGCGGUGGGCAUGUUGGAUGCACGCCCGGAACCAAAUAGUCAUCGGUGACCAGCACAGGCAGCGACACAUUCGGCCACAUGCGUGACGGCGGCUACGACAUGCAAACGAGACGGAGGAGAGGGGGGUUCGGGUGAGGAGCUCACGGCGGUUGCAGCACGCGUCUCAGCGGGCUCCGGGAAGGUCCGAGCUGAGCGGGGCAUCGAGGUGGAUCUCCGGCGACCGACGGCGAAGGUGACGAAGAGGGCGACGCUGCAUUGCUCCCGGGCUCGUGCUCGUCGGUGAGAAGAUGCAGCGGUGGACGUCAAAGCUUAUAGCCACGGACAGAGGGCGAGGAAGUGGCUCUGGGCUCGGCAGCGGCGAGCGGCGGCGACGGCCGUAUACGGUGGGGACGCAAGGAGAGAGCAGAGGAGGGGAGGGGCGACCGGAGGGAGAGGGGAGUGGACGAGGGGGUCGGGGGGGUGUGUGGCGUCGUCCAGAGCAUCGGGGAGGGAUGCAGGCAGACAGGAGGUGCCCGCGCGGCAAGCACGCGCUCAGGGCCUAGUGUCCACAGGAAGGGGAUGACUGGCAGCGGCGCUGGGCUGGCCCGGCCAGGUGGACUGCCUACUAGGCCGUCCAGGUAAGCCAGGUAAGCCCUUUUUUUAAUUUCUGUUCUGUUUUCUAUUUUUCCUCUCUGUUUUGAUUUAUUUUUAGGACUAAAUCAUUUUAUUAAAUUCUGAAAAUAAUUAUGCGCACUAACUGAAUUAUUCUAGAUGAAUAUUUGGAGCACUUAAAAUAUCUAUAGAAUUUAAUUGCCCCAAUUCAAAUACAAUAUGGAUUAAUUCAAAAAUCCAAAGAUGACCUAGAAAAAUGUGCACCAUUUUUUUCAGAGGUUCUAGACCAAUUCAAAAAUGAUGAACAUUUAUGAAGGGCAUUUUGGGUUCAUUGAAAAGAUUUAAUUUUGACCCUAGUUGAAUUUCAUUUGCUGCUAGGGUUUAUCAGCCCCCAUUUCAAGUUUAAGAUAUUUUAACAUGAUGCAUGGAAGCUUAAGCAAUGACAGGCAAGGACUAAGCUAGGGCUGUGACAGGUCGCUGUCGCCGACCUACUCCAUGGUGGUGGUAGGGGAUCUCCUCCCUUUGUUUGCACUUGUGUCGUGUGGGGGUGACAGUGGCAGGGGUUGCGGAAGCCGGGGCAGAGUGUCGUGGUCCUAUUCUCUCUCACGGUAGAAUUGGACCUACUCCCUCCGUCCGGAAUUAGUUAUCGCAAAAAGGAUAAAAAUGGAUGUAUCUAGAAUUAAAAUACGUCUAGAUACAUCAAUUCGUUUGAUAAGUAAUUUAGAACGGAGGGAGUAGCUACCAUGGUGAAAACCUAGCUAUAACCUACGUUAGCCGCAUCGGUGUAUGUUUCAUGUGAAGACGGCGGAGUGGCAUGAGCUCUUGUGGAGCGAGGGUGAAUAGGUGGAGCGGCUCUCGGAUAUAGGUGCACCUGAUAUGAUUUUGAGUAAUUCCAAAAAUGUCAAAAAUUAUGAAAUCUUUUGGUAAACUAACUUGACCUUCUGUUGCAUUUGUAUCAAAACUUUAGCCAAGAAACUUUACCCAAAGUGUGGAGCAUUGUCUUUCAAGAUGGGAACGGGCCGGGUCGGCCCGACCCGGCCCGCUGGGUCACUGACCCGGCCCGAAAUUUCAAGGCCAAUGGGCCAAAUGGGUCGGCCUCAAAUGAUAUAUGGGUCAGUGGAGCCGGCACCGUGCGACCCGAUGGGUCAGACGGGUCGACCCAGUCGAAUCGCUAGGCCCUAGUCACUGCUGGCCGACCCUGUUCGAGACGCCCCUGGACACAUCUACGGUAUAUGAACUCGAUCAAUUCUGUUGGAGAUGCGUUGUACACAAGAAGCAGACAGAGAGACAGGUGGAUUGAUUGUUACGUCAACUACUAGUACAUGCACGUAGAAAAACCAGCGUGUCGUUCGUGUCUUGGUCACCGCCGAGCUCGCCAUCCCGGUCACUAUACUAUUCCUCUCUAACUUGUACAGCUCGCUGUCCCAGUGGUUUUCCAGUCUUCAGAUUGUGAUCACUGGAGUCAUGAAUUUUCCAUCUUAAUCUUGGGUCGGCCUCGUAUACCCAAUGGGUCAGUGAGGCCAUAAAUUUUUGAUGAAAUGGGUUGACCCAUGGCCUCACAUAUUGACCUUGGGGCCACGGGGCCAGGUCCGGGCCAUUCCCAUCUUGAAUUAUCUUGCCCAGAUGCUAAAUUCUUUGUUAACGAGUACUACACAUCUUUGUUAUUUCGAGGUGACUGACAUUUAUCCCAGUUUGUUCCUCACCACCUUGCAAUGCUCCUAGUCUCUGAAUUCGACAGAAACCAGCACUGGUCGCAGAUAUGCACGGGAGGAUUGGAGAAGUUUCUGGAGAACGGAUCAUCUUUCCAAAAAUAAAAGUUAACGGAAAAUAUCUCUGCUCCUAAGAAGCGAGACCAAACCAGCCACUCAACAUUUUCAUUUGUUCCUAAAGAAAGACCGUUGAUGGAGCUCUAGAACUUUCCACGUUGCCGCAUCCCACGGGUUCCACCAAGUUUCAGAAGUUUCCGUCACCUUCUAGACUCCGGCCACCGAUAUAAACUCCCUCCUCCUCCCGUCGCAUCAUCACCAACGCAGUCCACAAAAAAAAUCAGCAAACAAUCCAACGCAGUCCAAUCCGAGGAGACCGACCGAUCGAGCUCGGAGAUCAGCAGCGACCGAGAAUGGAGGGCAGGAUGUUCGGGCUGGAGACCCCGCUGAUGACGGCGCUGCAGCACCUGCUGGACAUCCCCGACGGCGAGGCCGGCGGGCCCGGCAACGCCGGCGGCGAGAAGCAGGGCCCGACGCGCGCCUACGUCCGCGACGCGCGCGCCAUGGCGGCCACCUCCGCCGACGUGAAGGAGCUGCCGGGCGCGUACGCGUUCGUGGUGGACGUGCCGGGGCUGGGGUCCGGCGACAUCAAGGUGCAGGUGGAGGACGAGCGGGUGCUGGUGAUCAGCGGCGAGCGCCGGAGGGAGGAGAAGGAGGACGCCAGGUACCUGCGGAUGGAGCGCCGCAUGGGCAAGCUGAUGCGCAAGUUCGUGCUGCCGGAGAACGCCGACACGGAGAAGAUCUCCGCGGUGUGCCGCGACGGGGUGCUCACCGUGUCCGUCGAGAAGCUGCCGCCGCCCGAGCCCAAGAAGCCCAAGACCAUCCAGGUCCAGGUCGCCUGAGACUCUGAGAGAUGGAUGGGACGACGGAGCCAGAGAGAGGUCCUUUGCUUGCACGCCUGAUCGAAGCUGAGUGGGUAGUGAUCGAUGAUUAGGGAGUGAGUUUCCUGAGAUGCGUGAUGUGUGUGUGUUUUCUAUCUCUGCUCGUAUGGUGUCCGAGAGUGUUGUGUGACUAGUUUAAGCUUUCAGGGCGCAAUUUCAAUGAAAUUUCUGAAAUAUCAUUAACUUUGGUUCAUACUGAAAUAAUUGCCUUUCUUCCAAAAUAUCUCAGUAAU